rnacentral:lncRNA from 1 species
GGGGACGCACGUGAAAAAUGCGGGUCCACAAAUUGGCGACUCCACUGGGGAUUUUGAGGAUCAAGCUUGAACACUAGUUAGGAAAAUGUGGCGUUUAAUUGGUCGAUUAGUGGGUACCUCUUUUUUUAGGCAAGGUGAUUCGAUUUGCUUGCUUGUUUGGUUUGCUAUCUUAACAUGUUUGAUUGCCUUGGAUGAUCACUUAACUGUUUGCUCACUUUAGCAUGAUUCACUCUCACAUAUGUUAGAUAGGACUUUGUUUGUUUGAUAUUUAUCUGCUUAGCAUGACUGUUUGUUGUGUUUGCCUUGGAUGAUCACUUGAUUGUUUUGCUCACUUUAGCAUGAUUCACUCUCACAUAUGCUAGAUAGGACUUUGAUUGUUUGAUAUUUAUCUGCUUCACAUGAUUGCUUGUUGCAUGACAACCCUUGCUCUUGCAUGUUCGUAUGAUUGCUUGUCUUCAUUCACUAUCUCACUUUAGACCUUAGGUUUUUCGGAUGCACCCACAUCCUUCAUUGUGCACUUUAGAUUAUCCUUGAGUGUUGAGAGAUGGGAGAGCCUUCACCAUUAAGAAACCCCCUGGGAACGCGAGGAAGUGCAUGUGUGGAGGUGAUGACCACCUUGCAUGGAAGCACCCCGUCUUCUUGGAGGCGUGCAGAGGGUUGCGUACCGCCGGAGGGUACGAUCGCUUCUGCUAGGGAUCCUUUGACCCGCCCAUUUUAUCUUAUAGAGCCACCUUAACCUUGUAGGUUAGCCUAGACCCAAUUAAGAUUUCAUUCCUACACGUGGGUGCAUCUGUGGACCUUCAGAGCUGCCUUGGUCACAAUUGGAAUUGGUUAUCCCUUCCUUAGUCUCCUUUUGGUGUAAUCAGAAGAGGGUAUCAGAUUGAGUAUAUUUGGGCUUUGCUUCUACGCCUUUGAUUCAUACAGAGUCACCUUCGAGUUACACCUUAUCUAGUGUUUUCCCUACUUGUAGGAGAGUUUAUCGUGACCAGUCUGGAUUCACCUUCGUGGAUUAGAGUUGGAGGCAGAUUGAGCAGAGUAUCAGACUAGUCAGAUCAGAGAUCAGAUCAGAGGGAUAUGGACUCACAGGUAGUUACCGUUGACCAGUUUGCCGCAGCCAUGGCUUCUAUCCAGGAGGCUAUAGCUAACCUUGGUCAGAGGAUAGAUGGACAGCAGACCCAGCAGGUCCCAGUUCAGGAGAGUACCCAGUUCGAUACCAUAGUACCGCCACCACCUCUGCCUAGUCAGUCAGUACCACAGGCUAUACCUUUCACUCUGCAUAGUCAGAUCGAGGUUGCCCCGCCUCCUAUCACAUCGCCUAUCCCGGCUUCAGAGGACCCACAUGCUCGUAUGGAUAAACUUGAGCAGAAGUUGAGACAGAUGAGGACUUCAGAGGGAGCUAUUACUUGGGAGGAUUUUGAUGGAGCACCAGUGGCCAGUCUACCGGCCAAAUUCAGGAUGCUUGAGAUUGAGAGAUACACAGGCAUAGGAUGCCCUCACAUCCAUUUGAGACUCUAUAGUACUGUUAUGAGGGCCCAUGGACUGGAUGAUGCCCAGAUGGUUAUGCUCUUUCCUAUGUCAUUGAGUGGUGCUGCACAACGUUGGUUCGCUUCAUUGGAGGUAUCACGCCGUAGGACUUGGGAUGACUUAGCCCAGGAGUUUUUGAGACAGUUUGCAUUUAACACUGUCAUUGAUGUUUCGAGGAGAGAGUUGGAGGCUUUGAGACAGAGGCCGGAGGAGUCAGUCACUUCAUUUAUCUCCCGUUGGAGGGAGAAGAUUUCACAGAUUAUAGACCGUUCUUCAGAGAGAGAUCAGAUUAGCAUGAUCAUGAGGAGCUUGCAGCCUAAAUUUGCUAGACACUUGAUGGGAUUUCCCCAUACGGAUUUUGGAUCUUUGGUACAGGCUUUGUACGGUAUAGAGGAGGGCAUUGCUAGAGGAUUAUGGUCUGAGUCUUCCCCUACUGAUUCUAAGGGGAAGAGGCCUUCAGGAGGACAGAGAUCAGGAGAUGUUGGUGCUAUCAGUUCAGCAGGGAUGAGACCUUCUAGACACUAUCAGACAGUUGGGCAGACUCCUGGGUACUACUAUCCACCUUCACCUCAUGCGCAUUACAGACCACCCGCUCCUUCCAAACCCAUGACUCCUACCUAUCUACAUCCAGUCUCACAGCCUGUUUUCGCUGCACACGUCGUAGAGAGGCCUCCUGCCCCAUAUAUUCGACCCCGAGCUCCACAGACCACUACUUAUGUGCAGAGGCCACCACGUCAGUUUGCUCAGUUGGGUAUGCCUUUGAGUCGAGCUUUUCAGAAGCUCACAGAGGGUGGAUUACUGAUUCCAUUAGCAUCCAGGCCUUUACCCCAACCCAUACCACCUCGCUUCAGGAUGGACUUACAUUGUUCCUACCAUCAGGGACCAGGGCAUGACACGAACCAUUGCACUGCUUUGAGACAUGCUAUUCAGGACUUGAUAGACCAGGGUUUGGUCAACUUGGGGCAGCCAAGUGUGACUACGAACCCUCUUCCUGCUCAUUCUACACACGCAGUGCAUCCAUCUUUAGGAGAUAUUCGUCACAUGGACCUUAUAGAGGAUGACAGUAUACACAUGUUGAGUUGGGAUGAUGGAUUACCUGAGCCGAUUGUUCUGCAUGACAGCUAUGAGAUUGAUGGGGUUUCAUUGGUCCCUCAGGCUCCUGCAACAUUCAGUUUGAUCCCGGACGAGGCACUAUUCCAGUUGACUCAUCCUACACCCUUAGUUAUCGGAUGUCAGGAUACUUUUGUCCCAUUCACUUUAUGGCCAGAGGAUGAUGAUUCAGCAGGGAGAGAGAUAUAGAUUGUGACUCGCAGUGGGAGGAUAGCUCAGCCACCACCACCAGCAGUUAGACCAUUUGAGGGUACAGCCUCUCAUGAGGAGGUUAGGAGAGAGGAUGAUGAGGUUUUGAGGCAGCUACAGAGCACUCAGGCUCGCAUUUCCAUCUGGAGUUUAUUAGCAUCAUCCAGUACUCAUAGAGAUGCUUUGAUUUGAGCCUUGAGUCAGAUCAGAGUAGAGACUACCACCACUCCAGAGGGAUUGAUUCAUAUGAUGACGGCUGGCAGGGCCACUUGCAUUGUAUUUUCAGAUGAUGACUUGCCACCUGAAGGUUUAGACCACGUGCGCCCUCUAUAUAUCACAGUUGGAUGUUCAGGCCGUAGAGUCCCGUCUGUCCUACUGGACAACGGCUCAGCCCUGAAUGUUUGCCCUUUAGCCACUGCUAUAGCCCUUAGUUUCGCACCUUCAGAUUUUGGUCCUUCUACUCAGACAGUCAAAGCGUAUGAUAGCACCAAGAGGGAGGUUAUGGGUACCUUGAUGAUCGAUUUGCAGAUUGGUCCAGCCACAUUUUCCACUUUGUUCCAGGUUUUGAGGAUUCCUGCAUCCUUUAACCUGCUACUAGGCCGACCAUGGAUUCAUGUAGCUGGAGCUAUUCCUUCUUCCCUUCAUCAGAAGGUGAAGUUCAUUCAUGAUGGGCAGGUUAUCACAGUACAGUCUACCAGGGAUAUGUUAGGCUCUUUCGAGCCAGUACUUCAGAUUAGUCACAGUGAGGAUGACCUAUUUUUGACUGGAUUUACUUUUGAUGAGAUACAGACUCUCGAGAUUGAGGAUUUUCAUAGAGACUUUGUGGCUAUGUCAUUUGAUCAGCACAGUAGCAUAGUGGUCCUUGAUAUGAUGAGGGGUAUGACCUUUCUACCUGGCAUGGGGUUAGGACGACGUCAGCAGGGACCGAGCGAGUUCAUAGCUGCCAUUGACCAUGAUACGACAUUUGGACUUGGAUUCAUCCCUACUGAGGCCGAUUACCGUCACAUGGCGCGGCUGCGCAAGGAGAGGGUGAGAGCCCGUUUAUCCCACACACCAUUUGAUUAUCCUAUUCGACCCUAUAGGAUGAGUUUGGCUGACUACUUUGUCAGAGGAUCAGAGACUCGACCUCGUUUAGAGGAGAUUGAUAGUGUGGUUCAUACAGACAGAGAGACCGAGCUUCAGCAUCUAUUUCACCAGCUACAGUUGAGUGAUGGGGCUCCCGACUCUUCUUUCCCUUUGACGAUUACUCCCACGUCUCCAGAUCGAGCUAGCAUGUUGUCUCUAUGCUUUCCAGAGGAGAUCACGAGUGAUGGGGUGAUCGUUGAUCCUACUGAGGUGAUUGAUGGAGUUGUUCCCCAUGAUGAGUACCGUGAUGAGAUGGACAUGAUGACCGUGAGCCAGAUUACCAGCAUUGUUCAACUUCAGCCUGUUUCAGCAUUUGAUAUGUUUGGGGUGUCUACCAUUGAGGUUUUUGAGGGGACUCAGACUCUUCUUAUUCCAGAGCUUCCCGAGGAUGAUAGUAGCUUGUUUGAGGGCAUUGUUAGCCCAGUUGAGGGAGCGUCCGACCUUGUGGACCCACCUCUUUCUUUUGAUGUUUCAUCGGGAUUUGUCUCCCGCUCUGACGAUGUUUCUGUUGCUUCAUUUAUGGAUUUGAGCAUUUUUGAGUAUUCGCCUGUCUCUUGUGAUAGUAUCUCUACAUUUGCACCUCACUCACCCAUUACACAGAUAUUUGAUAUAGAUGAUGAGAUUGCACAUCCCAGUUCGGAUAGGGACUCUUUUGAUCAUGACUCUGGUCCCAUAGAUGAGAGAGUUUCACCUGCUGCAGGGGACGUUGAGACUGUUGAUUUUGGCACAGAGGAUCAGCCUAGAGAGCUGAAGAUUGGUUCACCCCUAUCUACAGAUGAGAGAGAUAGACUCAUCCAUUUACUCAGGUCAUACUUGGAUGUCUUUGCAUGGUCUUAUGAGGACAUGCCAGGUCUUGAUCCCUCUAUAGUCCAGCACCAUUUACCUACCCUACCGCAUGCUAGACCAGUUAAGCAAAAAUUGAGAUGGUUGCAUCCACGUUGGAGUCUACAGGUAAAAGAGGAGAUUCAGAAACAACUCAGUGUUGGGUUCAUAUCAGUAGUUGAGUAUCCAGAGUGGUUGGCUAAUGUCGUCCCUGUUCCUAAAAAGGAUGGCAAAGUUAGGGUUUGUGUUGACUUCAGAGAUCUCAAUAAAGCCAGCCCUAAAGAUGACUUUCCCCUUCCACACAUUGAUUUGUUGGUUAAUGGCACCGCAGGCCAUUCGAUGUUGUCUUUCAUGGAUGGGUUUUCAGGGUAUAAUCAGAUUUUGAUGGCUCCAGAGGAUAUGGAGAAGACAACCUUUAUUACUGAGUGGGGUACCUACUGUUACAGAGUUAUGCCAUUUGGGUUGAAGAACGCAGGAGCCACUUAUCAGAGAGCCGCUACCACUUUGUUUCAUGACAUGAUGCAUAGGGAUGUCGAGGUUUACGUGGAUGAUAUGAUUGUGAAAUCCCGAGGUAGAGCAGAUCACCUAGAUGCUUUAGAGAGAUUCUUUGAGAGGAUCCGGAAGUUUAGAUUGAGGUUGAAUCCCAAGAAGUGUACCUUUGGAGUGACUUCUGGGAAGUUAUUGGGACAUAUAGUCAGUGAGCGGGGCAUAGAGGUCGACCCAGAUAAAAUCAAAGCCAUACUUGACAUGCCUGCACCAAAGACUGAGAAAGAGAUUAGAGGUUUUCUGGGCAGAUUACAGUACAUUAGUCGGUUCAUAGCCAGAUUGACAGACAUAUGUGAGCCUAUCUUUCGUCUUUUGAGGAAGAACCAGCCAACAGUUUGGAAUGAUGACUGUCAGUUUGCAUUUGAGAAGAUCAAGGAGUAUUUGCUUUCUCCUCCUGUUUUAGUGCCUCCUACGCCAGGACGUCCACUUCUUCUAUAUUUGUCAGUUUCAGACAUGGCCUUGGGAUGUAUGUUAGCUCAGAUUGAUGACUUAGGAAAGGAGCGAGCUAUUUACUACCUAAGUAAGAGGAUGUUGGAGUAUGAGAUGAAAUAUGUUAUGAUUGAGCGCCUAUACUUAGCACUAGUUUGGGCUACCAGGAGAUUGAGGCAUUACAUGACAGAGUACUCAGUACAUUUGAUAUCCCGCCUGGACCCGUUGAGAUACUUGUUUGAUAGACCUGCAUUGACUGGUAGAUUGAUGAGAUGGCUUGUACUUUUGACAGAGUUCGAUAUUCAGUAUGUUUCUCAGAAGUCUAUUAAGGGAAGUAUUGUUGCCGAUCACUUAGCCUCACUACCGACAUAUGAGGACAGACCAGUUGAUGAUGAUUUUCCAGAUGAGGAGUUUGUUGCUAUGACCAGCUUAUCGGGAUGGUGCAUGUACUUCGAUGGUGCAGCCAAUCAGUCAGGGUAUGGGAUUAGUGUUCUAUUGAUAUCCCCUCAGGGCGAUCACAUUCCGAGGUCCGUUCGUUUGGCAUUCUCUGAUCGACAUCCUGCCACGAAUAACAUAGUUGAGUAUGAGGCUUGUAUCCUUGGUUUAGAGACUGCAUUGGAGCUUGACAUUAGACAGAUGGAGGUGUUUGGUGACUCCAAUCUGGUACUCAGGCAGAUUCAGGGGGAUUGGAAGACUAGGGACGUGAAGCUUAGGCCAUAUCAUGCUUAUUUAGAGUUGUUGGUUGCGAGAUUUGACGACUUGAGAUAUGUUCAUCUGCCUAGAGCGCAGAACCGAUUUGCUGACGCCUUAGCUACUUUAGCUUCCUCCGUGGACAUUCCGAUUGAUGUAGUCAUACGUCCAUUACUGAUUGAGUCCAGGUCUGCACCCGCCUAUUGUUGUCUGAUUGGAGAGACAGAGGUCCAGGAUGACCUACCUUGGUAUCAUGACAUUUAUCAGUUCCUUAGAUCUGGCACAUACCCUGAGGUAGCCACUACCAAGGAUCGGAGAGCACUGAGGCAUUUGGCUACUAGAUUUGUGAUUUGCGGAGAUACCUUGUACAGACGAUCAGCUGNNNNNNNNNNNNNNNNNNNNNNNNNNNNNNNNNNNNNNNNNNNNNNNNNNNNNNNNNNNNNNNNNNNNNNNNNNNNNNNNNNNNNNNNNNNNNNNNNNNNNNNNNNNNNNNNNNNNNNNNNNNNNNNNNNNNNNNNNNNNNNNNNNNNNNNNNNNNNNNNNNNNNNNNNNNNNNNNNNNNNNNNNNNNNNNNNNNNNNNNNNNNNNNNNNNNNNNNNNNNNNNNNNNNNNNNNNNNNNNNNNNNNNNNNNNNNNNNNNNNNNNNNNNNNNNNNNNNNNNNNNNNNNNNNNNNNNNNNNNNNNNNNNNNNNNNNNNNNNNNNNNNNNNNNNNNNNNNNNNNNNNNNNNNNNNNNNNNNNNNNNNNNNNNNNNNNNNNNNNNNNNNNNNNNNNNNNNNNNNNNNNNNNNNNNNNNNNNNNNNNNNNNNNNNNNNNNNNNNNNNNNNNNNNNNNNNNNNNNNNNNNNNNNNNNNNNNNNNNNNNNNNNNNNNNNNNNNNNNNNUAGAUAACAAGCAUGCUAGGGUUUCUUUAUUUUAUAUAUCUAAUCCCUCAUGUCUUAUGGGAGCGCAUUGUAAGUUAUUUAUGCUAUCCAGGUACGCCCCCCCUAUCGCCUACUUUCUAAAUUUUGUAAACAAUCGUGUCACUAUGAAGUAUGCAUAUGUUUGAUAAUCCUUAGGUGUUUAGAUGUAUGUUUGAUUCACUAUGAUUAAAUACAUGUUGUGUGUUAUACUUCUAUACUAACUCUGAUGUUUUAUGAUAGCGCUUGAGAAGCGGUCCGGGUAUGCAUCCUAACCUUUCUUUUAUGGCAAUUUGAUCUUGUUUAGCAUGCAAAUUUUUUGAAAUCACCUAGCCUACUUAGGUAUCCAUAAUUAACCGAUUAAUUGCCAUAUUCCCCUUAACUUAAUUAGUAGAGACCUCUUUAGGGCUUAGAGGGGUGCUACCUCCUAGAGGUACCUUCCCAAUAAGUAACCUGAUCCCCGGACCAAGACUUGGGUUUUCAAAGACACGCUUUUCCAAAAAUUAUGGAGUCAUUUUUUUUAGGGUUUUAUUUCUUGUUUUAUUUUCCCUUCAAAAAUAAAAAUAAAAUAAGUGGCGACUCCAACUUUUUUUCAAAAAAUCAAAUUUUCACAAAUAAAUAAAAAGCGAGUCUCGCCGAUCGAGUGGAGACGCACGUGAAAAAUGCGGGUCCACAAGUUUCACAUGCAUUCAUGACUUCAAUAGGUGGUGUAAUAAUGUCACUUAUCUCCUUGAAUUUCUUUUUGGAAAACAUAUUCUAGAGGUGACAAGAAACUUAUCAAAUUUCAAUCUGACCUCACCUUUAGACAAGGCAAUCACCUAAAGCCCUCACUCCAUAAAAAGCUUCAAAUUUUUGUUAUUAUUACUUUAUUUAUUUUUUCUGGUUUUUAUUAGCUAUUUUAAAUAAUUAUUCAUAGUUCUUUAUUUUAAUUAAAUGAUAAAAUAAAAAGAAAAGAAAAAUGAAAUAAAUGUCCAAACUUGUAUAAUUAUCUAGAUAUUUGUUUGCAUUGAGACAUUGGUUCAACUAAGCAUUUAUAGUCAUUAGAAUUUAUCAUUUUAAUUGUAUUAUUCUAAAAAGAGAAUUUAUUGAUUUCAUUUUGAAAACCUACAAGUUUUAAUAAGCCCUUUUGUCUUUCUCAAUUCUAUAAAUUUUAUCUCAUGCUAUCUUUUUGACAUAGUAGCAAAAGAAUUUUAAUUGAAAUACACAAAAGAAAUAAACUAUAUGUCCUACAUACAAGUCUAAUAAGAAAAACCUUUAGAGUUGGAUGCCUACUAACUUCCUCUCUAAAGAUGAUUCUACCUUUCUAAUUGGCACACAAGAGUCUUCACUUAAAAAUAUUAAAAUAAAUUGGAUUAACAUAAGAUCUAGUGAAUAGUUGUGAUACACAAGAGUUAUGAUGAACAAAAUAGAUUUAGAACAUGUCAAAAGUCAUAAUAGGAUUUAAGGAAUAUAUGACAUUUAAAAAUAUGUAAUCAUGAUUUUAAACAAAUCUAUGGUCAAUCUACUAGUUAUACAUAAUUAAGCCUUUACUACUUGUGAUAGUACCUCAUCAACACCAUUUUUAGGGUCUCAUUAUCUUGAAUCACACUACCAAGGAACUCAUUUCCUAGCCAUCCAUCAAGGGCACAAUGGAGCAUAAUUUACCACUUCAGACUCUUCCAUAUAGCCCAGUAUCAAAACCCACAAUACCAUUGUAUGAUCCAUCCCAUCCCUUACUACAUAAGUGGUGUAAAGUUUCAUAUCAAAGCAAAAUGAAACACCUCAUUGAUAUAUGUGUUAUGUAUGAUAACUGUUAUAUAUAAAUCUCCAGAACUUUAACAAUUAAUUGAAAAUUUAACAAAGUAUGUAAUUGCAUUAUUGUACACAUAUGCAAGGUAUUAAAUAAUUACUUGAAAAAGAAGUGGUAUUUAUUUUUGCAAACUUAAUAUUAAUCAUAUGUGUUUUGACCAAAUAGAAAUUUCACAUAUGUCUCAUACUAAUAAUCAAAUUGAACAAGUAAUGUAUAAUGCAUAUAAGAGAGAUUUAUUUUAGGAAAAUUUACUAAAACCAUUUAUAUUUUAACUAUUCACAAAAAUCUUUGUAAUCAAAAUAACAACAGAAUUUGCAGUAUAAUGGCACCUGAAACUAUGGAUCCUCUCCUAAUUAACAAAUGAAUACUUUUAGAUUUGGAAAUUUCAUAAAAGAUGGCUAAGAUCCUAUACCCCUAAUUGUCUUCUUUCACAUGAAUGACACCUAAUAGUCUUCUGUCACCUAGACAACACCUUAGACUAAAAUUGAUGAACUUGAAAAUAAGAAUUUAGGAAAAUGGAGUCCAACUUGUGUAAAACUUGAACCAAUGAGUCUAUCAACGGUAUAUAUACUUUGAAAAUUGAUAACUAAGUCAACUUAGUCUCAACCUCUAUUAGUUCCAAAUUUGCAUAAAAUAGCACAUGCUAAAACACACUUAUUUUCUCGUUUUUUUACCAAAUAAUCCAAGUUCCAUAAAUUAUUAAACUAUACAUGUUUACUCAAUGACAAGUCUAAAAAUUUAUAAAAAUAAUUUAGAAGUCUAAAACUAACUCAAAUAGUAAUACAAUCCAAAAUCCAAAACUUUCUUACCAAACUUUACCAAAUCUUUUUCUAUACUAACAAAAUUUGAAUCAAGUUGAAUUGGAUUCUUUAGUUUCUUUUCAAAUAUACUAAAAUUUAUUAAAAAUAACUAGAGGUAAAGAUUCUUAAUGAAAACAUUGCAAAAUUGAAACUAUGUUUGAAAACAUUAUUAAGUGAACCCACAAUCUAUUGAACUAACAUAUGGAAAACUUACCAAUUGGUCUUGUUUCAACUUCUUAUUACAAUUUUUUUUUUAAAAUAAAAUAAAUAAAUAAAUCCCUAGAUGGGACUGAGGAACAAGCACUGUGGUUUUGUUGACCAUGAAUCAAGACUUCCAUGCUCACAUAAGCUCCAUUUUGAUCAAAGGUUGCCGCGAAAAUUAGUAACAGUUAGCAGGAACACUCAAGUGAAGCAUCGAUAACCAUAAUUUCUGGGGAUAUAAAGCUGUUCAACAAGAUUAAUGCAUUUGUGAGGCUCAGAAAAAUCAUAAAAAUCAGACGAGAAUCUUUUGGGCAUUACUACAUAAAAGAUGCAGGACCACACAUCCAGUUUUCUUAUCAACCAGUCAUCUUGACAACCCACUUUGAAGCCCACUUGGCCUUGCCAUCACCAUUGAUGAACCUACAUCAUUCAAAUUCUCAAUGCUCUUUAAAAGCAAUAUAUGCUUCAAGUUCAAAGGGAUUGGAAUUUUUGUUAGAUAACAGCCUUUGCUAUUCAGGAACAUAUUUUUCUUUUCUUUUCUUUUCUUUUUUAUUUUUUAUUUUUUAUUUUUUAUUUUUUUUUAUUUUAUAGAAUGUUUACCCUCCUUGAAUGUAAAAUCCUCUGUUCUCUGUUCAGAUUUCCUCUUUGUAAUUGGAAUCAAUAGACCUUGUAUUCAAUUCAAUCCAAGUGUUUUACUGGCCUCCUAAAUUCUAAACCCUAUCUGGGUUUUCCAUUUUUGUGAAACAUUAAAUCACCGAGUCUGGGAUCCAACACGAUGGGAUUGGAUUCAAUGUUAGAGACAAAAUUUUGUAAAACCAAAUCUGCAAAACCCUCAACAGUUGUGGCCAUAGCUCAAGACCAAGAUGGGAGUUAACAAUUUAAUAUGCUGAUGAAUGAUCCAAAACGUUUGUUGAAAGACAUGAAGUUCCUCACAUUCUCGAGUAGGAAGAAUCUUGGCCAAAAGUAAUCAACAAAGGAUGAGAAGGCCAGGAUCAUUUCACACUGAACUUUGCUCCAGCUAUUUUGGUUAAACAAAUUCAUCCCAGAGAAACCUUGUGAAGAUAACAGCCUUGUUUUAGCUCUUUGAAUAGAGUGAAAAACAGAACAGAAGUUGAUCAAACCUGGCAUGGGGGCCCCUCAUUAAUAAAACCAACCUGUCCAAGCAUCUGGUGACGCAGAAGUAUUUAGCAGCCUCAGAGGUAGAGACAGUCAUCGCAUCACAACCAAUUUAUGGGUCGAUUACAAAUUUAGAGACAGAGAAAAAGAUAUUUUCGUUUUAAUGAAAUCAUUCACCUCAAGAUCGAACUGCAAUUCUUAAUACACAUGAAUGAUUCUGGAUGAUUGAAUUUUAGUGCAUCCCCAGAAGGCUUUUCAUAUUCAGCAGCCCACCUGCAAAGUUACUGAUACACCUGAAAAACCUUCUUACUCUACCCACCAAUAUAAGCUUUUACAGAAAUAAUCAAUUUAUAACAAACUUACAUGGAGAAGUGAGGACCCUCUUUCACCUCCAUGACCAUGACUCAUCAGCUCACCCAAAGUAAUCAUGGAAAACAGUUUUGACAAUGGUGGCCACUGUGCGAACUCAGCCUUGUAAACAGUACCAUAUCCUCCAGUGACAAUACACUGUUUUGAACUGAAAUUGUCGGUCCCUGUAUGAUGUGUUCAUACAACAAUUCCCCAUCAUGGCCCCAUAUUGCAAAUAGAUCUUCAACAUCUUCUUCGGUCGACUUGAUGUUUCUCUUCCUCAAUUUUUUGAAAAGAAAACAAUUGCCAAUAAAAGAAAAUAAGAUCAACAGAGUUCAAGAUGAUGCAUCUUUCCAAUUUUGUCGGGAAUGCUAUCCACAAAUCUAUUCUCGCUCAAGUUCAAGGAUGAUAAUUUCCAGAAUCUUCCCAGUUGUUUGGGAAUUGGACUGCUUAAGUUGUUUGAUGCCAAGUCAAGGGUUUCAAGAUAGGAUAAGUUUCCCAAUUCCAAAGGAAUACUUCCUGAAAGAUCGACUGUUGUUGCCUAGCAACAAUUUGAACAAUAAGGGCAACAUACCCAAUUCUUUUCGGAUCUUCCCACUUAGAUGAUUGGUAGAGAGAUCAAGUUGUUGCAGUCGAAUUGCUUUCCCAAGUUGAGGUGCUAUAGCACCAGAAAUAUUGUUGUUGGAGAUGUUCCGGCUUGUGAGCAUGUGGCACUGCCCCCAUUUCUCUGAAAGCUCACCAUAAAAAUUGUUAAUGCUUAGAUCAAUAUAAUUUAGGUUCAGGUAUACACCAAAACUUUUAGCUAUGUCUCCGAUAAGUUGGUUUCAUUCAAGCUAAACUCUGAAUAAGCCAUGCAGUUUUUCAAGCUCUUUGGAAUAGGACUGAUGAAAUGGUUUCCAAAGGCCGAAAAGUUUUUAAGAACACUACCACGACAUAUCUCUUGUGGUAGUUAGCCAAUGAAGUUAAUCUCAACUGACUACAAAGAUUUCAAAUAAGCGAUAUUAUUCAUUUCUUGAGGAAUGGCACCACUAAAUCUGUUGUAAUGAAGUACCAAAAAGGUUAAGCCGGACAAGAAAGCUUGUUCUUAAAAAGAGGCAAAAUGGUUAAGUUCCUCAAGUUACGUAUAGAAAGAGGGAUCGGGCCAAUGAGAUUAUUAGUUGACAAUGCAAGAAUAUUAAAAGAUUGCAACGGUCUAAUUUCUUAAGGGAUGGAACCAAAAAACUCAUUCUCAAAAAGAUGCAAAGUGGCUAAGUUCCUCAUGUUUCCUAUAGGUGGGGGGAUUGGACUAAUGAGAUUGUUAGCCGACAAAUCAAGAACACUAAGAGAUCUCAACAAUCCAAUUUCUUGAGAGAUGGAACUAGAAAGCUCAUUCUAAAAAAGAUGCAAAGUAUCUAAGUUCCUCAAGUUUCCUAAACGUGGAGGAAUCAAACCAAUGAGAUUGUUAGCCGACAAAUCAAGAACAUUAAAAGAUCUCAACAAUCCAAUUUCUUGAGAUGGUUCCAUAGAGGUAGUUGUUAUAAAGAUUAAGAGCACAAAGGUUGGGGAGUGUUGUGAACUUGAGAUUGUGGAGUGUACCACUCAAACCACAAUUGUCAAGGUCUAAAUUGGAGAUACUUCCUGACUCGUGACAAAUCACUUUGGACUAAUGAUGGCAAGAAUUGCAUCUAGACUAAGAAAAGAGGAAAGAUUGGGUUUGAUUCUCAAGACUAGCCUUCCAUUUUAGAAAAGCAAGUGCUUUCUAAUUUUGUUCAAUAUUCAAAAGAGAAGUGGUAGGUGCAUAAGCAAAUGUAAAAAUGACAUGGAAUGAUGGUAUUGAAUACACAAUGAAAAGGAGAAAUAUGAUGAAGCAAGUAAUGAUGAUGAAUUGGCGGAGUGAGGAAUAGGAUAAAGAAUAUUCAAGGGCUAUUGUCGAAUUAGUAGAAAUGAAGUUAUUAAGGGGUUUAGUUGGAGUGAAGGAUGAAAAGGAAACACUUAUUUCUAAACUUAAAUGUGAUGCAUCCAACAUUUCCAUUAGUUGGUGUUGACAUCCAACUACCUUUUUAUCAUCUACAUUAAAUUGAAUUGGAAAGGAUUAUAUAUAUGACCUUAAUUUCAAACAUAUUUUAUUUUAUUUUGUCAAAAUGAUCUUAGUUUUUUAAUUAAAAUUUACACUUGCAAUUACAUAUGAAAUAAUUAAAAAUAUUCAUUUUUCACUCCAUGUACUUUUUAAAUAUAACAUGUUUAAAAUUAAUAAUUAUAAUUCUUUUUCAGAAGUGACGACCAAAUAUGCCCACGUCAACAACCUAGUUGAUACUGAAAUUUCACUUGAUCGACCAACAUUACUUGUACAUAUGCCUUUAUAUAAACCACCUAAUAUGUUUGUUUUUUUUCAAAAUUAAUAAAUAUUGACUUCAAUGGGAGCAAUACAUAAUUGCCAUGAAUAUUUGUUUUUUUGGUAAGCUUACAUUCUGUAUAAGAUAAAUAUAUUUUUUAUUUUGUAUCAAGAAAUUGAAAAAAAAAAAUGAUUUAUUUGUUACUCAUCAAACAAUUGAGAUCAUCCAUGGAAUCACAUCUCAUUAAUUCUUCAUGAAGAAUUGGCUUGUAAGAGUUUGAUAUUUAAUUAUAAAUAUGUAAUAUUUACUAAGUUGAUUGCAUUUUUUCUUUGAUUUGGUUUAGGCUUAUAAAAUUAUUAGUUCUCAAAUAUCUUAUUUUAAUUAUAUUAUAUAAGAAUAUAUAUAAUUAUAUUUUCACAAUAUUUUUAAAUUACAAAUUUCUAGAAUUUUUAGUAUGCUAACAAAUGUUAAUAGUUUGAAAUAUUUGAAAAUAUGUUCAUUACGAUUUGUUUGGUCAAAUUAUUAGCCUUCAAAUAUUUUUAUCUUAAUUAUAUAAAAUAAAAUCAAAUAUAAUAAUUGUUUUAAUACAAACAAAGAUAUUUAAUUACUAAUUUUUAGUCUUAGCUUGUAAAAAGCUUAACACUUAAGAAUAUUUAGGUAAAUAAAUACGUCAUUCAAAAUUAUACAUCUAGCUAUUACAUAAAUAAAGUGUUAACAUUCAUAUUAAAAAAAAAAUGUUACCUAAGAGUAUGUAAUAACUAUGAUAUUAUAGCAUAACACAAAAACAAAUUUCUCCUUUAAGUAGAAUUUAUAUGAAAACUUUAUUUAUUUUCAGAUUGUAUUCAAGUAAGGAUAUGUUUUGAAUUAAUUAACAACUAAAAAAAAUUGUAUGUAUUGUUUAUUAUUAUUAUUAUUAAAAGAGAUUUCUUACUUCUCAAUUAAAAUUAGAGAUGUGGAUAUGAACAUAAAAUGCUCUUUUUAAUUGAAUGUGUUUUUAAUCAAGACUUUUGUUGUCUUCAAUAGAGCGGAAAAGUCAUUGCUUUACUAGUUUUUAUCAAUAAUUGUUUUCAAGGAAUCUAGACCCAAUAUUCAUAUUAUCAAUGGUAGGCAUUAGUGAUCCUAGUUGAUGUGAGUGGUCUAAUCAAAAUGAAGUAUAUAUGAGCUUCAUGUAUUAAAUCUUACUAUUAAAAUAAAAAGAAACUAUUGAAUCCAUUGUAUUAAGGUUAAGUAAUAGCUAUAAGAAUGGUGGAACCUAUAUUAAUUUUUCUCCUUUUUAAAAGGUGGAAUUUGUAUUGGAACUUCAUCUAUGUUAAGGCAUAGCACAAAUGAAGGGACAUACUUUCAUGUAGAAAUAAAAUAGAAUUUCAUUUUCUAAAUAGAGCUAUUUUACCAUUAUUGUAAAUAAUUUCUUUUACUUCUUCCUUCUCAAGAUUCAAGAACUCAAAGAUAUUUGCUUCACAAUAUUUCUCAUCCAAACAUUCCCAUAAAUUCUUCAUGAAUAAUUGCCUUGUAAUAGACUGAUUUAUAUAUAUAUAUAUAUAUACACUUUUUCUUUAAUUUGGUUUACGUUUCUAAAAUCAUUAUUUAUCAAAUAUCUUAUUUUAAUUAUAUCAAAUAAAAAUAUAUAAUUAUUAUUUAUUAAGAUAGUACUAUUAAAUUACUAAUCUUUAAAAAUUCUAUUAUGGUAACAAAUGUUAAAAAAUAUUAUUACUAUUUUUUUUCAAACUAUUAGUCUUGAAAUAUUUAAUUUUUUUUAAUUAUAUAAAAAGAACAAAUAUGAUUAUUAUUUUUGUAUAAACAAUGAUAUUUAAUUAGUAAUUUUUAGAUAUUCUUAACAUGUAAAAAGAAGAAGACUUAACAUUUAAGAAUAUUUUGAUACCACUUUAAACAAAUAUAUUAUUCAAAGUUAUACAUCUAGCUCUAUUAGAUUUAAGUUAAAUGAAGUUAUAGUCAAAAUUCAUGUUAAAAAACAAUUGCUACCUAAGAGUAAUUCCUAUGACAUUAUAGCAGAUCUCCCAAAAAGAAAAAAAAAAACUCCUUUAAGUAGAAUUUAUAUGAAAACUUCAUUGAUUUAAGUGUGCAUUAAAAAAAUGAUUUGUGUUGAAUUAAUUAAUAAACUUAAAAAAUUAUUUGUUAUGUUUUAUUAGUAUUAAAAAAAGAUGUCUUACUUGUCCAUUAAAAUUACAUAUUUAGAUAUGUAUAUAGAAUUCUUUUUCCAAUUGUAAGUUCUAAGUCAAGAGUUUUGUUGUCUUUAAUAGAGUGGCAAAGUCUUUGCAUUCCUAAUUCAUAUCAACAAUUGUGUGGAAAAGUCGUUGCAUUCUUAAUUCUUGUCUACAGUUGUUGGUCAAGGCUUCUAUUGUCUUUAAUAGGGUGGAAAAGUUGUUGCAUUUGUAAUUCAUAUCAACAAUUGUGUGGAAAAGUCAUUUUAUUCUUAAUUCUUGUCAACAAUUGUGUGGAAAAGUUGUGGUAUUACUAAUUCUUAUCAAGAAUUGUGUGAAAAAAUUGUUACAUUAAUAAUUCUUAUCUACAAUUGUAAGUUCUUAGUCAAGACUUUUGUUGUCUUUGAUAAGGUGGAAAAGUUGUUCAUUCCUAAUUCAUAUUAAUAAUUGUGUGGAAAAGUCAUUGCAUUCUUAAUUCUUGUUAACAGUUGUGUAGAAAAGUUGUUGCAUUACUAAUUCUUAUCAAUAAUUGCAUGGAAAAAUUGUUGCAUUACUAAUUCUUAUCAACAAUUGUUUUCAAAUAAUUUAUACCCAAUAUUCACAUUAUCAAUAGUAGAAGUCAAUGAUCCUAAUUGAUGUGAGUAGUCUAAUCAAAGUGAACUAUAUAUGAACUUCAUUUAUUAAAUCUUAGUAUUAACAUAAAAAGUAACAAUGGAAUCCAUUGCAUCAAGGCUUGAGGAAUAACAAUAAUAAUAUUGCGGAUCUAAAGUAAUUUUCUUUACAAGAGUCAAGAACUUGGAGAGACUUGCUUUACAAUGUUAAACAAAGGUGCAUUUAUUUAAAAGUGGCUUGUGCUUUUUACACUAAGUAUUAUGAUAAAGGGCAUGUUCAAAAUGUAAAUUAUGUUAUUUCUUUCUCUCUCUUUUUUUUUUUCAAGUAAUAUUGCAUUAUUUUAAUUUAAAUGUCAAGUUAAUUAAGUAGAAAAAUUAGAUCAUGAGUUGGACAUAAUGACAAUAAAUUUUCCUAUUCAUAGAUAAAAAAAUGGGUUUUUUUUUUUUUCCAAAUACAUCUAUAAGAGCAUUUAUACUAUGUUUUUCUUAUAGAUAUGAAGGAAAUGAAAAAUAAAAAUAAAAAAUUAGAUCAUUGAAUGUACUACCCAAUUCAAUUUAGAAAAUUUAUUUUUGAAUAUUUGUGGUUUAGUUUACAAAUCUUAAGGAAAUAAAAAAAAAAUGGCUAAACAUUCAUGGCAAGAAAAAUUGAUCCAUUCAAUUACCCAUGGAAAUGAUAAUUGGCCAUGUUUAAUGGGGUUUUGAAGUCUUGGUCAAACUUGAUGUAAUAUUUUAACUAACAAUGAUGAUAAAUAAAUUUAUAAUAUUGACUAAGAGCUUAUUUGGAAAGUAUGGCUAAAAAUGAUUUUAAAUUCUUAAAGAGUAUGUCUUACUAAAAAUUAAUAAUUUGAAAAAAAAUAUUAAAGCACUACAAGGAAAAAGGUAUAUGGUGACAUUUAUAAUGAGUCGCCAUAAACAUAAGGUGUCACUACAACAUAGCGUCGCCUUCUCCACUGACACCAUAGAGGGUACCAAUUGGUGACGUAUUUGGAAGUGACACCAAAGUAGAUAAAUGGUGACCCAUUCAGAAGUGGCACCAUAUAUUUCUAGUGAUGAUAGGGUGUCACAUUAAAUACAUCAUCUUUGAGUUAUGAUGUCACAUUAAAUGCAUCACCUUUGAGUUAUGGUAUCACAUCAUUGUAAAUUAUUGUGGAAUAUAUGAUUGGUUUUAGUUGUUGAUUUUUUUAAUGCUUAUGAAUUAAUAAGAUUAACCUGUUUAUAUUUUGUCCAUAAAUAUAACAAUCAUAUUAUAUUUAACUCAUUUUUCUAUAAUGUUUCUGGAAUAACUCAUAAUACAUUGAUCAUCUAAUAAUAUUUGUAUAUCAAAUGGUCNNNNNNNNNNNNNNNNNNNNNNNNNNNNNNNNNNNNNNNNNNNNNNNNNNNNNNNNNNNNNNNNNNNNNNNNNNNNNNNNNNNNNNNNNNNNNNNNNNNNNNNNNNNNNNNNNNNNNNNNNNNNNNNNNNNNNNNNNNNNNNNNNNNNNNNNNNNNNNNNNNNNNNNNNNNNNNNNNNNNNNNNNNNNNNNNNNNNNNNNNNNNNNNNNNNNNNNNNNNNNNNNNNNNNNNNNNNNNNNNNNNNNNNNNNNNNNNNNNNNNNNNNNNNNNNNNNNNNNNNNNNNNNNNNNNNNNNNNNNNNNNNNNNNNGGGUGAAGAUAGUGGACUAUUCAUUUCUUGGCUCAAGCACUACCUAAAUAUAAACCCUUUAAGUCCUCAUAUCUAUUUCUAUUAACAAAAUAUAAAAACUUUCCAAAACUCAACUACUUAAAUAUAAAAAUAAAAUCAAAUAAAAUAUCUAGCUAAUUGGAUUUUAGAAACUAAAUAAACUAUAAAUAAACUAAAUAUAAAAACUAAAUAAAAUAUCUAUGCCCAUGAAUUAAUUGAAGAGGAUAGAAAGACACAGAGAGAACAUGGCUAUGGUUAUGAUUUCCAUCUUAUCAUUUCCUGUCAAUACCACACAUGCCCAUUUUAAGGUUGGACACUACUUUUGUUGUUGGACUUGGAAAGGGAACUUCAAAAUUGAAAACAUAAAUAAACCCUUAUGUAAAAAAAAAUAACAUUAAAAUAUAAUUGAAAAAUAUUUACUCUCUUUCAUCACUUUCAUUUGAAUAUUAAUAAUCUCUUAUUGAGAUAGAUACUUACAAUUUAACAAAAUAGAAAUUCCUAAUAAUAAAAAAUAUAAAAUUUCUAUUUCUAUUAACAAAAUAUAAAAACUUUUCAAAACUCAACUACUUAAAUAUAAAAAUAAAAUCAAAUAAAAUAUCUAGCUAAUUGGAUUUUAGAAACUAAAUAAACUAUAAAUAAACUAAAUAUAAAAACUAAAUAAAAUAUCUAUGCCCAUGAAUUAAUUGAAGAUGAUAGAAAGACACAGAGAGAACAUGGCUAUGGUUAUGACUUCCAUCUUAUCAUCUCCCAUCAAUACCACACAUGCCCAUUUUNNNNNNNNNNNNNNNNNNNNNNNNNNNNNNNNNNNNNNNNNNNNNNNNNNNNNNNNNNNNNNNNNNNNNNNNNNNNNNNNNNNNNNNNNNNNNNNNNNNNNNNNNNNNNNNNNNNNNNNNNNNNNNNNNNNNNNNNNNNNNNNNNNNNNNNNNNNNNNNNNNNNNNNNNNNNNNNNNNNNNNNNNNNNNNNNNNNNNNNNNNNNNNNNNNNNNNNNNNNNNNNNNNNNNNNNNNNNNNNNNNNNNNNNNNNNNNNNNNNNNNNNNNNNNNNNNNNNNNNNNNNNNNNNNNNNNNNNNNNNNNNNNNNNNNNNNNNNNNNNNNNNNNNNNNNNNNNNNNNNNNNNNNNNNNNNNNNNNNNNNNNNNNNNNNNNNNNNNNNNNNNNNNNNNNNNNNNNNNNNNNNNNNNNNNNNNNNNNNNNNNNNNNNNNNNNNNNNNNNNNNNNNNNNNNNNNNNNNNNNNNNNNNNNNNNNNNNNNNNNNNNNNNNNNNNNNNNNNNNNNNNNNNNNNNNNNNNNNNNNNNNNNNNNNNNNNNNNNNNNNNNNNNNNNNNNNNNNNNNNNNNNNNNNNNNNNNNNNNNNNNNNNNNNNNNNNNNNNNNNNNNNNNNNNNNNNNNNNNNNNNNNNNNNNNNNNNNNNNNNNNNNNNNNNNNNNNNNNNNNNNNNNNNNNNNNNNNNNNNNNNNNNNNNNNNNNNNNNNNNNNNNNNNNNNNNNNNNNNNNNNNNNNNNNNNNNNNNNNNNNNNNNNNNNNNNNNNNNNNNNNNNNNNNNNNNNNNNNNNNNNNNNNNNNNNNNNNNNNNNNNNNNNNNNNNNNNNNNNNNNNNNNNNNNNNNNNNNNNNNNNNNNNNNNNNNNNNNNNNNNNNNNNNNNNNNNNNNNNNNNNNNNNNNNNNNNNNNNNNNNNNNNNNNNNNNNNNNNNNNNNNNNNNNNNNNNNNNNNNNNNNNNNNNNNNNNNNNNNNNNNNNNNNNNNNNNNNNNNNNNNNNNNNNNNNNNNNNNNNNNNNNNNNNNNNNNNNNNNNNNNNNNNNNNNNNNNNNNNNNNNNNNNNNNNNNNNNNNNNNNNNNNNNNNNNNNNNNNNNNNNNNNNNNNNNNNNNNNNNNNNNNNNNNNNNNNNNNNNNNNNNNNNNNNNNNNNNNNNNNNNNNNNNNNNNNNNNNNNNNNNNNNNNNNNNNNNNNNNNNNNNNNNNNNNNNNNNNNNNNNNNNNNNNNNNNNNNNNNNNNNNNNNNNNNNNNNNNNNNNNNNNNNNNNNNNNNNNNNNNNNNNNNNNNNNNNNNNNNNNNNNNNNNNNNNNNNNNNNNNNNNNNNNNNNNNNNNNNNNNNNNNNNNNNNNNNNNNNNNNNNNNNNNNNNNNNNNNNNNNNNNNNNNNNNNNNNNNNNNNNNNNNNNNNNNNNNNNNNNNNNNNNNNNNNNNNNNNNNNNNNNNNNNNNNNNNNNNNNNNNNNNNNNNNNNNNNNNNNNNNNNNNNNNNNNNNNNNNNNNNNNNNNNNNNNNNNNNNNNNNNNNNNNNNNNNNNNNNNNNNNNNNNNNNNNNNNNNNNNNNNNNNNNNNNNNNNNNNNNNNNNNNNNNNNNNNNNNNNNNNNNNNNNNNNNNNNNNNNNNNNNNNNNNNNNNNNNNNNNNNNNNNNNNNNNNNNNNNNNNNNNNNNNNNNNNNNNNNNNNNNNNNNNNNNNNNNNNNNNNNNNNNNNNNNNNNNNNNNNNNNNNNNNNNNNNNNNNNNNNNNNNNNNNNNNNNNNNNNNNNNNNNNNNNNNNNNNNNNNNNNNNNNNNNNNNNNNNNNNNNNNNNNNNNNNNNNNNNNNNNNNNNNNNNNNNNNNNNNNNNNNNNNNNNNNNNNNNNNNNNNNNNNNNNNNNNNNNNNNNNNNNNNNNNNNNNNNNNNNNNNNNNNNNNNNNNNNNNNNNNNNNNNNNNNNNNNNNNNNNNNNNNNNNNNNNNNNNNNNNNNNNNNNNNNNNNNNNNNNNNNNNNNNNNNNNNNNNNNNNNNNNNNNNNNNNNNNNNNNNNNNNNNNNNNNNNNNNNNNNNNNNNNNNNNNNNNNNNNNNNNNNNNNNNNNNNNNNNNNNNNNNNNNNNNNNNNNNNNNNNNNNNNNNNNNNNNNNNNNNNNNNNNNNNNNNNNNNNNNNNNNNNNNNNNNNNNNNNNNNNNNNNNNNNNNNNNNNNNNNNNNNNNNNNNNNNNNNNNNNNNNNNNNNNNNNNNNNNNNNNNNNNNNNNNNNNNNNNNNNNNNNNNNNNNNNNNNNNNNNNNNNNNNNNNNNNNNNNNNNNNNNNNNNNNNNNNNNNNNNNNNNNNNNNNNNNNNNNNNNNNNNNNNNNNNNNNNNNNNNNNNNNNNNNNNNNNNNNNNNNNNNNNNNNNNNNNNNNNNNNNNNNNNNNNNNNNNNNNNNNNNNNNNNNNNNNNNNNNNNNNNNNNNNNNNNNNNNNNNNNNNNNNNNNNNNNNNNNNNNNNNNNNNNNNNNNNNNNNNNNNNNNNNNNNNNNNNNNNNNNNNNNNNNNNNNNNNNNNNNNNNNNNNNNNNNNNNNNNNNNNNNNNNNNNNNNNNNNNNNNNNNNNNNNNNNNNNNNNNNNNNNNNNNNNNNNNNNNNNNNNNNNNNNNNNNNNNNNNNNNNNNNNNNNNNNNNNNNNNNNNNNNNNNNNNNNNNNNNNNNNNNNNNNNNNNNNNNNNNNNNNNNNNNNNNNNNNNNNNNNNNNNNNNNNNNNNNNNNNNNNNNNNNNNNNNNNNNNNNNNNNNNNNNNNNNNNNNNNNNNNNNNNNNNNNNNNNNNNNNNNNNNNNNNNNNNNNNNNNNNNNNNNNNNNNNNNNNNNNNNNNNNNNNNNNNNNNNNNNNNNNNNNNNNNNNNNNNNNNNNNNNNNNNNNNNNNNNNNNNNNNNNNNNNNNNNNNNNNNNNNNNNNNNNNNNNNNNNNNNNNNNNNNNNNNNNNNNNNNNAUAUCUAGCUAAUUGGAUUUUAGAAACUAAAUAAACUAUAAAUAAACUAAAUAUAAAAACUAAAUAAAAUAUCUAUGCCCAUGAAUUAAUUGAAGAUGAUAGAAAGACACAGAGAGAACAUGGCUAUGGUUAUGACUUCCAUCUUAUCAUCUCCCAUCAAUACCACACAUGCCCAUUUUAAGGUUGGACACUACUUUUGUUGCUGGACUUGGAAAGGGAACUUCAAAAUUGAAAACAUAAAUAAACCCUUAUGUAAAAAAAAAAAAAACAUUAAAAUAUAAUUGAGCAUUAAAAUAUUUACUCUCUUUCAUCACUUUCAUUUGAAUAUUAAUAAUCUCUUAUUGAGAUAGAUACUUACAAUUUAACAAAAUAGAAAUUCCUAAUAAUAAAAAAUAUAAAAAUUUCUAUUUCUAUUAACAAAAUAUAAAAACUUUCCAAAACUCAAAUACUUAAAUAUAAAAACAAAAUCAAAUAAAAUAUCUAACUAAUUGGAUUUUAGAAACUAAAUAAACUAUAAAUAAACUAAAUAUAAAAACUAAAUAAAAUAUCUAUGCCCAUGAAUUAAUUGAAGAGGAUAGAAAGACACAGAGAGAACAUGGCUAUGGUUAUGACUUCCAUUUUAUCAUCUCCCGUCAAUACCACACAUGCCCAUUCCCGGAUUGGACUCCUUUUGUUGCUGGAUAAAGGGAACUUCAAAAUUGAAAAUCUAAAUAACCCCUUAGAUACAAGCAGAAAAAUCAUUCUUUUUUUUUUUUCCUCUCUCGUUUUUUAGAAAGGAUGAAGAUUAUGUGAUAGUAUAUCUUAAAAAAUUCUGUACCUAUCAUUCUCACACAAAUACAUAUUAAAAUCAUUCAUUUUUUCUGUUUUUCAUUUUUUUNNNNNNNNNNNNNNNNNNNNNNNNNNNNNNNNNNNNNNNNNNNNNNNNNNNNNNNNNNNNNNNNNNNNNNNNNNNNNNNNNNNNNNNNNNNNNNNNNNNNACUUUCAUUUGAAUAUUAAUAAUCUCUUAUUGAGAUAGAUACUUACAAUUUAACAAAAUAGAAAUUCCUAAUAAUAAAAAAUAUAAAAAUUUCUAUUUCUAUUAACAAAAUAUAAAAACUUUCCAAAACUCAAAUACUUAAAUAUAAAAACAAAAUCAAAUAAAAUAUCUAACUAAUUGGAUUUUAGAAACUAAAUAAACUAUAAAUAAACUAAAUAUAAAAACUAAAUAAAAUAUCUAUGCCCAUGAAUUAAUUGAAGAGGAUAGAAAGACACAGAGAGAACAUGGCUAUGGUUAUGAUUUCCAUUUUAUCAUCUCCCGUCAAUACCACACAUGCCUUCCCGGAUUGGUCCUUUUGGGGUUGGAUACUCUCAACGAAAUUCUAUAUCUCAUUCCCACUUAGAUACAAGCAGAAAAAUCAUUCUUUUUUUUUUUUCCUCUCUCGUUUUUUAGAAAGGAUGAAGAUUAUGUGAUAGUAUAUCUUAAAAAAAUUCUGUACCUAUCAUUCUCACACAAAUACAUAUUAAAAAUCAUUCAUUUUUUCCUGUUUUUCAUUUUUUUUAAGGACUUGAUCAUGUGUUUGGUUUAGAUUAAAAAAAUCAAUUAAUCUAUAGUUUUUUCUUCCAUGCUAGAAGAUUAAACCUAAAUUUUUCUUCCCUACAACUCAAGAAAACACAAUUCACAAAAACCAUAAUACAAAGAUGUUGAAACAAUUAAUAUAAUGACAUUAAUAAAAGAAAAAAAAAUGAUAGAUCCAAGAUAUUUUGGGUUACCUGGGAGUCCACAAAGUGAAGAAUGUCGGUUUUGAGCGUGUUGACUAUGGAUGGGUGAGAGAAAAGGUUGAAGAAGAUCAUGAUUUUAUAUAUAGGAUUUAUAUAUUGAGAUUUUUUGGAUUGUGGGUGAGAUAUGGAAACAAUGGGAUUUUUAUAUAGUAUCCAUCAUUAUUAAUUCUAAAAGUGGGCUCAUUAAGUUUUAAUACUUAAAAAAAAAUUAUUUUAUAUGAUGUCACUUCCCAAAAAAUGACACUAUAAAUAUAAAAUUAAUAUCAUCUAACUACCUCAAUUGAAGAUUUUUUAUAUGAUGUGUCACCUUUAUUAAUUAUAAACCCUAUGGUGUCAUUAUUUUAAAAGUGACACCGUAAAUAGUGACACCAUAAACUAUUUUUGUAGUAGUGAAGUUAGAAAAUGAUUCAUAAUGCUUCUUAAAUAAACACUUGAUAAAUACUUCUUUUAAAAAAUGUUUUUUUAAAACAUGAAAAAUAUUAGAAUUUCCAAUAAAUGUUCAUGUUAAAAAAGUACAAUUUUCAAGAAUUUUUGUUAGAAACACUUUCAAAUAUACCUAUAUCCCUUUUUGUUUGGAGUAGUAUAACCUAUGAAAACACAUUUUUCAACUCUAGGAUCAAGUUAGAUCAAAGUUUGUUGGGUAUGUGAACAAAUACCAUGCAACCGAAAACUUGUAAAAAGAGAUUAAAUUAUAUUCUAGAUUUUGGAAAUUUUUGGGUACUCCAAAGGUGUGAUAUAUUUUAAAAUUUGGGUAGGCAUCCUAUUAAUUAAAUAGGAUAUUGUUCAAACAACUUCUCCCGAUAAAUAGUUUGGAACAUGCAUAAAAAAACAUUAUGGCAUAGGCCACUUCAAGUAAAUGUUUUUUUUUUCUCUAAACAACUCCAUUUUGUUGAGGAAUAUCAUGACAUGUAGAUUGAUGUUGGAUACUUUUUUCUUUUUAAAAAAUUUCCAAGCAUUUAUUGAAAUAUUUCAUUCUAUUAUUAAAGUCAAGUAGACUGAUUUUUAUUUGAAAUUGAUUUUCAUCUUAUUGUAAAAAUCUUUGAACAACGUUUCCACUUCAAAUAUUUCAUGGGUGUGAUCGUUUAUAAAAGUCACAAACUCGUUUUUUCCUAGAUAAAAUGGUAACCUUUAAACUCCAAACAUCACUAUGAAUCAAAUCAAAUGGUUUUAAAGCAUGAUAGGUUUCGAGAUAUAAGUAGCACGAUGGAUUUUGAUAAAUGACAACUCUCACAUUCUAAUAUAAUAAUGUUUAUAAAUACAUAUAUACAACAUUGUACAAUUUAUUUUUUUGUUGUUUUCAUUUUUUUUUUUUUCCCACCACACAAGACUAGAAACCAAGGGAGAUUCUAGUCGGUGUCACAAGCAAUGUGGCCGUUACAAGAGAAGAAAUCGUUACCCGGGAAAAGAGCAAGGCGGUUGGUUUGAGUCGUUACAGCGCGGGAACGCAACUGGUAGGCUGUUUCACACACUUCAGGUGGGUGCGUCGCAGGAGAUAACUCAUUUUUUCGCCAUUUCCACAAAUGUUUUUCGCUGCAAUUAGUUUUGUACCUACCUCCCGGGAAAUAAAACGCGUCGUUUUGGGCUUGGGCUUUUAAAGUAAAGGGCUAAAACCACUGUUAGAAACUGAACCUGGCCCAGUUUGAGUAAGCAGAGGCAUCUCACUCUUUUCUUUUGCUACAUAAAUAAUUACUUCCAUGCUAAUCCACUUUAAAAUUGCUUUGAUUCAAAACAAAAAUAAUUUUAAUAUUUAAAAAAUAAUUUUAAUAUUUAAAAAAUAUUUUAAUUAAAGAAAAAUAUUUUCAUGGACAAAGUAUUUGUCUCUUUAUUCAUUUAUUUUUUCAAUAUCUUAAAUACCUAAAUAAUUUAAAAUAUUAUUUUUUACCGUUAAUUUUUACAUUUGAAAUAUAUACUCCCAAAAACAAUAAUACUUUUUUUUUUUGGUAAUAAAAUUGGAUUCCUGUUUUUUAUUUUGCAAAGUUAUUUUCCUUUAUUGUUUUUUCCUUUUUUAAAGUUUAUGAUUUUUAUUAUAAAAAUUAUUACUAAUAAAAAUCCAUCUAGUAUAUGAUGUUAAUUCAUUGAGAUGAUGUAUUAACAUAGACGCUAGUAUGGUAGGAUAAAAUAAUGUUUUUAACGCUAUUAGAUUUAUUGCAAAAUGUAAGCACAACAUUUAUAUGUUGAACUUAAAACAUAAUUAGGCUAAAAGUAUAAUGCAUUAUGACAAGCCUUAAUUUUACUUUUUUAACAAUUAUAAAAACAAAUAUUUUUAUUGUAAUAUUUUCUUAAUAGUUAUAUACAAAAUUAAACAUGUUAAAAUUUAUGAAAUCUAUAUAAUAAAAAUUAUAAUAGCUUUAUAUUUAUAAUUAUUAAAAUUAAACAAUAAUUUAUAAAUUUAAUAUAUUAUAUAUUAUAUUAUAUUAUAUCUUACAUUAUUAUUAUUAUUAUUGUUAUUAUUAUUGUUAUUAUUAUUAUUAUUUUGGAUAAGUUAUUGAUAAUAUUUUUAAAAUAAUAAUUAAUAAAAUGAUAAUUUAUAAUUAAUUUUAUAUUAUAUAUAUGGAUUAGUAUUAAUAUUAUUCUUAUUUGAUAGGUUAUUAAUAAUAAUAAUAAUAAUAAUUAGAAAAGAAAAAGAGAAAAUAGAGAAAAGACAAGGUAGGGAUAUGCUUGAUUUUAAAGUGGAAAGUAUGAGGGUAUACUUAACUUUUUGUAUUUUGUGUCAUGUGGAAGACUUAUUAAAGUUGAUGACCCAUUUGGGACAUUGUCACCUAUAACUCAUCCUAUAUGGAAAUUUUCCCUAAAAUGUUUUACUAAUGGGCAGAAAAUCCCUCCUCAAAGCACAUGAGGAUGUUUAUGAACUAUUUGAAUGGAAAUUGGAGCUAAAAUCAACCAUAAGAGUGACUUAGUUUAGUGGAAUAUAUAGUUAGAAGAUAAAUCUCACUCAACUAUCUCUUUACCUAUAAGACAAAACUCAUUGCCUUGUAUAGUGGGAUAAAAAGGUAAACAAAUGGGUUCUUUUUAGUAAAAAAUGUGCUCCAUGAUCAUAUCACAAAUUUAAGUUAAAUAAAAAGUAAAAAUUUCUAAAUAAAUUUUUUAUUAAAAUGAUUUCUCAAUUGUGAAGUAAAUUGAUCUUACAUAUUUUUGUACUCAAUUUUUAUUUUUUUUAUUAAAAUAGAUGGAGGUGUUUAACAAUUCUCCUUAUCAAAUCCUAGUCCUAAUCCUAAUUCUAAUCAUAAUUAUUUCUCGUUUCUUUUCUUUCCUUUCCUUCCAUUCUAUUAUAUUUAAGUACUUAAAUUAAAUCAUUAACUCAAUUUAUCAAAUUCAUCAUAAGGAUCAUGUAAAAAUCUUUUAAACCACUUAGUGGAUCCACUCGUUCAUUAUUCAUGAUUGAUUGAUCAAUGUAAAGAUUAGAAUAACGUUUAUAUGUAAUUUAGAGGCUCUUCCCCUAGAUUUAUACAUAUGAAUUGCUUUUAGAAAAAAAAAAAAAAAAUCAGCACAAAAACUGGGAUAAGGGGCAAUAGAAACUCAUCAAUGCUUUUAGCUAUAGUGCAUAAUUAGAAUGAAAAGGACACUAUUAAAUAGAGCAGGUUGCCUUUUGUUCAAUUAAUGACUAUUCUAGUUGGGAAAUAUACCAUACAUGGGUUCUCGAUUUAAAUUAUUGUACAAAAUGUCUCAAAAGAAAAUGUCACUUGACUUGUUUGCAAUUGAUUAAUUUGUACUAAUAAUUAAGUGUAUAUUUGUAUAGAUCUCUUGUUUAUUUAAAAAUAAAUAAAUAAAUAGUAACAAUUUCUAUAUAAAAUAAGAGAAAUAUUAAUGUAGUGCUUUUUUAAAAUUCAUUAAAUAAAUUAAAAUAUUAAAAAAAUUAUUAUAUCAAAUUUUAAAAUUUUUGAAAAAUAUUUUUUAAGAAUAUAUAGUAAGUUUAUACCUUUUAUAUAAAAAAAAUUCUAUUUAAAAAAAUAAGAAAUGUAUACAAAUGAAACAUAAAUGCUUAAAUAAGAUUUAUCGAAUAAUGACAUUUUACCUAAACCAAUAAUUAAAAAUAAUAACAAAAAAACUCAUAAGCAAAAGAAAUAUAGUUAUUAAAGAGAAUUAAGACACAUUAAUUUCAAAGAAAGUGAAAUAAACAACUAAGUCAUUCAUAAGGUAAUCCAACACAUAUUUUGUUCAUGGCCCAAGUUCGUCCAAGUACUAUCAAAUAUUAAAGUUAUUAUCAACUCAACAACUCUUGAGAGCCAAAGGCAACUGAAAAAUUUGUCAUAAACUCAUUUUAUAGUCUUUAUCCGUCCUGAAGUUAACUUGAAAAUUGUGUGAUCAUGUUUUUUAUUUCCAUUAUAUUUAAUUUUGAAAAGUAUUAAGAAAAAAAAAAUCUAAGGAAAUGAUUUUCUCAUAUUUAAUUGUACUGUAAAAAAUAAUUUGUCACCAAUUAAUCUAACUAUGCAACUAAUUUUUUUUUAUUUGUUUUAGUAAAAAAAGAAAAAAAAAUGGGAAAGGGGGAAUUUUGAAGAAGGUGAUUUAGGAGAAAAGUAGGAAAUGGACAAAGAAAAGAAAAAAAGAGAAAAUAAAUAAAUAAAAUAGGAUUAAGGUUUUGGAUGAAUAAGAGUUGAGAGGUUAAAGAACAUAGUAUAUAUUUUGUCCUUCUACACCUAAGAGUUAUAUGAAAAAAUUAAAAACAAAAAAAGACGGGUGUGGACCCCGCAUUUCAGCUAAUGCGUUUUCCAUUUGAUGGCGAGCUCGAUUUUUAUUUAAAAAAUGAUUUUUAUUCAUUAAAAAUCUGACAUGGAGUCGACACUUAUUUUUGUUUUAUUUUUAAAGGGGUAAACAAAAUAAGAAAGAAAACCCUAAGUGUGACUCCUUAUUUUGGAAAAGGUGGUCUACGAAAAACCGGAUCGGGCUCGGGGGUCAUGUUACUUAUCGGGAAGGUACGGUAUGGAUCGUAGCACCCCUCUAAGUCCCUGAAGUUGGGUCUCUACUAAUAGAAUGAAGCUGACGUGGUCAUCGACAAGAAAAACAAUGAACACUCAGAUUGAUCGGGCACAAUAUGAGGAUCAUAAUAUGCAUACAGAAUGAUCAAAACAAGAAUGAGCGCGUACUUGGACCUCCAGUCACGAAUGCGCUAUCAUGAAACAGAAUUAGUGAACAAUGGAUAUGGAAUAUAGCUCAUGCAUAUCGGAGUGCAAAACGAAAAUCAAGCAAAAUACAUUAAGUACAACAGUUGACAAUCGAAAAGGAUCAAACAUAGGGCCCCCACCAAAGCCCCAAUCAUUGUUCAUGAAUUAGUCUUACAAAUUCCGUGUUUUACAAUUAUGAAGAAUUCAUUAUUGCCUAUGUAAAAUCAAGAAAAUCAGAAGAUUAUUUAGGAACCGAAAUGGGAUUAAAACUAUUCGAGUGAAGACUAGAUUCUUGGAGUUUAUUUGAAAAUUGGAGUAUUUGGAAUUAAAUUUAAAAGAUUAGAGCUCCGGUAAUUAAAUUGAAAUUUGUCAAAGAAGAUGAGAAAUGAACUUUAGGAAAUUGAUCUGCGAGAAUAUGGAUUUUGAAAGUUGAAUUUGUAAUAAUAGUAAUUAUAAGAAAUGAACUUUGAGAAAUCGGACUACGAGAAUAUAGAUUUUGAAAGUUGAAUUAAUAAUAAUAAUAAUGAUAAGAAAUGAACUUUGAGAAAUUAAACUGCGAGAAUAUAGAUUUUGAAAGUUGAAUUAAUAAUAAUAGUAAUGAUAAGAAAUGAACUUUGAGAAAUUAAACUGCGAGAAUAUAAAUUUUGAAAGUUGAAUUAAUAAUAAUAAUAAUAAUAAUAAUAAUAUUUUGAAAGUUGAAUUAGUAAUAAUAAUAAUAAUAAGAUUUUGAAAGUUGAAUUAACAAUAAUAAUAAUAAUAAUAAUAACAAUAAUAAGAUUUGGAAAAUUGAAUUAAUAAUAAUAAUGACUAUGAUAAUAAUAAUAAUAAUAGUAAUAAUAAUAAUAAUAAUGAUAAUGGUUAAUAAUAAUAAUAAUAAUAAUAAUAAUAAUAGUUAAUAAUAAUAAUAAUUAAUAAUUAAUAAUAAUAAUAGUAAUAGUAAUAAUAAUAAUAAUAGUUAAUAAUAAUAAUAAUAAUAAUAAUAGUUAAUAAGAAUAGUAAUAAUAAUAAUUAAUAAUGAUGAUAUCAUAAACCCAAGUCCAUAAGCCCAAGCCCACGUCCAACAUUAAAAAAGCUCAGUCCAUAAGCCCAAGCCCACGUCCAACAUUAAAAGAGCUCAAUCCAUAAGCCCAAGCCCACGUCCAACAUUAAAAAGCUUUGGGCUCCAUCUCCACCAAGACCAAACUAGCAUAAUAAUAAUAAUAAUGGGGCUUUGGGCUCCAUCCCCAUCAUAAGCCCAAGUCCAUCAUUAAAAAAAGCUUUGGGUUCCAUCUCCACCAAGCCCAAACUAGCAACCCUAGCCCAUUAACCCUCAAGCCUAUCAAGACUAAAUGCCCCACCUGGGCAUUGUCUUCAAUAAGGAGCUCCCCAGCAAGGGCGCCAUGGCCGUCGGAGCAAGGACCGCCCGCGACGCCGGAGGUGCGGAGGUCAUCGCUACGAGCGCCGACGAUGGCUUGGAGAUCUUUGUAGAACCUCACAAAACUCAUCAAAGGCUCAAAUAGGAUGAACUAACUCGAUACAACCCUCAAGCAUUAAACAAACUAAAAUGGAGGGCUAGCUAUUUACAGGAGAAAACAAAGACAGGGCGUGUACAUGCAGCUGACUACAUUCAAACUCAAAACCAAAUAAUCCGAGAUGUCCACAACAAAAUCGCUAAAAUAUUACCCAUGGGUCAACAAAGAAAUGAUGCCAGAUAUCGAGAGAAAGAAACGUAUUAAACUCGAAAGGGACUCACCUGGAACUUGUGAAAGCUUCCUAACAACCAGCUUUCUCUCCCAAGCUAGCUCCCCCUGGUUCUCUCUCUCUCUGCCAUCUUCCUUUCUUUUUCUUUCUCCUUUCCCCCCCCCCCCCACUCUGAUGCCAUACUAGGGCAUAUUUCCCUCAUUUGGAUAUGGAGAUGGUCUUUUUGUCUUAGAUCUGUUACAAUUCCCAUCACUCGGCCGAGAGAUGUCGUAUUUGCUUCAUGGGUCACUAUUUUGAAGAUAUUCAUCGAGAUGAGCUUUCAGUGUAGCAUGACGUUCGGGUUGUAACUGCCUCGUUAUCCAUGAUUCUUCAGCAGAUGGUUAUAUUGAGUUCACGAGGGUCACCCUGUCAGAUCGCUUUUUUGGAGAUUCCAUAGUGGAUCAUUCGAUUUGAUCAUCCCGACUCACCAGCAGAGCAUCUUUCGAGAUUUAUGGAGUCUCUUUCAGACCCUUCCGAUGGAUUGAGAGUUGUGGCGACAUGCUAUACUGCGACAUAUUUCCCCCAUCAUUCCCUUGCAGUUCGACAUUCAGAGCCUCCGUGUCUUCCUAGUUACAACGUUCAGAGUCAUCUUUCUCAGCUUGAUGUUCAUGGUUAUUCNNNNNNNNNNNNNNNNNNNNNNNNNNNNNNNNNNNNNNNNNNNNNNNNNNNNNNNNNNNNNNNNNNNNNNNNNNNNNNNNNNNNNNNNNNNNNNNNNNNNCCCCCCCUGUUUUCUACCACCAACAACCCCACCUCCAUUCCCCUUUUUCUCCUCUCAAUCUUUCCCAUCUCAUCCACUCCCAUAAAAAAAAAAAAUCCAAAAAAUCAAGCCAUACUUGGCCUUGGGGUCUUAACCAACCGGGGGGGUAUACAAAUAUGCCCCUCUUCGGUAGAGUUCACGAGUGUAAGGAAUAUGAACACUAGAGUGAAAAGAAAGUGUGAAUAGUGAGUGGAAUGAAGUGAACUCUACCGAAGAACAAAGGAGACCCCCAAAAGGACACUAAUGAGACAAGAACUCACUCGAACCAAUAGAUGAGCAAAAAAAAAGGGUCUAACCCUAAGAGAAAAGCAGAUCUCUCAAAAUGCCUCUAAAGCCAAACAGAGGACUCGGGCUCCCUCUAAGACGUCUCCAAAAGUGACUCGAAAGACCAUAUCAAGGAUGAGUAACGGUCGAACCACUCUGAAGUACAAGAAAGACUACGCCCAAAGGAGACUGCCUUAUGCGAACUUCAUGAGAAUGACUAGUGUAGGGUGUCUAACAACAUGACCGAAGUAAGUGUCGUGACCUCAAAGGUCAUCGUGUCAUGAGCAAUGAAAAGGGGAAUUUGGAAGAGUGAUGACAAGUAGGCGAUAAGCACAGGGUAACAUGGUGAGGAAAAUGAGAAUAAAUGCAAACCCAUGAAGGCAAGAUGUGCAAUGCCAAUGAACAUGAAUGCUAGGGACUCUAACUCUGAAUGAUGCGAAUGAGGAGAAAUGGCUCUAAACAUCAAAACACGGGAAAGAUAAGGACUCAAGGUGCCUGAACGGAUAUGUACAAUGGCUUUGAACGCCCAACUAAAGAGAGAUGGUGGCAUCGAAUGUCUAUAUGAGUAUGGAAAAAUGGCUUUGAACACCAAAACUAAAGGAAAGAAGUGAUGAUGGCUCUGAACCACGAAAUUGAAAAUAGUGAUGGCUCUGAACGUCAAAACGGAGGAGUGGUGAUGGCUCUGAACGUCGAAACAGAUGAGUGAUGAUGACUUUGAACGCCGAAGCUAAGAAUGAGAUAGUGGCUCUAAACACCAAAAGAAAGUGAACGGCUCUGAAUGCCGAAACUAAAGAAACGAUGAUGGUUCUGAAUGCCAAACUGAAUACAAAUAACGGCUCUGAACGCCGAACUGCAAAUGUGGCUACGAACUCCAAACGAAAAAUGAACAAUGGCUUUGAACGCCAAAAUGAGAAUGUGGCUCUGAAUGUCAAACGGAAAAUGAACAAUGGCCCUAAACACCAAACUGAAGGCAUGACUCUAAACUCCAAAAUGAAAACGUGGCUUUGAAUGCCAAAUGGGAAAUGAACGAUGGCUUCGAACGCCAAAUAGAAAACGAACAAUGGCUCUGAACGCCAAAAUGAAAACGUGGCUCUAAAUGCCAAAUAUGAAACGAACAAUGGCUCUAAGCGCCAAACGAAAAAUGAACGAUGGCUCUGAACGUCAAACGAAAAUGUGGCUCUGAAUGCCAAAUAUGAAAUGAACGAUGGCUCUGAGCGCCAAACGAAAAAUGAACAAUGGCUCUGAACGCUAAAAUGAGGACGUGGCUCUGAACGCCAAAUGGGAAAUGAACGAUGGCUCUGAUCGCCAAAUGGGAAAAUGAACAAUGGCUCUAAAUGCCAAACCGAUAAACGACGAUAGCUCUGAACGCCAAACUGAGAAACGAUGAUGAUGGCUCUGAACGCCGAAGCUAAGAAUGAGGAUGGCUCUGAACGCCAAAACUGAGAAGCGAUGAUGGCUCUGAACGCCAAAAACUAAGAAGCGAUGAGGGCUCUGAACGCCAAACUAAGAACGAUGAUGGCUCUGAACGCUAAACCGAGAAUGAUGAUGGCUCUGAACGCCAAAACUGAGAAUGAGGAUGGCUCUGAACUCUAAAACUGAGAAGCGAUGAUGGCUCUGAACGCCAAAACUGAGAACGAUGAUGGCUCUGAAUGCCAAAACUGAGAAGGAAUAAUGGCUCUGAACCCCGAGACUGAAAAUGCUAAUGGCUCUGAACACCGAAAAUAAGAAGAAAAUAACGACUCUGAAUGCCGAGACUGAGACUACGACCCUGGAUGCCGAACUGAAACAACGGCUCUGAAUGCCAAAAGGAAUAUGAACAGUGGCUCUGAAUGACAAAUGGAAAGCGAGCAAUGGCUCUAAACGCCAAACUAAAGAGAGUGAUGUGAUAACUCUAAAUGUCGAUCCAAAACCGUGGCUCUGAACACCAAAUUGAAACGGUGGCUCUGAACGCCAAAUGGAAAAGGAACAAUGGCUCUGAAUGACAAAUGGAAAAUGAACAAUGGCUCUGAAAGCCAAAACGAAACAAUGGCUCUGAACGCCAAACCAAACUGAAUAACCAUGAACAUCAAGCUGAGAAAGAUGACUCUGAACGUUGUAACUAGGAAGACACGGAGGCUCUGAAUGUCGAACUGCAAGGGAAUGAUGGGGGAAAUAUGUCGCAGUAUAGCAUGUCGCCACAACUCUCAAUCCAUCGGAAGGGUCUGAAAGAGACUCCAUAAAUCUCGAAAGAUGCUCUGCUGGUGAGUCGGGAUGAUCAAAUCGAAUGAUCCACUAUGGAAUCUCCAAAAAAGCGAUCUGACAGGGUGACCCUCGUGAACUCAAUAUAACCAUCUGCUGAAGAAUCAUGGAUAACGAGGCAGUUACAACCCGAACGUCAUGCUACACUGAAAGCUCAUCUCGAUGAAUAUCUUCAAAAUAGUGACCCAUGAAGCAAAUACGACAUCUCUCGGCCGAGUGAUGGGAAUUGUAACAGAUCUAAGACAAAAAGACCAUCUCCAUAUCCAAAUGAGGGAAAUAUGCCCUAGUAUGGCAUCAGAUGUAUCCGAUCUGUCAUGAUGACUCAUGAGUAACUCAAUGAGGAUGGAUGAAAGAUCUGACAUGUAAUCCGACAAAAUAAUGAUGCAAGAAUCCAUGAGCCUGAGACGACUCCAUCCAAAAAUCACACUGACAUCGGAAAGUGUGAGCCUGAUGAAAUGACCCAAAGACAAAUCCAUCAGAGAGUCAUGAUUAAGUGAAACAAAAUCACCAAUCUGAUGUGUAUCUCAUAACUGGGGAUAAUUACGCGAAUAAGUGGGGAUCUGUAAAUCUCAAUCGAAAGCGGAAAUAUGCCCCAGUAUGACAUCAAAUUUGUGAUGAGUUGGGAAAAUCAAAUGACAUCAAAUCAUGCAUCAUCAGACAUGUAAUCCUGGUCAUCCGAAUCCAUAACAAAAUCAUGCUCACGGAUCUAAGAUGUAUACCUCGGUGGAGGGGCCUGAUGGCAUCUAAGUGCCGAGAAAUGCGUGCCUAACUGGAUGACUCCUGAGAGGCUCCACUGAGGAAUCAUCAUAAAAUAGCGAACAAAUCAUCAUCUCAGCGUGUACUCCGUGAAUGGGAAUGAUCAUGUAACUCCAUGGAGAUCUCUAAACCUCAUCCAAAAUGGGAAUAUGCCCCAAUGCGGCAUCAAAUGUACGAUAAGUCGGAAACCAGGUGAUAUGAAGUCAUCUAUCAUCAGACAUGUAAUAUCUAUGAUCCAAAUCAAAUCCAAACAUCUGGGGAACGUCUCUCGGAAUAAGAAGCAUGACAACAACCCGAUGUUAAGAAGUGCAGACCUGAAUGAAUAGCUCCACUAGGGCUCCACUAAGGAAUUAUCAUAAAAUAGUGAAAACGUCAUCAUCUCAGCGCAUACCCUGUAAGUGGGGAUAAACACGCAACUCCGUGAAGAUCUGUAAAAUCAUAUCUGAAACGGAAAUAUGCCCCAGUAUGGCAUCGAAUGUGUGACAGAUCAGAAAAGGUUAGGUGUCAUCAAAUCACCUCUCAUUGAAUGCGUGAUCCCGGUAAUCCAAACAUAAUUGAAACGAAUCUAACCAUCAGAAAGAUGUCUCCCAGAAGAAGAAGCAUGACAAUGUCUAAAUGGCAACCAGAUCUCAAACACCUGUCCAAGCAGAGGCUGUCAAAGACGACAUCUGAUCUCAUGGCCUCAGGGUGGUCUUAAGACACAGGACGUAACGUAGGCUAGGGUGAUAAGGUAAUAGAAAUGAAAGGAAACUAGGCUCAAAUACCCAAUGAUCAAAACUCAUGCCUUCAUGUAUAAAAUGCAAUAUGUAUAGAAAAGCUCGUGAGCCAUGGACCCGAAUGUGCCUAACAUGAACGUGACAUCGAUAAUGAGGUGAUGAAGAAAAAUGAUCUGAUAGCGGGAUAUGUAAGAAUGAUGCACGUGGAGUGUCAAACCAGGAAUAAAAGGGUGUGGUAAGGAAAAAAAAAAGCAAGAGGUGAGAUGAGGAUGACGAAUCAAAAGCCAAAAGGAAAAUGAUGAUGAAACAAGUAAUACAAAGGGGAGCAGUGAUCAACUCAAAUCAGACAUGGAGGGAAGUCACAUCAACAAUGAACGUAAUGAUGGAUAGGACAAUGACCCGGAUUGCCUAGGAGAAGGCCACUCAUCUCGCUCUCAAAACAUACGACAAAAAUGAAUACAAAGAAUGAAGGGUCUCGGAAAGCUCACAUACGAACUCCCAUCAAUAAACAUACUCGAUAUAGUGACCCUCGAACAUCAACAUACACGCCCAACAAUGGAGAAUACUAUGCACAUACACACAUGUGCUUAUUUUUCUUUCCUUUUCAUUUUUUUUUUCAAUCAAUUUUUCAAUUUUUUUUUAUACAUAUAUACAAAUACACAUACCCUGAACAUAAACAAAUGAACCCCAAAGAUGAUACCAAUAAUGAAUAGACACACUCCCAAAUGCUAAGGUAACCAAAAAGCUCUCUCUGACAAGAUGACCUUCUCAAACUAAGGAUCUUUAACUCAGUGUCCGUAUGAUAAAUAGUGGAAAUGAUGUGACUAUCCCCCAUGUAAUGAACUGAGGAAGAUCACCACUCGGGGUGGAGAGAAUAUGAAGCAAAACAAGUAGAUAAAAUAAAGAAUGAGAGACGAAAAACACGACUAAUGAGAUAUGAAGGAAUGCAGUAGUGUGGUGGUGGGGAAAAAUAAUGAGAGAAAGAUGCACCUAUAGGUCCAAGGCUCAUGAGGCUUCCAAACAAUGCAUGAUUACACUAAAAGGGCCCCACUCCCGGUGUAAAAAUGUGAGCAAGGCGAUAAGAUAGAAAAACUAUAACGUACACGCGAGGCUCAAUGGGCUAGCAAUGGUUUAUACGUCAAAAGGGAAUAACAAGGUAUAUAGCUAAACCGAAAUGAUGGCCACCCAUCCUGCGACCAUGGUGUCAAACAUAGUACCUCUUUAGCUGAUCCACGUUGGUAGGCUCCGAGAAUCGGUUUCCAUCUAGAUCCAUCAACCAUGCAGCGCCCUCUGGAGUCAACUCUCUGACGAAGUAAGGUCCGCUCCAAUUGGGUCUGAACUUCCCUCUAGGAUCUCUGAUCAAUCCCCUGAUGACCUUCAGAACCAAGUCACCUACAUGUAGUGGUCUAGGCUCAUGGUGUAUGGGCGAAUAGGAUAAUAAAACGGCGUGUGAGUCAGUCAGGCCCUCACCAUCUCCUUGCGCAAUCGCGCCAUAUAUCUAUAAUCAGCCUCAGUGGGGAUGAACCUGAGUCCAAAAAGUACAUCAUGAUCAAGAAUGGUGAUGAACUCGCUGGGCCCAUGCUGACGCCGACCCAACCCCAUGACGGGUAGAUAGGACAUGCCUCUCAUCAUAUCAAGCACCACUGUGCUCCCAUGCUGGUCAAAGGACAUAGCGACAAAGUCCCGGCAAAAGUCCUCUAGCUCAAGGAUCCCAUGGCUCUGAAUCAAGCGUUUGGCAGUGAUUUUUAAAAGUGUUUCUACCCUUAAAAACACUUUUAAGUGUUUUUGGGAUGAAAAUAAAGUGUUUGGCAAAUUUUAAAAAACACUUUUGAAAAUCUGGAAAAACACUUGAAGUGAUUUUUAGAUAAUCACUUGAUAUGUGCUUUUUUUUAAAAAACACUUCAAUUUUUUUGAAAUAUUCCAAAAAUGCCCCCCAGUGAUUCCCGAUAUCUUUCUUCCCUUUCGUUCAUACCUCUCUCCUUUAUUCUCCUCCUCCAUCGCUCUCCAUCUGAGACAACAUAGUAAACCUCUAUUUUCAUUCGAGAUCGUGGAUCGAAGGUAACCCUCUAUUCUUUUUUUGUUUUCCUUUUCCAUAUUUUUUUUAAUGUCUGAUUGCCUUGAAAUGUUAGUUAGGGUUUUGGGUUUUAGGAUUGUUUGGUUAGGAGGAAAGUAUGAAAAAAUGAAAUCUGUAAAUCCUCAAAUGUUUUUACACGAAAUCUUGAUGCUGCAUGCGAUCACCGUAUCUCAGGUAUGAUUAAAAAAAAGAAUGAAAAAUAGAAAUCAGGAUCUUAACUAACAAAACGGAGAAACUUUUUAAAAUUAAUUGAAAUCAACUUGAAUUUAAUGCUAAAAUUAUAUUAAAUGCAUUUAGAAUUGAGAGAACUUUUGCCGUUUUGAAGAAUAGAUGGAGAAUGCUACGAGAAAUGCAUAAUUUUCCUCUUGAGAAACAAGUAAAGAUCGUUAUUGCUUCAAUGGUUCUUCACAACUUCAUAAGGAUUAAUGCUAGAAUGGAUAUGGAAUUUAAACCUUAUGAUGAUGAUCAAGGGUUGCUUCCACUUAAUGAAGAAGAGAGUAGAGUGGAUUCACUUGUUGAGGAAGAUGGUUCACAUCAUACGAGAGAGAUGGAAGAACAACGUGAUCGAAUUGCAAAUCUUCUCAUAUCUCAUUGAUGUUUGAUUAUGACUCUAAUAUGUAAGAAUAUAAUUUCCCCCAAUUUUUUUGCUAUGAAAACACUUGUCUUCUUAUUUACUUUUAAUUAUAAUUUUUUUUUUGGGAAACUAAUAGGUAAUCAUAUAUUGUUUUAUUUUGAAAUUUAUCUUUUAUUCAAUGUUCUUUUUUAUUGAUUUAGAUAUUUUUUGUAAAUAUUUUUAAAAAUUUUAGUAUAUUGAUAAAAAAAAAUUAUUAUUUUUAAUUAGAAAAAUCUUUUUUUUUUUUUAGAAAUUAAUAGGUGGUCAUAUAUUGUUUUACUUUUAAAAUUAUCUUUUAUUCAAUGUUCUUUUUUUUUUUUUAUUGAUUUAGAUGUGUUUUGUAAAUAUUUUUUAAAAUUUUAGUAUAGUGAUAAAAAAAUUAUUAUUUUUAAUUAGAAAAGUCUUUUUUUUUAGAAAUUAAUAGGUAAUCAUAUAUUGUUUUAAUUUUAAAAUUAUCUUUUAUUUAAUGUUAUUUUUUUAGUGAUUUAGAUGUUUUUUCAUUAAUAAAAAGUUUUUUUGUUUAUCAUACCAUUUUUUUUAAUUAAAAUUGUAUGUCCUUUUUGGUAAUUUAUUAAUAUUAAAAGUGUUUUUAUAUUUAUACAAUAUAUUAUCAAAAACACUUUAGAAUCAUUUUUUCUGAUUAUCAUAAAAGUGUUUUUCACAUAAACACUAUAGUAGAAAACACUUCAAAUAAAAACACUUCCACUAGAAUCACUAUCAAACGGGCUCGUAGUGGUCUAGGCUCAUGGUGUAUGGGCGAAUAGGAUAAUAAAACGGCGUGUGAGUCAGUCGGGCCCUCACCAUCUCCUUGUGCAAUCGCGCCAUAUAUCUGUAAUCAGCCUCAGUGGGGAUGAACCCGAGUCCAAAAAGUACAUCAUGAUCAAGAAUGGUGAUGAACUCGCUGGGCCCAUGCUGACGCCGACCCAACCCCAUGCCGGGUAGAUAGGACAUGUCUCGCAUCAUAUCAAGCACCACUGUGCUCCCAUGCUGGUCAAAGGACAUAGCGACAAAGUCCCGGCAAAAGUCCUCUAGCUCAAGGAUCCGUACCUCAUCAAAGGUGAAGCCGGUCAGAAAAAGAUCAUCAUCAGCGUGACUAAUCUCGAGUACGGGCUAAGCUGAAAUGAACAUAUCCCUUACAGACUGCACCACGACGACCUGGCCAUCAUGAAUAAACUUCACUUUCUGAUGAAGGGAAGAAGGAAUGGCCCCAGAUCUAUGGAUCCAUGGUCGGCCCAGAAGCAGGUUAAAGGAUGUAGAAAUCCUCAAAACCUGAAACACGGUGAGAAAAGUGGCUGGACCAAUCAGUAGCUCAAUCUCUAGUGUACCCAUGACCUCCCCCCGAGUGCUAUCAUACGCGCGAACGGUCUGAGUGGAGGGACCGAAGUCAGAAGGAGCGUAUCUGAGGGCAAUGGCAGUGGCAAGAGGACAUACGUUCAGGGCCGAGCCAUUGUCUAGAAGGAUAGAGGGGACUCGGCGGCCUGAACAGCCAACAGAUAUGUAUAGAGGACGUGUGUGGUCCGAACCCUCCAAUGGAAAAUCAUCGUCCGAGAAUACGAUGCACGUGGCUCGGUCAGCCGUCAUCAUAUGAAUCAAUCCCUCAGGGGAGGUGGUAGUCUCGACCCUGAUCUGGCUCAAAGCUCGAAUCAGAGCAUCACGGUAAGUGCUCGAGGAUGCCAACAGGCUCCAGAUGGAAAUACGAGCUUGAGUGCUUUGUAGCUGUCUCAAGAUCUCAUCGUCCUUUGCUCUGAUCUCAUCGGGAGCAGAUGUACCCUCAACUGGCCUAGCUGCCGCGGGAGGUGGUUGUCACAUCACUCUACCUCCUCGAAGAAUAUACUGAACAUCUAGAGUAUGAGAAUCAUCAACGUGUGGAGCCUAAACCCCCUCAACAUCCGGGAUCAAGAUGAAUGGCACCUGGACGCUGUAAUAUGGCAAAAUUAAUGGCUCAAUAGUGGCAGUCUGCACCGAUGCCGCCUCAGGAACUAAUCGGAAAGGAGCAGGCAUCCGAGGCCCUAGAGUCACCCCACUCAUCUCAUAAAUCACAUCUGGCAUGAUGGGCUCUGGGUUUGAAUCGUCCUCACUCAACAUGUGGACGUGGUCGUCUAAAUCAGCAAAAUCCAGGAAAUGAAUACCACUGGCCGAUGGAGGAACUGCAUGUGUGGUGUGGGCAAGUAAUGGGUUUUGGGUUACACUCGGCUGACUCAAGUGAACCAAACCCUGAUCGAUCAAAUCCUGGAUGGCGUGCCUCAAUGAGGUACACCUAUCAGUCUCAUGCCCAGGCCCCUGAUGGUAGGCGCAAUGUAAGUCCAUCCUGAACUGAGGGGGAAGAGGCUGAGGUGGUGGCCUCGGAGUGAGAGCGGUCAAUAAUUUAGCCUCUUUGAGCUUCCGAAGAGCCUGGCUCAACGGCAUGCCUAUCUGGGAGAAUUGUCUCUGCGUCCUCAAAGCAAAUGGAGUAGAGUUCUGCUAAGCUCUGGGCCUGGGUAAGAAGUAGCAGGUCUCGCAGUGAACUGUGCAGCGUAGCAUGGCUGUCCAGUGGCUGUAUAAGAAAUAGGAGGCCUCUCGAUGCUCUGAGUAGCAUAAUAGGGCAAAGCCAAUGGCUGAGGCUGAUAAGUCUGAUCAAAAGUCGGGCGAGGUGCCCGUGGCCUGAACUGUUGAGGCGUAUAAGACGGAUGAGCCUCGAGAAGCUGUGGGACAGGCUGAUGACGCUUGAGAGGCCUCUGACUGGAGGAAUUGAUGGCACUCACAUCUGUCGAUCUCUGUCAUCCGAAGGGUUUCUUCCCCUUAACAUCACUAGGGGAAGAAUCCGCCGACAAACCUCUCGAGAUGCCGUCCUCGACAUCGUAUAAAGCCAAGAUCAUAGACCCAAAAUCUGCAAAUGGUACCCCGACCACAUGCCUGGCAAUCCUCGGCUGUAGGCUCCUCAAAACCAUCUGAAUCUAAUCUCUCUCUGAUGGUUUAUCCACUAUCUCGACUAUCUUCCCGCACCAGCGGGAGAUGAAAGAAGAAAUAGACUCCUCUACCCUCUGUCUCAGAGCCUCAAGCUCCAUCCUCGAUACAUCUACGACAGUGUUAAACGAAAACUAUUGUAGGAACUCCUGGGCCAAGUCAUCCCAUGUACGGCGUCUCGAAGACUCCAAAGACGCGAACCAACGCUGAGCUGCCCCACUCAGAGAUAGUGGGAAAAGAGUGAUCAUCUGAGGCUCGUCCAAUCCAUGAGCCCUCACCACCGUGCUGUAUAAUCGGAGGUGGAUGCGUGGACAACCAAUGCCUGUAUACCUCUCAAUAUCCGGCAUCCUGAACUUAGCCGGUAGACUAGCUACCGGCAUACCUUCUAGAUCGUCCCAGACAGCAGAGCCAUCAGAUACUCUCAACUGCUUCAUACGGUGCUCUAUGCGGUCCAUGCGCGCAUGAGCAUCAUCGAUAACAAGGGCCUGGACAACUGCGGGCGGAACAACCUCAGAAUGACCAUGUAGCACAUAGGGUGAAGCCUGGGGCACCGAAGGAAAUGGUGGUGGCGGUGGAGGUGGCAACGAGUCAUGUGGCGUCUCAUCCUAAACUACGGGCGGUCUACUCUGCUGACCGCCUAUCUCCUGCCUGAGACUGGCCAAGGCCUCCUGAAUAGAAGCCAUGGCGGUCGUAAAUUGGUCAACUGUGACGACCUGCUGAUCCAUAUCUGUCCUCUCUGAAACCCGAACUAAUCUGCCCUCUACUCUAAUCCACGAAGCUAUACCCAGACUGAGAAUAAAAACCAAUCCUGAAAGUCUCCUCCUCUACUCUAUCCCACGAAGGUAUAUCCAAAUGAAGAACAAAGGUCCGAUCCUGAGAAAGCACGAAGAACGGAAUAAGGAUAUGGCCCGGGGAAAGCAUGGCAGCAAUAAUAAUCUAAACGGAAACAAACAAGACAUCCAAGUGAAGACGGGCGGUCCGACCGUACUCAAACUCAUACUAAUAUUUGUGCACUCUCAACUAGAGACUGAAGAAAGAGUAUCGGAAUCCAAGCUACGACUAUGGAGGCUCUGAAAGCCUUCAGAUGCACCCACGUGUAGGGAAGGAGUCCUAAUCGAAGGAUCUACGGCUCAACCUACAGGGUCAAGGUGGCUCUAAAUGGAUAAGAGUGGACUUUAAAAUAUCCUUAGCAGAAGCGAUCAUACCCUCCGACGGUAUGCAACCCUCUGCACGCCUCAAAAAAGAUGGGGCGCUUCCAUGCAAGGUGGUCAUCACCUCCACACAUGCACUACCUCGACAUCCCAGGGGGUUUCCUAUGGUAAAACCUCUCAAAACUCGCAACGCUCAAUGGCCAACUAGAGUGCGCAGUGAAUGGUGUGGGUGCAUCCGAAAACCCUAAGAAGCUAAAGCAGGAAGGGAAACACACUGGCCGCACAAAUAUCCAUAAAAUCUAGCUCUAGGCUAUAUAGGUCUUCGAUGAUCGGACUCCAAUCGACACAAAAGUGUCGCUCUCCUCCAGAAUGCUCCCAAACAUCGGUAUAGCCCGUCGCCAUACCCUAUUCCUAACCUCUAUCUCAGUCAGAGUACAAGCACACACAAGGCCUCACACUUGCAAAAGUGAGAACUGGAAUGAAGGAAACGACCUAGACUAGAGGGUCGGAGAUAAGGGGAUAGAUGUGCUACCCACAUAGACAAGCGACAUACAAUCACGCAGAGGAGGGCAGUCAUGCAACACGCAAUCAGGCAAAGCUCAGAUAUAUCAUCAUGUACACACAAGAUAAGCGAGAACACGAAAAUUAAGACGAAUAGUGAUACAAACAUCAUGCUCAAAGACGAUCAAAAUAGUAUACAAGUCAGAGAAUCAACAUGUCAAGCUGAGUGAUAUACAGUGGUGAGUGUAUGCAUGUGAAGUGAUCAGAACAAUCAUGCCAAAAUCAGAAUCAAUACGCUAAGCAAUGCAAUAAGAUCAAUCAUCAAUAAUCCAGCAUGUCAAAAUCUCAAAUGAAUAUGCAUCUAAGCAUGCAUCAAGAAAUCCUCAAUGUGCAAUCAAGAGAUGAGCAUCCACUGAUCGUCCAAUCGAAUGCCAUGUUUGCUUCACUCUAAGUUCAAGCUUGACCCUCUAAAUAGGAUCCCCAGUGGAGUUGCCAUUUUGUGGACCCCGUAUUUCAGCUCAUACGUUUCCCACUCGAUGGCGAGCUCGAUUUUUAUUUAAAAAAUGAUUUUUAUUCAUUAAAAAUCUGACUUGGAGUUGCCACUUAUUUUUGUUUUAUUUUUAAAGGGGUAAACAAAAUAAGAAAGAAAACCCUAAGUGUGACUCCUUAUUUUGGAAAAUGUGGUUUGCGAAAAAUCGGAUAGGGCUCGGGGGUCAUGUUACUUAUCGGGAAGGUACAGUAUGGACCGUAGCACCCCUCUAAGUCCCUGAAGUUGGGUCUCUACUAAUAGAAUGAAGCUGACGUGGUCAUCGACAAGAAAAACAAUGAACACUCAGAUUGAUCGUGCACAAUAUGAGGAUCAGAAUAUGCAUACAGAAUGAUCAAAACAAGAAUGAGCGCGUACCUGGACCUCCAGUCACGAAUGCGCUAUCAUGAAACAGAAUUAGUGAACAAUAGAUAUGGAAUAUAGCUCAUGCAUAUUGGAGUGCAAAACGAAAAUCAAGCAAAAUACAUUAAGUACAACAGUUAACAAUCGAAAAGGAUCAAACAUAGGGCCCCCACCAAAGCCUCAAUCAUUGUUCAUGAAUUAGUCUUACAAAUUCCAUGUUUUACAAUUAUGAAGAAUUCAUUAUUGCCUAUGUAAAAUCAAGAAAAUCAUAAGAUUAUUUAGGAACCGAAAUGGGAUUAAAACUAUUCGAGUGAAGACUGGAUUCUUGGAGUUUAUUUGAAAAUUGGAUUAUUUGGAAUUAAAUUUAAAAGAUUAGAACUCCGGUAAUUAAAUUGAAAUUUGUCAAAGAAGAUGAGAAAUGAACUUUAGGAAAUUGAUCUGCGAGAAUAUGGAUUUUGAAAGUUGAAUUUGUAAUAAUAGUAAUUAUAAGAAAUGAACUUUGAGAAAUCGGACUGCGAGAAUAUAGAUUUUGAAAGUUGAAUUAAUAAUAAUAACAAUGAUAAGAAAUGAACUUUGAGAAAUUAAACUGCGAGAAUAUAGAUUUUGAAAGUUGAAUUAAUAAUAAUAGUAAUGAUAAGAAAUGAACUUUGAGAAAUUAAACUGUGAGAAUAUAGAUUUUGAAAGUUGAAUUAAUAAUAAUAAUAAUAAUAAUAAUAAUAAUAAGAUUUUGAAAGUUGAAUUAGUAAUAAUAAUAAUAAUAAUAAUAAGAUUUUGAAAGUUGAAUUAACAACAAUAAUAAUAAUAAUAACAAUAAUAAGAUUUGGAAAAUUGAAUUAAUAAUAAUAAUAAUAAUAAUAACAAUAAUAAGAUUUGGAAAAUUGAAUUAAUAAUAAUAAUAAGAUUUGGAAAAUUGAAUUAAUAAUAAUAAUAAUAAUAAUAACAAUAAUAAGAUUUGGAAAAUUGAAUUAAUAAUAAUAAUGACUAUGAUAAUAAUAAUAAUAAUAGUAAUAAUAAUAAUAAUGAUAAUAAUAAUAAUAAUAAUAAUAAUAAUAAUAAUAAUAAUAAUAAUUAAUAAUAAUAAUAAUAAUAAUAAUAAUAAUAAUAAUAAUAAUAAUAAUGAUAAUGGUUAAUAAUAAUAAUAAUAAUAAUAAUAAUAGUUAAUAAUAAUAAUAAUUAAUAAUAAUAAUAGUAAUAGUAAUAAUAAUAAUAAUGAUAAUAAUAAUAAUAAUAAUAGUUAAUAAUAAUAAUAAUAAUAAUAGUUAAUAAGAAUAGUAAUAAUAAUAAUUAAUAAUGAUGAUAUCAUAAACCCAAGUCCAUAAGCCCAAGCCCACGUCCAACAUUUAAAGAGCUCAGUCCAUAAGCCCAAGCCCACGUCUAACAUUAAAAAGCUCUGGGCUCCAUCUCCACCAAACCCAACUAGCAUAAUAAUAAUAAUAAUGGGGCUUUGGGCUCCAUCCCCAUCAUAAGCCCAAGUCCAUCAUUAAAAAAAGCUUUGGGCUUCAUCUCCACCAAGCCCGAACUAGCAACCCUAGCCCAUUAACCCUCAAGCCUAUCAAGACUAAAUGCCCCACCUGGGCAUGGUCUUCAAUAAGGAGCUCCCCAUCAAGGGCGCCAUGGCCGUAGGAGCUAGGAUCGCCCGCGACGUCGGAGGUGCGGAGGUCAUCGCUACGAGUGCCGACGAUGGCUUGGAGAUCUUUGUAGAACCUCACAAAACUCAUCAAAGGCUCAAAUAGGAUGAACAAACUCGAUACAACCCUCAAGCAUUAAACAAACUAAAAUGGAGGGCCAGCUAUUUACAGGAGAAAACAAAGACAGGGCGUGUACAUGCAGCCGACUACAUUCAAACUCAAAACCAAAUAAUCCGAGAUGUCCACAACAAAAUCGCUAAAAUAUUACCCAUGGGUCAACAAAGAAAUGAUGUCAGAUAUCGAGAGAAAGAAACGUAUUAAACUCGAAAGGGACUCACCUGGAACUCGUGAAAGCUUCCCAACAGCCAGUUUUUUCUCCCAAGCUAGCUCCCCCUAGUUCUCUCUCUCUCUGCCCUCCUCCUUUCUUUUUCUUCCUCAUUUUUUCCCCCUUCCCCUCCUGUUUUCUACCACCAACAACCCCACCUCCAUUCCCCUUUUUCCCGCUGCUUCCCAUCCUCUCAAUCUUUCCCAUCUCACCCACUCCCAUAAAAUAAAAAUAAAAAAUCAAAAAAUCAAACCAUACUUGGCCUUGGGGUCUCAACCAACCAGGAGGGUCUACAACGGGGUAGGAAGACUUAAUAAUUCUCUUUAUCAAAUUUUAGUCCUAAUUUGAAAAAGUGAAAGUCCAAUAGAGAACACCUAGAAGAGGGUAAAUGGGUGAUUUUAAAAAUUUUCAAUAAAGAUUUAUAUGUAUUAUUUUCGAUUUUUAUCUAGAGAAAUCCCAGGGGUAUCCUAUAUAACCAAAUAGGUAACUAAAUGGGUUAUACCUAAAAUAUUUAAAUAUAAAAAUAUGAUUUUUAUCUUUUAGGGAUAACCUACGAGAUGUUAGGGAUAGAUAUAAACAAUGAGGCAUAGAGAUUUUUACGUAAAAAAAACCCUCACACUAACUAUGGAAAUAAAAAACCACGAGGUCUAAAAUCUACUACUCUAAGUCCACUAUACAAAAUCAAGUUAUAUAGAUUUACCUUACCGUUUUACCUUAAAGACUUACCCUCAAGUACCUACAACUUGAUUCAUGUCCGCGAUGUAGUAGCUUCAAUUGCCUCGCUGAAGGGAUGAAGGUCUUCAACCUAAGAUUUAAAGAUUAAAUCCUUGAAUGAGAUAUCAGAAAUGCUAUGACACUUAAGGCUUUCUCUUUAAGAAAUCCUCUCUAGAGAAUAUGAGAUCUCCUUUCAAUUACUAAUGAUCUCUAACCCUCAAGGGGUUAAGGCAAAAGCUCGAAGAGUUUUUGUUUUGAAAGAGUUCUAAGUCAAAUUUGUGUGAAAAAUCUCAGUAGAAUCUACAUGACUGCUCAAGCUAACUCACCCACCGCUUGAGCACCUCGAGUGCUUAAGUGAUCCUGAGUGCUUAAGCACCUUAGGAGCUUGAGUGGUCCUAAGUGCUUGAGCAUCUCAUACUGCUUGAGUGGUCCUACCAUUUUCAAAAAGUCCAAUUUUAAAUCAUUUUAAGUUCAAAAAAAAAUUGAUUCUCUUUAUACCUCAAUGGAGUCUAAAUUGCCACAAGCUAAACCUUUUUAAACAUACCUAUGACUUUUCGGUUGGACGAACAAUAGCUCUUGAUCUUCAAUGGAGAGCAAGCCACUAUCUAAAAAGACUUCUAAAGCUAAACUUUAAAUAGAACAAAAUUGUCAACAUUCAAACAAGACUCAAUGUCCUAACAUAAUUCUAAUUCUAAUCAUAAUUAUUUCUCUUCUCUUCUCUUUCCUUUCCUUUCCUUCCCUUCCAUUCUCAUAUUAUAUCUAAGUAUUUCAAUUAAGGCAUUAAAUCAAUUUAUCAAACCUAUCUUAAGGAUCAUGUCAAAAAAUUUUAAACCACUUGGUGAAUAUACUUAUCCUUUAUUCAUGAUAGAUUGAUCAAUGUAAAGAUAAAAAUAUCUUCUAUAUGUAAUUUACACACUCUUUCCCUAGACUUGUACAUAUGAAUAGCAAUUAGAAAAAACAAAAUUUAAUGCACAAAAAUUGGGGUGAGAGAGUAAAAGAAACUCCUUAAUGCUUACUCCUGAUACCUGAAUAAAUUGAAGUGGACACAACUACCAUUAUUUGAUGAAAAACAAUUAUAAUACUCAUAAUGAGGUUAUACUUUUGUUUAAUCAAUCAACUAUUCCAGUUGGCGAAUGUACCAUAUAUACAUGGGAUCCAUGAACUAACAAUCUAAAAAUGCCCUUGAAUAUCAUGAUAGUUCUCUUCCUCUUUUUAUUCUGAAAAUGGAAUUGGUCAUUAUUUUUUGUGUUUACACUGCAACAUAAUAGAGUUGCUAAAAUAAAAAAUCAUCACUUAUUGGAUAUUGCUCAUUCUAUUAUUUUUGACAUGAAAGUCCUAAAAUCUUAUUGGAGGGAUGUCAUUUAAAUUGCAUGUUAUUUGAUAAAUUGGGUACCAUGCUCCAUAUUGCAUUAGAAGACUUCAUAUUGUGUUAUUUCCUUAUCGUCCAUUAUUUUCUCUUCUUCCUAUUGUUUUUUGAUAUGUUUACUUUGUUCGGUAUUUUUAUCCAAAUAAAGACAAGUUUGAUCCUCAAUCUAUUAAAUGUGCAUUGUUAGGAUAUUCUAGAACUCAAAAAGGAUACAAAUGUUUUGAUCCUCUAUCUCAUAAAUAAUUUUUUAUAGUAAUAUUCUUUAAGACUACUUAUUAUUAUUAUUAUUUUAUUAUAGUUUACAGUUAGAAAAUGACUUAUUUCAGUCUAAGUCUAUUCCUCUUCCUAAUGCUACUGAUACUUCUCUAAGACUGACAAACCAUUACAAGCACAUCAAUUAAAAAGAUUGGAUAGAGAUAAUAAAUCAAAUCAAAUUCAAUCUCUAUCUCCUCUUAAUUCAUCCAUAGAUUAUCCUAUGCUAUCACCUAUUUUCGUUCCCAUAAUUCCUAAUGAAUCAAAUCUCCUUAUUACACUUAGGAAAGGUAAACACAAUUAUACUCACUAUCCACUUGCUCAAUAUGUAUCUUUUGAUAACUUUUGCCCCAACUUUUAAUUUUUGUUUGUGUUUUGUCUUCUAUUUCAAUUCCUAAAUCUUAUUAGGAAGCUCUAAAUCAUAGUGCAUGGAAGAAAUCCAUGGAAGAAGAGAUGCAUGCUCUUCUAAAUAUAAGUACAUAUAAAUUCAUUGACUUACCUCAAGAAAAGGAUGAUGUAGGUUGUCACUAGGUUUUUAAUGUUAAGUAUCCUCUAGAUGACACUAUACAAUGGUUGAAGGCUCGGUUAGUUGAUAAGGGCUAUAUUCAAACUUAUAGCAUGGACUAUUUGGAGACUUUCUCUCCUAUUGCUCAUCAUAAUUCAAUAUGUAUUUUGAUUUCCUUAGCUAUUAAUUUUGGAUGGUGUCUAUAUCAAUUAGAUGUGAAGAACACAUUCUUGUAUGAUAAUUUGAGUGAGGAAGUCUAUAUGGAACAACCACCUUGGUUUGGUACUUAGGGGAAGCCAAGAGUUAAAGUUUGUAAACUAAAUAAGACUCUUUAUGGAUAAAUAAUCUCCUCUAGCUCAAUUUCAUAAAGCUCUUUGCACUCCAUCUAUGACUUACCUUUAAGCCAUAUAAUUUUAUAGUGAAGGUAAGCACGAUGAAUUCUCACAUCCAAAUAUAAAGUAUUCAUUGCCUCUUGCACUUUUUUGCUAAAUUUCAAGACUAAUUCUUCCAUAAUAUGUCAUCCAUCUUCUAGCACUAUAUUUAUGCCCUCUUCAUCAAUUUCAUUUGAACUUUUGUUAACAUGUACAUAUAUUGACUUUAUGAAUUCUUGAUCUAAAUUUUCUAUCAAUUCCUUAUUGGAUUGAUGUUGGAAUGUUGAGACCCAUUCAUUAAUCUUAAGUGUUACACUUUCACAAUGUGAGUCCCAAACUUUAUCUGUUGAGCUCGACCCAUAUUUAACCAAAUCAUACUUAACAUCAUCAUUGGUUGAUGGAAGGUGUUGAUUUCCACAUUUGUUACAUGGACACAAAAUAGUUUGUCUUCCUAGAAAAUUCUUUUAUACAAAAUUCAACAAGGAUUUAGUGUCUCUCUAAAAGAGUGCGUUUGGAAAUUGAAGAUUGAUCCAAUCCUUGUUCAUUAUGUAUAACUUCUUUAACUUUUGCAUUCAAUAAAGUGAUUAAAAAAACAAAAAGAAAAAAUAAAUAAAAUAAUAGAAGUGCCCAAUUUUAAUAGUUUAACAACAAAGUCUACAAUAGGUGUUUUAGAAGAAGACGAAAACUAAAAAGAAAUAAGCUAAGCUUUCCUAAUUCUCAAUUUAUAGGAAUUUGAAAGAAAAUAAAUAAAGAAAUAAUAUUAAAUAUAAUCACAUUCUAUGUUUUCUAGGUUCCUAAACAAUGGAAACCCAAUGCCUAAGUAAACCAAAUGGUGGUACUACACGUAAAGAGAUUCAGUCCUAAAUAAAAAAUAAAUAAGCUAUAGUCAAAACAUCUUAAUUUUUUUCUUAUCCUUCAUUUUCCCAUAAGCCAAACAUAAUUUUAUAAUUCCACUAAAAAAAAAAACUCAACUAAUAUAUAUAAAAAAAAUUUAAAAAGAAAAUUCUUUAUUUCCUUUUCCUAAACCUCUACCCUAAAAAACAUAUUUCUUCUCAAUUUUAUUUUAUUUAGAGAGUCUUAAUUGAGUUUAAAUUGCUGAUAAGAAUUUCCAACUAAAACCCUUAAAUAAAUCAUUACUACAUAGGCAAGAACAAAGUUGCAUUCCUACCAACCAAUAUUCUCCUUGCCAACACUUGAUAAAAAAAAUAAAAAAUAAAAACAAUUCAAAUAUUAGUUGUCUAUUGAAACAAUUGUUUUGAACAAACCCUUCACAAUCCAAUUAGUAUAUGAAUUGAAAGGGAAUGGGCAUAUAUAACAAGAAUCUUCUCAACAAAUUCAAUCUUCUCAACAAACUCUGAACAAGCUAGUACAAUUUUUCAAGCUCUUUGGAAUAGGAUCAGUGAAAUGGUUUCCAUGGGCGGAAAAGUAUUGAAGAACACCACCAUGGCAUAUCUCGUUUGGUAGUUGGACAAUGAAGUUAUUGUCACCUAAUUGCAAAUAUGUUAAAUAAGUGAUAUUAUUCAUUUCUCGAGGAAUGACACCAAUGAGAUUGUUGUGAAAAAUGGUCAAAUCGGUUAAGCCAGACAAGUUUCCUAUGGAAGUUGGUAUUGAACCACUGAGAUUGUUAAAUGACAAGUCAAGAAUAUCAAGCAAUCUCAACAAUCCAAUUUCUUGAGGUAUAGAACCAGAAAGGUCCUUUUCAAAAAGAUACAAAGUGGUUAAGUUCCUCAAGUUUCCUAUGGAAUGAGGGAUUGGACCAAUGAGAUUGUUAGUUGAUAGUUUAAGAUCAUUAAGAGAUCUUAACAAUCUAAUUUCUUGAGGGAGGGAACCAGAAAGCUCAUUCUCAAAAAGAUACAAAGUGAUUAAGUUUCUCAAGUUUCCUAUGGAUGCAGAGAUCGAACCAGUGAGACUAUUAUUUCCCAACUUAAGAUCAUUAAGUGAUGUCAACAAUCCAAUUUCUUAAGGAAUAGAACCAGAUAGUUUUUUUGUAUGAUGGUGCAAAGUGGUUAAGUUCCUCAAGUCACCUAUGGAAGGAUAGAUUGGACCGAUGAGAUUGUUAGUUGACAAUUCAAGAUUAUUAUGAGAUCUUAAUAAACCAAUUUCUUAAGGGAUGGAACCAGAAAGCUUGUUCUUAAAAAGAUACAAAGUGAUUAAGUUUCUCAAGCUUCAUAUGGAUGGAGGGAUCGGACCAGUGAGACUAUUAUUUCCUAACUCAAAAUCAUUAAGUUAUGUCAACAAUCCAAUUUCUUUAGGAAUAGAUCGAAUCAGAUGGUUUGUUUGUAUGAAGGUACAAAGUAGUUAAGUUCCUCAAGUUACCUAUGGAAAGAGGGAUUGAACUAGUGAGAUUGUUAGUUGACAAUUGAAUAUCAUUAAGAGAUCUUAACAAUCCAAUUUCUUAAGGGAUGGAACCAGAAAACUUAUUUUUAAAAAGAUGCCAAAUGGUUAAGUUCCUCAAGUUUCCUAUGGAAUGAGUAAUUGGGCCUUUGAAAUUAUUAGAAACCAAUGCUAGAAAGCUAAGAGAUGUUAGAAAUCCAAGUUGGUGAGGUAUUAUACUAAUGAAAUAAUUGAAACUAAAGUAAAAAACUAUGAUCAAUUUAGAAAGAUUACCAAUGUUGAUUGGAAUGGUUCCAUAAAAGGGAGUUGUUAAAAAGAUUAAGAGUGAGGAGGUUGGGGAGUGAUGAGAAAUUAAGAUUAUGGAGUGUACAUCUUAAACCACAACUAUAAAGGUCUAAAUUGGAGACACUUCUUGACUUGUGAUAAGUUACUCUGAACCAAUGAUGACAAGAAUUGAGUCCAGACUAAGAAGAAAUGAAAGAUUAGGUUUGAUUAUUAAGGCUAGCCUUCCAUGUUAGAAGAGCGAGUGCUUCUUAAUCAAGUUCAACUUUCAAAAGAUAAGUGGUAGGUGUAGAGGCAGAUGUAAAAGUGACAUGGAAUGAUGAUAUUGAGUACAAAAGGAAAAGUAGAAAUAUGAAGAAGCAAGGAGUGAUGAUGAGUUGGGGGAGUAAGGAGUAGAAUGAAAAAUAUUCAAGGGUCAUUGUUGAAUUGGUAGAAAUGAAAUUACUAAGAGGUAUACUUGGAGGUAUGAAUGAAAGUGAAACACUUAUUUAUAGACUUAAAUGUGAUACAUCCAACAUUUCCAUUAGUUGGUGUUGACAUCUAACCACCUCCGUAGUCUACAAUUAAUGGAAUUGAAAAGGAUUAUAUGCAUGAGCUUGUAGACCCUCCAUUUUGUCUUACUAGCAUAUGCCCUAUUGUGUGUUCGCUUAGUACUUUACAACAAUUCCCUGGUGGCCUAUUACUACUUGUGUAUUCUAUAUUUUCUAAGCCACCUUGGGGACUUUGGUUGAGGGAUCUAUCUAACCCCGUUGUGACCCUUGGCAGCCUUAAUUUAGACUUAGGCUCACUUAGAUACUCUUGGCACCACCUUAGGCCCAUUUAGGCACCCUAGGCCCAUUUAGGAACCUUAAACCCAUUUAGGCACCCUUGGCCCACUUAGGCAUCUUAGGUUCUUUAGGCGCCCUAGGCCCAUUUAGGUACCCUAGGCCCAUUUAGGCGCCCUAGACCCAUUUAGGCACCUUAGGCCCAUUUAGGCACCCUAGGCCCAUUUAGGUACAUUAGGCCCAUUUAGGCACCCUAGCCCCAUUUAGGCACCCUAGCCCCAUUUAGGAACCCUAGCCCCGUUUAGGCACCCUUGGCUCAUUUAGGCACCUUAGGCCCAUUUAGGCACCCUAGGCCCAUUUAAAUCAUUUUUUGCAUGAAUGCAUGGUUGCAUGGCUUCAUGGAUCAUGUUUUUGCAUGGUUCGCAUGACUUUCCUUUUUAUUAUUAUCUAUUUAGCCAUUUUGUAUAUUACUUUGUGUAUUUUUUUUUUAUCAUUUCAUAAAACACUUUUAUUCAAUCAAAUAAUUUCGUAAAAUACUUUUAUUUACUUCAAUCUAAUAAUUUCAUCAAAUACUUUUAGUUAAUCUAAUAAUUUUAUAACAUAUAUAUUUGCCAAUCCAAUAAAUUUUACUCAUUUUCUAAAACACGUUUUUUAUUUUAUUUUUAAUCUAUUAACUUUGGAAUUUUACAGGGCGAUUUAUCAAUGGAGAGUUUGGCUUCUUUAGGAAAGGAAACUUGGAACUGUGAUUGGAGAGAUAUUUAGUCCAUGUUUGAAAAUAAAUAAAUAAAAAGAGGAAAUAAGGCCCACUUGAAAUGGUAAGUUACAAAGCUGCGUGGGAUGUGAAAAUGAGAGAUUUAUUAUGUGUUUGAAAAAAAAUAAAAAGAAGAAAGAGGGCCCACUAAAUGGUAACUUACAAAGCUGCAUGGAAUGUGAAAAUGAGAGAUUUAUUAUGUAUGUGGAUGGGAUAAAGGCUGUGUUCAAGAAAAAGUGAUUGAGAAAAAAAAAAUGAUUAAAAAGAAAUAAAGAAAAGGGGACUGUUUCUGUUGUUCCUUCCAUUACCAUGGCUGUAGAGAGGAGCUGGAUGAGAGAUUGAGAAGAGAUUAAGAAAAAGAAAAAUGAAAGAAGGCAUGAGUCCAUUUUUUUAAAAAAAAAAUUAUAUAUGAGGUUGUUGUUAGAGAAGAUCGAGGGAGUUUUCAGAGCGGAGAGAAGUUGCUGUUUUGAAACACACAUAUGCGACUGUUUGUUGAUUCACCGGCCAUUCACCCCGCGAUUGAGAGGUGCACCAUUUGAGGAAAAUAGUCGCGUGAAUUUGGAAGUGGGAGACGCACCCUUGAAAAAGAUUUGAGAAGAACAACCGCAUGAAGCUGGAGGUGAGAGGUGCACCAUUUGAAGAGAACAACCGCAUGAAUUUGGAGGUGGGAGGCAUACCAUUUGAGGAGAACAUCCGCAUGAAUCUAGAGGUGGGAGACUGAUAAGGCAGAAUCCUCUCCUGAUUGAUUCUUUCCUUGAUCUUAGAUUAUUUGUUAUUAUGUAUAUUUAUCUUUUCCAAGUUUGUAGGAUCUUCCAACUGUAUAUACACUUUAUAUAAUGAGAAACAAUUACCUCAAUAAUUGUUGAGGAUUUCAGCCAUAUUUUACACGGGUUCUCAAACCUUUAUAUGGUAUCAGAGCAGGUUCUAAUUUUUUUUUUCAAUCCUCUUCAUGGCUACAUCGUCAUCUUCAUUAUCUCCACUUCCUCUCAACACGAUGGUGCAAAUGCUCACCAUCAAACUGACCUUCUCUAAUUAUUUGUUAUGGAGAAAUUAGUUUUUCCCUCUGUUGACCAGCCAAGAUCUUCUUGGAUUUCUGGAUGGUAGUGUCCCAACUCCUUCUCCAAAUGUUACUAGUUCUAACGGCAUCACCCAGGUGAAUCCGACAUACAUCUCUUGGUUGACUACUGAUCAGACUCUCCUUAGUCUUCUCUAUUCUUCUCUUACAGAGGAAUCUAUGAGUGAGGUACUUGGACUGAGUCAUGCACAUGAGGCCUGGACCACUCUUGAAGCCUUUUUUUCUAACAGAUCCAAGACUCGGGAACUCCAACUCAAGGAUGAGCUUCAACUGAUUCAGCAAGGCUCGAAAUCCAUAGCAGAAUUUUCUCGACUCUUCAAAGGGCUCUGCGAUCAACUAACGGCAAUUGGUCGUCCCAUUGACAACUUGGAUAAAGUCCACUGGUUCUUGAGAGCCUUAGGUCCCGAUUAUAAAAUUUUCUCAACUACAAUGCUUUCCCAGCUUCCAUUACCUUCUUUUGCAGAUAUCAUUCCAAAAGCUUUGAGUCAUGAGAUCUUUGAACGAUCGAUGUACCAACAAUCUAUCAACAUAGGGUUCUACGCUCAACAAAAUAAUUCCACCAGACCGAAAAGCACCAAGAGCGGGAAGCCCAAACCUUCCACUGCCUCUGCCUCAAAAUCGUCCCCAUCUUCUCCUGAUUAUUGUCAAAUCUGUGACAAAGAGGGCCACCUAGCUAAACGGUGUUAGACGUUCCUUAAUCUCAAGAAAAAGUAAUAUGCCAACCUUGUUAAGGCUUUCGCAGCUUGCUCAAUUCCGGACUCCAACGACUCUGAAUGGUAUCCGGAUUCUUGUGCAACCUCUCACUUGACAAAUGAUCCUGAGAGUGUAGAUGUUCCUGUUGUCUACUCUGGUAAUGAACGGGUGAUGGUUGGUAAUGGUCAGUCCCUUUCCAUUUCUCACACUGGUCCCCUUUCCACUCUUGUUCCCCAAAGCUCUUUAUUUUUAUCCAAUGUUUUAGUUGUUCCUGGCAUUAAGAAAAAGCUUAUUUCCAUUAGUCAACUUACAAAGGAUAAUAAUUAUUGUGUUAUUUUUUCUCCCUCUGGCUUUACCAUACAGGAUCGGGUCACAAGAGUAGCGUUGGGGGUCGGCAGAUGUGAGAAUGGCUUGUAUGUGCUCGAUCAAAAUCAUCAUGCCCUUGUUUCCAUCGUUUCUUCAAAUAAGUCGUGUGCCUCUGUUCCCUUGUGGCAUGCUCGACUAGGCCACCCUAGUUUUCGUACCAUUAACUCUCUUUCUAAGUCUGGUUUUAUUUCUUGUAGUAAUAAAUUGAUGGGUUUAGAUUCAAGUUUAUGUGUUGGAUGUAACCUUGGCAAGAACCAUCGUUUUCCAUUUUCACUUAAUAAUAAUCGUUGUCCUUUGCCUUUUGAUCGCUUACACUGUGAUUUAUGGGGCCCUUCACCUGCUUUUUCUCUUACUGGUUUUUGUUAUUAUGCAGUGUUCAUUGAUGAUUGAUUCGUUUUUCCCAGUCGGAUCUUUUAAUAAAAAAUAUUUAUAAAUCCUAUGACCUCAUACUAGCGUAGCAAAGCUACUAUAGUAUAGCAGCUCUAGGGUCGAACUCUGGGAUGGGUUUUCACUCUACCAGUGAUAGACUCAAGAUUAGAAAUUGAAUUUGAUGAUUUCCUUUGUCAAAAACUUAAAGUUUAAAAAAAAAUAGAAUUUUUUUUGAAAAUGGUGUUUGAAACUAAACUAAACUAACAUAGAAUUAGUUUAAAAUGGAAGAAAGAAAGUCUCCCGGAGCUAAAGGUUGCUAGGAUCAAGUUCAGAAUGCAAAGUGGGCAAUUCCGAAUUUUUCUCCUCGUAUUGGGGACAACAACAUAAAGGAUGGUUGUUUCCCGAACCGGUAUAAGUUUAACAAUGAAGGUUUAAUCCAUAAAAAGUCAAUAGAAAUGGUAGUCAAGUUCCAUUAAUGGCUUUAGACACUAUUGGUCUUCACCUUGAGCCACUUUCCAAUGACUCGUACAUGAUAACUAAUGGUCUGACGUGGAUCUAGCAAUAAGUAUCCACAGAGACCUAAAAGCUUACCAUGUAUUGGCCAUUCAAAGUGAUUCUAAGGGAUUUAAAGCAAAACUUUAGAUUUAAAAACCAUUUAUGAACUCCAAUUACCUGUAUUUAAGGCACGAGAGUUUUCCACUUUUGCAUCUGGACUUUUCACCUAGCUUCCUUUAGUCUAAGAAACCAAAGGUUUAGCCUCUCAUCCUCUAGGAAAACAUCCUCAGAGGUUGUUUGGCUAGAAAGAAAACUAACGAGAAAAUAAAUAUAUGAAGAGAAAACAGAGCAAGUGUUCUAUGUAUUAUAUUUCUUUCUUUUCUAAUCACAUAGAUGAUCUUUUGUAAAGAAAAUUAUAAACUAUAUAUAUGAGGUUAUUCACCCCUUGUACUUGCUUAAAGACUAAGGAAUCCUAUAAUAGGUGGAUUACAAGGAGAUUUUGGGGAUUUAGACAACAAAUAUCUAAAGCAAAAUAUCGGUGGCAAAUAUCAGGAAACUUCAGGAGAACACCACAGCACUGUGCAAAAUGGCUGCUCUCCCAUCCAGGUAGACGCUAUCAGAUGAUCCGGAUACGUCCGUCUGGAGAAGUUGAAAACGCCUCCUCUCCCAUCCGGCUCCUGCAUUCCGGAUGUGAACAUCCGGGUGGAAAGUGCGCAGCAGCCGGGUGCAAAUGGCCGCAGCCGGAUGCCAAAUGUCGGCGCGCAUCCGGGUAUAAAUGGCGGCAGUCGAAUACAAAUGGCGGCGCGCAUCCAGGUGUAAAUGGCGGCAGUUGGGUACAAUUCCUACCUGGAUAUGUUGUCCAGAUGCCCUCCGAUGGUGUAUCCAGACGCACUAUCCAGGUAUACUCCUUGUAUUUUGGAUUUCAAAGAACUCUCCUCAAUCUCAUAUUGCUUUGUUGAUCAAAAAGCUAUCAAAACACCAAAACUUAACACAUUAUUUAUUAGAAUUGAUUGCAAGGGUCCUUAACAUGCCAAUUGAGUUAAAAGGUGAUAACUACUACUCAAAAGUGUUUAAAAGAGUUAAUUAAAAGCUAUGAAAUAUCACUUUAAUUUUGAGUAGUAAUCAAUGAUUGUACCAAAUUCAGUUGGUUUUUCCCAUUAAAACACAAAUCUGAUUUUUUUGAUACCUUUAUCAAUUUUCAACAUUAUAUUGAGACUCAAUUUUCUUCUAAAAUUAAGUCCUUCCAAUGUGAUGGUGGAACUGAAUUUACAAAUAAUAAAUUUCGCUCUCACCUUACGUCUUAUGGUAUUGUGCUACGCAUUGCUUGCCCCUAUGCACCGAGUCAAAAUGGGAUUGCUGAACAUAAACACCAACAUGUCACUGAAACGGGUCUUACCAUUAUGUUUCAUGCUUGUGUUCCUUUAUUUCUUUGGGUUAAGGCCUUCUCAACAACUGUUUAUCUCAUCAAUCGACUCCCAUCACAAACUCUUGAUGGCAAAACUCCCUACGAGCUCCUGUUCAGUAAACAACCAAACUACUCUAUGCUUCAUACUUUUGGAUGUUUAUGCUUUCCUUAUUUACGAGAUUAUGCUCCUAACAAAUUGUCUUCCAAAUCCUCACCUUAUGUUUUUUUAGGUUAUAGCCCUCUUCACAAGGGUUUUCGCUGUUUUUAUCGCAAGACACAACAUCUUUAUGUCCUCGACAUGUCCAAUUCCAUGAAACUAUCUUUCCUUAUGCGGGUGAUGAUAUGAAACAAAUUCAUAAUUCAACACCUUAUAUUACUUUCUCUGAUUCUUUCGAGUCUAACGAUAAUAUGUCUCCUAAUUUGUUGUUAUCUUCUCCUGUUUCGAAUCCCAAUUGUUUGCCAUGCAAUGAUGACCUUCAUGCUUCCUCCCAUGCAUCUCCGGUCAUAUCUACCAUUCCUUCUUCUAGUCCUUUGUCACCAUCUGUUUCCAUACGUCGGACUUCUACCAACACUCACCCAAUGGUUACUAGAGGAAAAGCUAGUAUAUUUAAACCUAAGGCUUAUCAUGCAUUGACAUUUUCACACUCGUCUCAGUUUUUUCAGGUCCUUCUUGCCAUACAAGAGCCUCGGGGUUUCAAGUCUGGGGCCAAACACCCUAAAUGGCUCUUGGCUAUGGAUGAUGAAAUACAAGCUUUGAAGAAGAAUGAUACUUGGGAUCUUGUACCUCGCCCUAUCAAUCAUAAUAUGGUUGGUUGUCGUUGGAUCUUUAAGACCAAGCUCCAUGCUAAUGGUUCUAUUGAGCGUCAUAAGGCUCGUCUCGUGGUCAAGGGCUUCUCUCAAAUUCAUGGCCUUGAUUUUGACGAUACAUUCAGUCCUGUGGUGCGUCCUGCUACUAUUUGGAUUAUUCUAUCCAUUGCAGUCACUUCUGGAUUGCCCUUACAUCAAUUAGAUGUUAAGAAUGUCUUUUUUCAUGGUCAUCUUUCUGAAGAAGUAUACAUGGAACAACCACCUUGCUACAUUGAUCCACAAUUUCCACAACAUGUGUGCCAUUUGAAACGUGCUCUCUAUGGACUCAAACAAGCCCCUCAUGCUUGGUUCCAACGAUUCAACUCUUUUUUUAUGAAACUUGGUUUUAUUCUCAGUUAGGUUGAUUCAUCUCUCUUUGUCCAUCAUACCACAACAGACAUAGUUUAUCUUUUGCUCUAUGUUGACGAUAUGGUGCUUACUAGCACCAAUCCUGCUUUGAUCAAGACUCUUAUCACUCGACAAUCCAAAGAAUUUGCAAUGAAAGAUUUGGGUUCUCUACACUAUUUUCUUGGUGUUGAAGUCCAACAUAACCCUCAAGGCUUAUUUCUUAGCCAAACCAAGUAUGCUCUUGAUUUACUACAAUGUGCUGACAUGAUUGAGGCCAAACCCAUUUCUACUCCUUUUGUUGUUGGUCAACAUCUCUCCACUACAGGGAAGCUAUUUUCGGAUCCCACUAUUUUUCAGUCUCUUGUAGGAGCCUUGCAAUAUUUGACCAUCACUCGGCCUGAUUUCUCUUUCAGUGUCAAUUCUAUUUGCCAGUACAUGCAUGCUCCAACUGAAAAUCAUUUUUGAGCACUCAAACGCAUAUUGCGUUAUGUUAAAGGCAUAGUCCAUCAUGGUCUUCAACUUCACCGCACCUCCUCUCAUGAGUUGCUUGCUUAUUCUGACGCUGAUUGGGUUGGCUAUCCUGAUACACGGCGAUCUACCAGUGUCUAUCUUAUAUUCUUUGGCGCUAAUCUUGUCUCUUAGUGCUCUAAGAAACAAUCUACUGUUUCUUGCUCUAGUGCUGAAGCUGAGUAUAGAUCCUUAGCCAUUACUACUGCUGAAGUUGCUUGGAUUGUUCAGCUCCUUCGUGAUCUACGUCUUCCCUUGCCUUCCCCUCCAAAGAUAUUAUGCGACAACAAAAGUGCUCUUUUUAUGGCGUUCAAUCCAGUCACUCGGUCUCGAUCUAAGCACAUUGCGAUUGAUUAUCAUUUUCUUCGUGAGUUGAUUGCAAAUGGUUCUGUAAAAGUCGCAUUUACUUCCUCCCAUCUUCAGCUUGUCGAUUCUUUUACCAAGGGUGUCUCCAAGCCUCAGUUCCUACUUUUUCAUAACAAGCUUCAUGUUAUUCCUUCUACCACACUCAGCUUGCAGGGGGGUGAUAAGGCAGAAUCCUCUCCUGAUUGAUUCUUUCCUUGAUCUUAGAUUAUUUGUUAUUAUGUAUAUUUUUCUUUUCCUAGUUUGUAUGAUCUUCCAACUGUAUAUACACUCUAUAUAAUGAGAAACAAUUACCUCAAUAAUUGUUGAGGAUUUCAACCAUAUUUUACACGGGUUCUCAAACCUUUAUAGAAACGCAGCCUUGAGGAGGAUUUUUUGUGGAAAACAACCUCCAUAAGUCUGGAGGAGAGACACAACCUUGACGAGGAUUUUUUUUCAGGAGAACAGUCGCAUGAGCCUGGAGGUGAGAGGCACACCAUUGGAGGGAGAACAGCCGCAUCAAUUUUAAGGUGAGAGGCGCAUCAUUGAAGGGAGCACCAGCUGCACCAAAGAAAGAAAAUCAACGAAGGAUGAGAAAGAAUGAUUUUUUCUGAGCAUGAGAAGGCAGCCGCACCAUGGAGCUUUUCUUUUAGAGCAGUCGCACCAUUCUUGACAUGAGGGGAACCAUUGGCAAGCAAUCACAGGUGCAGCCGCAACCUUGAGGAGAAGCAACUUUUGGAAGUGCAAGGUGCAGCCGCACCCUCGGGGGAAUUUCCGGAACAGCCACACCAUUAAGAGAAUUUCAGGAACAGCCGGAUCAUUGAAAGACAAGAGAAGAACCAGCCGCACACAUCCAGAUUUGCUCCAAGCACAGCAGCUGGUCAUUUGCUUGCUCUUCAUCGCAUCAACCGCACACAUCUGGGCUGUUUUGAUAGUGCCACAACCGGUUAGUAUCAAGCAUAGAAACCGGAGUUCAUUUGCUAGCCCUUUCACGUCAACCACGCACCAUUAUGGGUUGUUUUGGAGCAUGCACAACCAGCUGAUUUUGGCUAGUCAAAUCAUUCACGCCGCUGCCACUUUGGGAAGCCUACUAGUAUACACAUCCGGUUGGGUGAGCUUCUCUCUUAUAUUUUUUUUAAUCCAUCAAUACAAUAUGUUAAAAGUUCUUUAUGGAUUUACUGUUAUGCCAUUAUAAGUCAUUGUUAAGCUUGACAUCUAUUUAUCUAUAUGCUAACUACUUAUCCAUUUAUUAAUAAGAUUUAUGUUAUAGGUUAUAGACAUAAUUUUAAAAUUUAUCUUAGAUAGUUUUUCUUUAAUUUAAUUUUUGGUUUAAGUGAAAUUUGUGUUCGUUAAAAUAGUUAAUAUUAAGUGUUAAAUAUUUGAUUUUAGGAUUGCCAUGAUUGGUGUUAAAAAUAUUUUUAAAUUUAGAUUUCAUUUAGUAAUGUAAAUUUAUUUGAAAAUUUUGGUUCCAUGAGUUCAUAUUUCGUUUUAGUCAUAUUUAUUUAUUCAUAUGUUAUCUUUUUAUCCUUUUGUUAAUGAGAUUGAUUUUAUAGUUUAGUUUUAAAAUUUGUUUUGGAUAGUUUUUCAAUUUAAUUUUAGGUUAAGUAAAAUUUUAGUUUGUUAAAAUAAUUGACCUCAUGUGUUAAAUAUGUGAUUUUUAGAUUUGCCUAAAUUAGUGUUUAAUUCAUUUUGAGUUUAGAUUUCAUUUUAAUAAUGUAAAUUUAUUUAGGAAGUUGAUUCCAUGAAUUCAUAUUUUGAUUUUAGUUUGCUUUCAUUUAAUUUGAUUCAUUUGAAUUAUUUUAGGUUUUUUUUUAUAAUUUUAAGUUAUUAAUAAAAUCAAUUUUAUAUUUGAAAGUGCAUGUGUUUAAUUUAUUCUGAUCUAGCUUCACUAACCUAAUCAAUUUAAGUAUUUGCUAUAAUAUUAGCUCCUUAAUAAAAUUAAUUCUAUGAUUGAAAGUUCAUGUUUGCCCUGAUUUAAUUUGGUCCAUUUUAAUCAGUUUAGAUGUGUUUGUGUGUUUAAUCAAUCACGUGUCAAUUCAUUAUUAUUACUCUUAAUUGAUAUAUUUCUUGAAUAUUAGUCAUUAAUUUUUUGUGGGUAUUUCGUUAGCUUACUGAAUUUGAGUUUGAAUAGUUUAUUGGCCUUUACCCUCACCUUUAUCAGUUUUGUUGAUUACUUAUUACUUAUUACUUAUUACUUUUUAGAAAAUAAAAAAUAAAUAUUGUUAUGUUAUAUUAAGGGGAUGUUUGAUAAAACUUAAUACUUAUUACUUAAUAAUUUAAGUUGACUUUAUGUUAAAUUAUACUUAAGUCGUUGACUUAUAACUUAUUACUUAAUUUUUACUUUAAACAUUAAGGUUGUUCAAUAAAAUUAACUUAAAAUUUAUUAUAAAUUAUCACAUUGAUAUAUUAAUUCUCAUAAAUUUUAAUUAAGGCAAAAGAGGUGAAGUUAUAAUGAAGGUCAUGGACUAGCAAAAGAGCUCGUGAAGAUAACUAGGGCAAAUUGGGGUGAAAAGGUAAAAUGAAGAUGUGAGCUUAAAAAUAAAUUAAUUGUUUUUAUUUAUUACUUAAAGUUAUUUUUUACUUUUAAGUCAUACCAUUAAGUUAUUUUACUAAAUAUAAUUAAUUUACUUAAUAACUUAAAUUAAGUUAUAAAUCACUUAUAAGUUAUUAAAUUGGUUUACCAAAUACCCUACUUAGUUAUUUAAUUAAUUCACCUUCUUUUAAGAACUUAGAACUAAUGAUGGAAAAAUUAUAUUUAAAGAUAUUUGGGAUUGUGAUUAUCAGAUCAUGAUUAAUAAAUAUGGUUUUUAUAUACACUUAAAAAUAUUUAUCACAUAAAAAUCAGGCUUUUUAUAAAAAUUAUUAUUUUCUUUGGCUUUCUCUAAAUUCGUUUUUAAGUAGAAGUGCUGCGGAAAAAAGUACUUUUACAAGAAGCAAUAUCAAAGGAUCUCCUACCUUGUUUGGAUGAAAAGAAACCAAACCGGAAAGUGACCCUAAUUCUACGUGGAAUCUAAUACUACCAACUUUGUUUUCCUUUUAAUUCAUGCAUAUCCAUUUUCUUUUCCUGAUUUUCACCUUGUUUUCAUUCUUGUACGUCAAAGAAAAUCGGCCAUGGAACAUAUGAUAACCAAGGGAAUUCUUGUUGGCGUGGGAAGUUCCGGCAAGGUGCACAUGGCAUUCUCCAAUGGCCGCCUACUAGCUCUGAAAUCUUGGUGUUCUUCUUGUUAUUCUUCACUUCAAAAGGAGGAAGAGAUUCUUCAUAGACUUGGACACUGCCCAGAUAUUGUUGACUACUUUGGAGGUUACUCAACCCAGGAAGGCAAUGGCGUUUUGGUCUAUAAUUUAGUUCUUGAGUAUGCACCCGUAGGAAGUCUUGAAAGUUUGAUAAUACGGAGGAAGAGCGGAUUGCUGGAGGGUGAAGUUCAGCGUUUUACGAGAAUGAUUGUUAGGGGUCUCCGUGAUGUCCACAAGGAAGGCUUCGUCCACUGUGACCUGAAGGUCGAUAAUAUACUCGUGUUUCAUUCUGAAAAUGGCGGGCAUAAAGUUAAGAUCGCUGAUUUUGGACACGCUAAGAGGUCUGGAAGGGAGGAGUUCAAUGGGGCGCUGGGCUCCCAGCAUACUUCAGAUGACACCCCGCCGGAAUGUAGUGGAAACGGAGAAAGCGAGGCACCUAAGGAUAUAUGGUCUCUUGGGUGCAUGGUGGUCGAGAUGUUUACUGGGAAACCAGCUUGGAUGAAUUGCAAGGAUGUAAAUGAGUAGGCUGUCCGUAUGGUUUCUUGGAGGCAAGUGCCUAAAGUACUCGGAAAUAUAUCAGAAGACGCCAAGGAUUUUCUGAGAAGGUGUCUGGAGAAGGAUCCAACAGAGAGAUGGACGGCUGAAAGGCUGUUGAGUCAUCCCUUUAUCGCCCAAGUUCCGGCUUCAGAAGUUCCGGCAAGUCAAUAAGUUCCAUGAGAAUCAGUGGCUUCGUCUUCCUUGGGACCUCCUGGGGAGUGUUGGGUCCGUUCAUUGCUUCCGAAUAUAUGUCCUUCUGCUUCUUCAUAGAGGUUUGAGAGUGGAGAAUAUGGAGGUGGCUACAUUGCUUAAGAAUGAGAAUUCCUUUUUACAUGGUGCAUAUAUUUGUUAUCACUUUGUCUUCUUUCUUGGAUUAACAGAUGAAUGAAUGAUAAUUGAGAGUGAUUUUUAAGCCUAGAGGAAUAACAAAAUUCAUAGAGGAAAAUCUCCUGAGCUUUUUACCACAUAAAAGAUACACGAAAGAAACAGUUGCUAUGGGUCAUCUAGCUUGGGACUGAGGUGGAUCAGUGUUGAAUAUUUUCCUAUAUACUCAAGACUGAUACCUUUUCUGCUUUCUUCCCAUUUUCUUUUUCAGUUUUUCUGGCAUCUGAUUCAACUUACUUUAGGGAUCUCAUUACUGAUAUUUAAAACUAGAGCCACAAUGGAUUCAGAGGCCAUGCCACAAAUGGGAUCUGAUGUCCAAUCUAAUGAAAUAUGCUCUCUGAUUCAUGCUUCACUGUCACCCGUUCAUGAACUCAAAAAACUGGAACAUCAGAUUCUUCAUGUGCCAAAGACUCCACUCUCAUAUUGUUGAGAUGAUGACAACACAUGCUAGGACACAAAGCAUUAUUCUAUGUAUAAACCUAAUCUACAGAUGCUCCAAUCUAAAGGUAUACAACAAUGAAACCCAGCAAGCCAAAAUGAAACAAGAGGCAAUAUUCUAAUGCGUGCAAGGAAAAAUAAAUUAAUACAAAGAACACAAAAUUUUAAAGUGGAAAACCCCUCCCACAGGAGGUAAGAAAAACCCACUAUCUAAUUCCUUCCAUUUCAACUAACACAAAAUGGGAAUGCAAAGUCUGUUAGCUUCUCUCCCGAGAGUUAGUGAAAAUACAUAAUCUUGAGAUGAAGACAACUACCUCAACAAUACCAAAGGAACAAGAGAAUGUAGGGAUUUUACAGAAUAAAAUGAGCCAAAAUAGGGGAGGAAACUUUUUCCCUUCAUUGGAUUUGAAGAUGGUUUUAAGAAUCUCUAUCAAUGUGGCUUGUGUAGGAUGCCCUAAACCACUAGCCCCACGGCUUUUCUUCCUUUGUUUCUUCACCCCACGAGGGUUUCUUUAGCUCUAAAGACCGGCUACAAAAAAGCAUUUAAAGUGUUGCUCAAGCAAGAAAUAAAUGGGCCCACGCUUUGGGCUUCAAAUGGGCUGUCAGGAUGCAACAAUAAGAGUCCAUAUGGGCUGGAAAAAGUAGUGGCUAUGGGACCUAACACAACAAUCACCCCCUCCAACGCAUGAGGGAGGAAUACCUUCAUGCCUGCCAUGUUGAAACACAACUCAAGCUUUUGCUUAGGAACCACCUUUUCAACACACACAUAGAGUAUGGAUCUUCAUUGGUUGAAUGUAUUUAGUAUUUACCUUCAACCGCUUCUUUUGACCAAUGGUAUCUCACAUCAAUAUCAUUUGUAUGAGAGUGGUACAUGGUGUUUUUUUAAUAUCCAUCUCACUUUGACUGUCAUAAUACACCACAUACUCACCAUCCAUGCUUCAGUCUUUAGUCACAACAACUUCUUCGUUGCUUAUAUACUUAGCUUCUGUUGUGACCAAGGCAACAAACUCUUGCAACUUAGACGACCAUGACACAUCUCCCACUAUAAAAGUUAUCAAAUAAAAAAAUCUAGACCUCUUAUUGCCAAUGUCACUAACCAUAUCUGCAUGUAAACCUUUCCAAAACUAUUUGAGCUCCCUCGAAACACAAGCAACUCAACUACUUGAAGAUCCAUUUCACUACUUCUCAAUGCUCUUUCUUAUUAAUGAUUAUGGCUCGUUUUAUUAUCCUUUUUGUAUUAAUUAGUUAUCUAAAUAUUUAUAUAUUUAUCAUUGCAUUAUAUAUGACUUAGAGUACAUUAACAGUUGUAUAGAAGAUCCAAGUUAUGAAUUUCUUAUAAAAUUAUAAGUUGUUUACAGUUUAUUUAUAGAUUUGGAUAAUUCAAUAGAGACUGGAGUGCACUAUACCUCCUACGUGAAGGAUAACUUGUCUUGAUCAUUAUGAUAAUUUUUCCAUGGUAAGUGCACUUAUAUGGUUACGCAUUGGAUAGAAUAACUGAAUUCCUUAUUUUAAGAGUUUAGGAAUAAAUGUGAUAAUGCUAGGUAACCUAGUUUAUUUUUUUCCUCUUUAAAAAGUAAAAUUUAUAAAAAAAUUUAAGGCAUAUGACUAUUUAAAUCACAAGUGUAACAUGUUUUCAUGUAAAUAUAUAAGAUGUCACACCAUCCCCACUAAUAAUUCUUUUUUUUUUUUAAAUAUAUAUAUAGAACUCAAAGCUAUUGUCUUUACAAGGUUAGGUAUAGGGACAUUUCUUUAACAAUGCUAGUUGAUAUAUUUCUACUCUAAAUUUUAUAUGAUACUAAAUUUGGAUUUAACAAUCAUUGAGAUGGUUUUUUUUUUCUUUUUACAUUUUUUUUAAUUUUUUAUUUUUCAAAUAUAUAUAAUAUAAGAAAAUUUAUGUUAUGAUUUUUUUUAUAGGUAUAAAAGAAAUAAAUACAAUAAAAAUUGAAUAAUUGAAUAGAUAAAUGACAAUUCAAUCACUUUUAAGAAGCUUAAGCUUUUGAAUAGAUGUGACUUGGUUUACUCCUCUUCACCAAAAGGUAGGAUAGACUAAUUCAAGAGGGAAAAAUGGUUUCAUAGUUGUUAAUUGAAAUUUUCGUAUAUAUUAAUAUAUAAAUAUAAGCUUCCUUUUUCAGUUGUACACAUAAUUAAGAUGCUUGUCAUGUUCAAUGGGGAAAAAAAAUUCACUUUAUGGCUAAAUUCUUGUCAUAAUUUGUUAUCAAGGGUUCUUCACCAAACAUUGUAUUGUUAGUGAUUACCCGUGUCAAGGAUCCUAUCGAUGUAAAUGCUCCAAUUGAAGUGAACCAUUUAUAGGCUCUAUUUAUUAAAUUUUAGUGUGAAAUAUAUGAUAAAAGAAUAAAGAAAGUGACAAUAAUUUUAUAUAAGUGGUAUUAUUGAUGUAAACCAGAUGUAUGCACUAUAUAUUAAAUUUUAGUUUUAAAUAUCUUAUAAAAGAACAAAGAAAGUGGUACUUGAUUUUAACAUGUCAAGGUUGAAGACACAAGUUAUGGUUUCGUAUAAUGAUCAUAAAUUUCUUUUAAUUAUAUAUAUAUAUAUAUAUAUAUAUAUCAGAGAAUUCAUAUUAUGAUUUUUUUUAUAGGUUUAAAACAAAUAAAUACAAUAAAAAUUGAAUAACUAAAUAGAUAAAUAAAAUUCAAUCACUUUAAGAAGCUUAAGCUUUUAAAUGGUUGUGACUUAGUUUACACCUAUUCACCAAAAAAUAGAAAAUGACUAAAUAAUAAAUACAAAAAAUUAGAUAAAUUCAAUUACUCAUGAAAAUGAUGAUCGACCAUACUUCAUAGGAUUUUAAAUCUUUAACCAAACUUGAUAUCAUUUUAAAGUAUCAAUGAAUGAAAAAAAAAAAAAUCAAGUGGCUUAGGUUAUAAAUUUUAUUUUCAAAUCAUUUAAUAUGUAAAUUAAUUAAAACUGAAUUUUUAAGUUUAUUAAUUUUAAAUUCCUCCCUUAUUCUUUAUUUGGAUUAAAUUCUUUUAACUAUUUUUCCUUGUCAGAAGUAAACUUUUUUAACUCUAUCAUUUCUUUCUUCAUUUUUAUCCUUAGAACAUAAGUCUUAUUAUUUCUCUUAAUAUUUUUUAAAUCAUUCAUAUUAAAUUUUAAAAUCAAAUUAGCUGUCAUUUCUUUUACUUCUUUUUCAAUCAAAUGCAUGGUUUUGUUGUCGAUGCUUAUCUUAGUUCAUCUGUAAGUGAGACUGAUCACCUAUGAGCAAAAUAGCCAUGCUUUUUUCCAUUUGGAAGUCUUAAGGAAUCGGUAUUUGGACCAUAAGAAGGACUACCAAAUCAAUCAUUUAUAGUCCGCAAUAAAAUAGAAUGCAUAUUAAGAGGGUCCUAGACUCGCUCCCAACAAUGAAUAUAAUGUUUGCUUUAGGCUCAAGGGCCUUCACGAUUUUAAAAGGUGUCUAUAAAAUUAAGAGAAGUUUAUGCAUAAAUAGUAUAUCUGUAAAAUUGCAAGGUUAAAUGUUAUUGGAGAAAAGCUUCAACUAAAGGUUCUUCAUCUAAAAACACUUUCAAAUGGACAUUAAUUAUCUUUGGUUAGUUAUCAUCAAUUCCUAAAUAUAUAUUUACUUUCCUUAUCGGGGUUUUUACUUAAAUACUCUUUUUAUCAAAUUGAACUAUGCAAGUGUAUGAAGUAGUUCUAUUUAAUAUGUUCAUCUGCUCUUUGAAUCAUUUUCUCCUUGAGUUACUUGUUUCAUCUUAGCAAAAAAAUACGGUUUGUCACCCAUUUUGAGGGGAGAUAAUAACAAAAAACUCAUAGUUCAUGCUGAUAAGCAUAAAAAAAAAAAAUGUAAUUUCAACAGUCUUGGAAAUUAUCACUCUCUCAAUAAUCUAUUGAAAAAAAUGAAAAGAUUACUUGUUAGGGUCCUAAAAAAGGUGCAGACACAUGAACAAAAAACCUAAUUACAUCCAAAAACAGGAGUCAUUUGCCUUCUUGGACCUCCGCAGCCCCAAGGAUACGUUCAAAACGGUGACUGUCACAAGAAUGAAGGAUACAAGAAACCCAUAUCCUAUUUUCCACCCCGAGCCUGCUUCUGCCACUAAAAGUCCAAUCACAAUAUUCAGAGCUCCCAAGAAGAGAGCAAGUCUCCCUACCCAGUGAUGUUUUCAGCAUUACCUGAAGUAAACUUAGAUUCAAUGCCAUUACCUGAGAAGAAGUAAACUUAGUUUUCAGCAUGCUUGAAGAAAUAUAUUUAGUUAAUGUCGAGUGAAGGCCUAGCCCGAGCCAAAACAAACCUGAAGAAUGCUAAGGACAAGCACUAAGGAUUCGAGGGGUCUGAAUCUUGAAUUUGCCAAAGCGAUCGGAUUCCAGUCCAUUGUAGAGUGUCCUUCCUACGACAACAGUAGCAAGACCCAGAAGAAAACCCACAAUCUGGAUCAAGAUAUGAAGAUAAAACAAUUGAGGAUCAUGAUGCUUGAAGUAUCUUGGGAUGAUUGUCCCAAAUGGAAGGAGCACGCCCCAUGCAAUUGGGACCAUGGCUCCCUGACGCGCCUUCAAACCUCCAGAGUUAUUGACACCAGAGGUAUAUACUGUGAGACACAAACAGAAAGUUUCCAUAUCAGGCUUAAAAGAGUAUUAUCUGAAGCUCCCACUUUAUUUUCCUAGAUAUAAGCCCCUCACGUCUAGAACGUAAAAUCCUCUAUUCUCUGUUCAAAUUUCAGCUUUGCAAUUGGAGUCAAUACAUCUCGUAUUCAAUUCAAUCCUCAUCUUUUACUGGCCUCCUAAAUUCUAAACCCUGUCUGGGUUUUCCAGUUUUGUGAAAAAUUACAACAGGAUGGGAUUUGAUUCAAUGUGAGAGACAAAAUUUUGGAAAAAUCUGCAAAACCCUCAACAGUUGUGGCCAUAACUCAAGACCAAGAUGGGAACUUACAAUGUCAUAAUGCUGAUGAAUGCUUCAUAGACUGCUCUACCAUACUAGAGUUUGACGGAAUGCCUGUCCUUUGUUGAAAGACAUGAAGUUCCUCACAUGCUCGAGCAGGAAGAACCUUGGCUGAAAGUAAUCGGCAAAGGAUAAGAAGGCGAGGAUCAUUUCACACUGAACUUUACUCCAGUUAGUUUGGUUAAAUGGAUUCAUCCCAGAGAAACCCUGUGAAGAUGGCAGCCUUGUUUUAGCUCCUAGAAUAGAGUAAAAAAACAGAGCAGAAGCUGAUCAAACCUGGCAUGGAGGCCCCCCAUUGAUAAAAUCAACUUGUCCAAGCAUCCGGUGAUGCAGAUUAUUUGGCAGCCUCAGAAGUAGAGACACAGUCAUCUGACAUUCCCACGCUCUUCCACGACAGCCCUGCGUCACAACCAAUCUACGGGUCAAUUACAAAUUGAGAGACAGAGGAAAAGAGAUUUUCAUGUUAAUGAAAUCAUUCACCUCAGGAUCGAACAGCAAUUGUUAACACACAUCAAUGAUUCUGGAUGAUUGAAUUUAAGUGCAUCCCCAGCAGGCUCUUCAUAUUCAGUAGCCCACUUGGCUACUGAUACAAAUGCAAAAUUGGAAGCAACAGGAGUUAAAAUAAUCACAUUCUUUAACGUAAAUGUCAUCAAAUACGACUCUUUGGCUGAUAUAGAUACAAAUGAACUACCUGCUUGAGGGACCCUUCAAACAAAAAUAAGUUCCAAAGGUUGCAAGGACAUCACAUUUCCCCUCUGUCAUCUCAACAGGAACAGAAUGGGUCUCUUCACGGUAGUACACCUGCACAUUCCACCCUUCAAAUAUCUUAGGAAAAUAAUAUAAUUGUAGUUUUAUAUUAUAAUAGAAGUACAAACAAGACAUUAUGCUUGCACCCACCCCAUGGAUGUCAUAACAGUAUGUCUUAUCUGCUGAAACUUCUUCAGACCUGAUAAAUCUUCUUACUUUACCCAAUAUAAGCUUUUACAGUAAUAAUCAAUUGAUAACAAAUUUACAUGGAGAAGUGAGGACCCUCAGCUAGUUUCACCCCCAUGACCAUGAUCCUGCAGCUCAAGCAAUGUAAUCAUGGAAAACGGUUUCGACAAUGGUGGCCACUGUGUUGAGAGUGCUCGAGCAACUUGUUGCAUAGUUGGCCGAGAUUGGGGAUUAACACGCAAGCAUGCAAAUGCCAACUUCACUGCAACCUCUACUUCCUUUGCCACUUGAUUCACAGGAGGUGAGGGGCGCUGGUCUAUCACAUCAUUCAACAGGAAAUGGCCGGCAGUUGAUGGUGAUGUAGAUGAGGAGGACGCUGAUGAUAACAGGGAUGAGAUGAGUUCUCCAGGAUGCCUCCCCAUAAUUACUUCCAAUGUUACAACACCGAAACUAUAAACAUCGGUUUUAUUAUCCACCUUCAUCGAGUAUGCAAGUUCUGCAAAGAAGAUUAGAUCAUGCUCUGCUCUGCUAAGCAAUUAUAAAAGUUACAUAUGAUGUGUAGAGGCCGUUUAGAGAUAAUCAAGGCACUCAGAAAAAUGUACCUGGAGCAGUAUAACCAAAAGUUCCUGCAAAUGAAGUCCAAUUAGAUGAGUCCGACUUUAAAAGCCUAGCUGUGCCGAAGUCAGAUACAUGAGCUUCAUAUUCUGAAUCUAACAAAACAUUGUUACUUGAUAUGUCUCGAUGAAUUAUAGGAGGUGAGCAAUCAUGGUGCAUAUAAGAUAAAGCUUUAGCCACGCCUUUAACAACGUUUAGCCUCACAAUCCAAUCUAAUUUUUCUGCUUCUUCGUCGUUUCUUAGAAUGUUUCGCAAGCUUCCCUUUUCCAUAAACUCAUAAACCAAAAAUGAGUUCUCUGCAAAUAAACUGAAGCCAUAAAGCUUGACGAUACUGCGAUGCCUUAUCUGUGUUAAAGCAUGAAUCUCGCUUUUGAAAGCUUUCAAAUCAGCCAUAUCUCCAUCUUGUGAUGAGUGAAGCUUUUUCACAGCAACAACCCGACCUGUUGGCAACUCAGCCUUGUAAACAGUACCAUAUCCUCCAGUGCCAAUACACUGCUUCGAACUGAAAUUGUCGGUCCCCUGUAUGAUGUGUUCAUACAGCAAUUCCCCAUCAUGGCCCCAUAUUGCAAAUAGAUCUUCAACAUCUGCUUCUGGAGAUUUGGUUUUUCUCUUCCUCAAUUUUUGGAAAAGAAAAAAAAUGCCAAUAACAAAAGCAAAUAAGAACAAUAGACUGCUCACAAUGAGGAGUAUUAUGAUCAAAAUAGAAAACUUGUUGGCCUUCUUUCGACUAGCACUACAUGGCUUGAGAUGAGUGACAUUAUUACCACACAGACCUUUAUUAUUUUUGAAUGCCUCAAAUGGAGCAAAGGCUUUGAUGUUUGGGAGAGGACCUUCCAAUUGAUUGUAGGAUAUAUCAGCAACUGUCAAACUUAUCAAAUCAUCAAACGUGUGUGGGAUGGUACCAGAUAGCCCAUUGUGGGAGAGAUUCAACGUUUCCAGGUUCUGUAAUUCUCCAAGCAGCGGUGGCAUCUCUCCUGUCAACAUAUUUUGACUAAGAUCGAGACUUCGAAGAUGAUGCAUCUUUCCAAUUUCGUCAGGAAUGCUAUCCACAAAUCUAUUCUCGCUCAAGUUCAAGGACCAUAAUUUCCAGAAGUUUCCCAGUUGCUUGGGAAUUGGACCGCUUAAGUUGUUUGAUGCCAAGUCAAGGAUUUCAAGAUUGGAUAAGUUUCCCAAUUCCAGAGGAAUACUUCCUGAAAGUUUGUUGUUGCCUAGCAACAACUUGAACAGUAAAGGAAGCAUACCCAAUUCUUUUGGGAUCUUCCCAAUUAGAUGAUUUGAGGAGAGAUCAAGUUGUUGCAGUUGAAUUGCUUUCCCAAGUUGAGGUGGUAUAGCACCAGAAAUUUUGUUAUUGGAGAUGUUCAGGUUUGUGAGCAUGUGGCACUCCCCCCAUUUCUCAGAAAGGUCACCAUACAAAUUGUUACUGCUCAGAUCAAUAUAAUUUAGAUUAGGGUAUACACCAAAACUUUCGGCUAUGUCUCCAGUAAGUUGGUUAUUUUCAAGCCUAACUCUGAAUAAGCUAGUGCAAUUUUUCAAGCUCUUUGGAAUAGGACCAGUGAAAUGGUUCCUUUGGGCUGAAACUUUUUCAAGAGCAUUACCAAGGCAUAUCUCUUGUGGUAGGUGGCCAGUGAAGUUAUUCUCACCUAUCUGCAAAGAUUUCAAAUGAGUGAUAUUAUUCAUUUCUCGAGGAAUGGCACCACUAAGUUUGUUGGAAUGAAGAGCCAAAGUGGUUAAGCUGGACAAGUUUCCUAUAGAAGCUGGUAUUGAACCAAUGAGAUUGUUAAAUGAUAAGUCAAGAAUAUUAAGCAAUCUCAACAAUCCAAUUUCUUGAGGGAUAUAACCAAAAAGGCCAUUUUGAGAAAGAUACAAGGUGGUUAAGUUCCUCAAGUUUCCUACAAAAGAAGGGAUUGGACCAGUGAGAUUAUUACUUCCCAACUCAAGAACUAUAAGAGAUCUCAGUAACUCAAAUUCUUGAGGGAUGAAUCCAGAAAGUUUGUUACCAUAAAGAUAUAAAAGGCUUAACUUGGACAAGUUUCCUAAGGAAGCUGGUAUUGAACCGCUAAGAUUGUUGUCUGCCAAGUCAAGAUUCUCAAGUGAUGUCAAUAAUCCAAUUUCUUUAGGAAUGGAGCUAGAAAGUUGGUUACCAUAAAUGUAUAAAAUAAUUAAGUUCUUCCAAUUUUCUAUGGAAGUUGGUAGUGAACCAUUGAGAUUGUUAUAUGACAAGACUAGAUAAUUAAGAGAUCUCAACAAUGUAAUUUCUUGAGGAAUAGAACCAAAUAGAUUGUUUGAAUUAAGGUACAAAGUGGUUAAGUUCCUCAAGUUACCUAUGGAAGAAGGGAUUGGACCAAUGAAAUUGUUAGUUGACAAAUCAAUACUAGUAAGAGAUCUCAAUAAUCCAAUUUCUUGAGGAAUAAAACCAGAUAGUUUGUUUCUCAGAAGGAGCAAAGUGGUUAAAUUCCUCAAAUUACCUAUGGAAGGAGGGAUUGAGCCAAUGAGAUUAUUAGUUGACAAAUCAAUAACAUUAAGAGAUCUCAACAAUCCAAUUUCUUGAGGAAUAGAACCAGAUAGGUUGUUUGAAUUAAGGUACAAUGUGGUUAAGUUCCUCAAGUUCCCUAUGGAAGGAGGAAUUGGGCCUUUGAAAUUAUUAGAAGACAAUGCUAGAAAGCUAAGAGAUGUUAGAAAUCCAAGUUGGUCAGAUAUUACACCAAUGAAAUGAUUGAAACGAAAGUCCAAAACUAUGAUCAGUUUGGAAAGAUUGCCAAUGUUGAUUGGAAUGGUUCCAUAGAGGGAGUUGUUAUAAAGAUUAAGAGUAAGGAGGUUGGAAAGUGAUGAAAAAUUGAGAUUAUGGAGUGUACCUCUCAAACCGCAACUUUGAAGGUCUAAACUGGAGACACUUCCUGACCUGUGACAAGUCACUCCGAACCAAUGAUGGCAAGAAUUGCGUCCAGACCAAGAAAAGAGGAAAGAUUGGGUUUGAUUAUCAAGACUAGCCUUCCAUGUUAGAAGAGCAAGUGCUUCUUGAUCUUGUUCAACUUUCGAAAAAGAAGUGAUAGGUGUAGAGGCAAAUGUAAAAGUGACAUGGAAUGAUGAUAUUGAGUACAAAAGGAAAAGGAGAAAUAUGAAGAAGCAAGGAGUGAUGAUGAGUCGGGGGAGUAAGGAGUAGGAUGAAGGACAUCCAAGGGUCAUUGUUGAAUUGGUAGAAAUGAAGUUAUUAGGGGUUUACUUGGAGGGAAGGAAGAAGAUGAAACACUUAUUUAUAGGCUUAAAUGUGAUACAUCCAAUAUUUCCAUUGGUUUGUGUUGGCAUCCAACUACCUCAUUGGUCUACAAUUAAUGGAAUUGAAAAGGAUCAGAGUAUAUACAUUAAUUCAAUUCCACACUUAUUUUAUUUUAUUUUAUCACUCUUAAUUUUUUAAUUAAAAUGAAAUUAUUAAAAAUAUUCCUUUUUCACUCCAUUCACUUUUAAAUAUAAUUUGUUUGAAAUUAAUAAUUACAAUUCUUUCUAAGAAGUAAGGAUCAAAUAUGCUCAUGUCAAUAUCCUAGUUGAUAUAGGAAGUCCACUUGAGCAACAUUACUUGUACAUGUGCCUUUAUAUAAGCCACUUGAUAUUUUUUUUUUCAAAAAUUAAUAAAUAUAAGCUUUAAUGAGAGCAAAGAGAAUCGGGUACAUAUUUUAUUAUUAAAAAAUCUGCCAUGAAAUUUUUUUUGGUAGGCUUACGUUUUGCAUAAGAUAUAUAUAUUCAUUUUGCGUCAAGAAAUUGAAAAACAAAAAUUGAUUUAUUUGUUACUUAUAAAAUAAUUGAGAUCAUGCAUGGAAUUGCAUCUCAUCAAUUCUUCAUGAAGAAUUGGCUUGUAAGAAAUUGAUAUUUUUAAAUAUUUAAUUAGAAAUAUGUAAUAUUUACUAAGUUGAUUACAUUUCUUCUUUAAUUUGGUUUAGGUUUCUAAAAUUAUUAGUUCUCAAAUAUCUUAUUUUAAUUGUAUUAGAUAAGAAUAUAUAUAUAUAUAUAUAUAUAUAUAAUUAUCAUUUUCACGAUAUUGUUAAAUUACUCAUUUCUAGAAUUUUUAUUAUGUUAACAAAUGUUAAUAGUUUGAAAUAUUUGAAAAUAUGUUCAUUACCAUUUUUUUUGGUCAAAUUAUUAGUCUUGAAAUAUUUUUAUCAUAAUUAUAUAAAAUAAAAGCAAAUAUAAUAAACUUAAAGCAAAUAUAAUAAACUUAACACUUAAGAACAUUUAGAUAUCACUUUAAACAAAUAUAUUAUUCAAAGUCAUCCAUCUAGGUAUUACAUAAAUGAAGUUAUAGUUAACAUUCAUAUUAAAAAAUAAAUAAAUGUUACCUAGUAGUACGACAUAACCACACCAUUGUAGCUGAACUUUUCUUCUCUAAGUAGACUUCUUAUGAAAACUUUAUUUAUUUUUAGACUGCAUUCAAAUAAGGAUGUAUUGUGAAUUAAUUAGUAACUAGUAAAAUUUGCUUGUACUGUUUAUUAUUAUUAAAAGAGAUUUCUUACUUAUCAAUUAAAAUUACAGAUGUUGAUAUGAACAUAAAAUUCCCUUUUCAACUACAUGCAUUUCUAAUCAAGAUUUUUGUUGUUUUCAAUAGAGUGGAAUAGUCAUUGGUUUACUAGUUCUUAUCAAUAAUUGUUUUCAAGAAUCUAGACCCAAUAUUCAUAUCAUCAAUGGUAGCCAUCAAUUAUCCUAGUUGACGUGAGGGGUCUAAUCAAGGUGAAGUGUAUAUGAGCUUCAUGUAUUAAAUCUUACUAUUAAAAUAGAAAGUGAGGAUUGAAUCCAUUGUAUUAAGGCUAAGUAGUAGCCAUUACAAUGGUGGAACCUAGAUUUUUUUUUUCCUUUUUAAAAGGUAAAAUUUGUAUUGAAACUUCAUCUAUGUCAAGGCAUAGCACAAAUGAAGGGUGGCAUGCUUUCAAGUAGAAAUAAAAUAGAAUUUCAUUUUCUAAAUAGGUUAUUUUACCAUUGUUGUAAAUAAUUUCUUUUACUUCUUCCUUCCCAAGAGUCAAGAACUCCAGGAUAAUUGCUUCACAAUAUUUCCCAUCCAAUCAUUCCCAUCAAUUCUUCAUGAAGAAUUGGCUUGUAAGAGACUGAUUUUUUUUUUUUAAGUAUUUAAUUAGAAACAUGCAAUAAAAUGAUUAUACUUUUUCUUUAAUUUGGUUUAGGUUUCUAAAAUCAUUACUUCUCAACUAUCUUAUUUUAAUUAUAUCAAAUAAAAAUAUAUAAUUAUUAUUUCUUAAGAUGGUACUGUUAAAUUACUAAUUUUUAAAAUAUUUAUUAUUGUAACACAUGUUAAUAUUUUGGAAAAGAAAUUAUUACUAUUUUUUUUUCAAACAAUUAGUCUUGAAAUAUUUUUUUAAUUAUAAAAAAUAGAAACAAAUAUGAUAAUUAUUUUUGUAUAGAUAAUGAUACUUAAUUAGUAAUUUUUAGAUAUUCGUAGCAUGUAAAAAAAAAAAAGUAGACUUGACAUUUAAGAACAUUUAGAUACCACUUUAAGCAAAUAUAUUAUUCAAAGUUAUACAUCUAGCUCUCCUAGAUUUAAGUUAAAUAAAUGAAGUUAUAGUCGAAAUUCAUAUUAAAAAAUAAAUGUUACCUAAAAUUAAUUCCUAUGAUAUUGUAGUGGAACACAAUUUUUUUUUUCCUUUAAGUAGAAUUAUAUGAAAACUUCAUUUAUUUUUAGUGUAUAUUAAAAUAAUGAUUUGUUUUGAAUUAAUUAAGAAACUAAAAAAAUUAUUUGUACUCUUUAUUAUUAUUAAAAAAUAUUUCUUACUUAUCAAUUAAAAUUAUAUAUUUACAUAUGAAUAUAAAGUUCCCUUUCCAAUUGCAUGUUUUUAGUCAAGACUUUUGUUGUCUUUGAUAGAAUGGAAAAGUCAUUGCAUUCCUAAUUUUCUUAUCAACAAUUGUGUGGAAAAGUUAUUGCAUUCCUAAUUUUUGUCAACAAUUGUGUGCAAAAGUCAUUGCAUUCUUAAUUCUUUUGCACAAUUGUUUUCAAAGAAUCUACAUCUAAUAUUUACAUUAUCAAUGGUAUAUGUCAAUGAUCCUAAUUCAUGUGAGUGGUCUAAUUGGAGUGAAGUAUAUAUCAACCUCAUUUAUUAAAUCUUAGUAUUAAAAUAAAAAGUAGCGCUUGAAUACAUUGUAUCAAGGCUUUAGGAACAACAUUAUUAAUGCUGGGAAUCUAAAUCAAAUGAAAAGAUUUCUUAUUUGUCAAUUUAAAUUACAUAUUUAGAUAUGAAUAUAAAGUUUUCUUUCCAAUUGCAUGCUUUUAGUCAAGACUUUUACCGUCUUUAAUAGGGUGGAAAAUUUGUUGCAUUCCUAAUUCAUAUCUACAGUUGUAUGGAAAAGUCAUUGCAUUCCUAAUUCUUGUCAACAAUUGUGUGGAAAAGUCAUUGCAAUUAAAUACACUGUAUCAAGGCUUGAGGAAUGACAUUAUUAAUGCUGGGAAUCAAAUCAAUUGAAAAGAUUUCUUAUUUGUCAAUUAAAAUUACAUAUUUAAAUAUGAAUUUAAAGUUUUCUUUCCAAUUGCAUACUUUUAGUCAAGACUUAUACCGUCUUUAAUAAGGUGGAAAAUUUGUUGCAUUCCUAAUUCAUAUCAACAAUUGUGUGGAAAAGUCAUUGCAUUCCUAAUUUUUGUCAACAGUUGUGUGGAAAAGUCAUUGCAUUCUUAAUUCAUAUCAACAAUUGUGUGGAAAAGUCAUUGCAUUCCUAAUUCUUAUCAAUAAUUGUUUUCAAGGAAUCUAUACCUAAUAUGCACAUUAUCAGUGGUAGACGUCAAAUGCAAAUAAUUUCUUUUGCGUCUUGAAGAUUUUUACUUCAUAAUGUUGAGCAAAGAUGCAUCUAUUUAAGAGUGGUUUGUACUUUUUAUAAUAGGUAUUGUGAAAAAGGAUAUCUUCAAAAUGUAAAUUUUGUUAAUUUUUUCAAAUAAUAUUGCAUUAUUUUAAUUCAAUUUUCAAGUUAAUUAAAAGUGAAACUUAGAUCAAGGAUUGGACAUAAUAACAACAUUUCCUAUUAAUAGAUUUAAUAAUAAAAAAGAUGAGUUUUUUUUUUCAAAUAUAUAUACGUCAAAAGAGAAUUUAUGUUAUGUUUUUCUUAAAAAAGAAAAGUUUCAUGACUGAAUAUACCACUCAAUUCAAUUCAAAAAACUUAUUUUUGAAUAUUUGUGGUUUAGUUCAAUUCCAUGACUAAAUAAUUGGCCAUGUUUAUUGGGAUUUAAAGUCUUGGUCAAACUUGAUGUAAUAUUUUAACUGCCAAUGAAAAAUAAAUAAAGUGAUAAAUUGACUAAGAGUCCAUUUGGAAAGUAGGGCCAAAAAUGGCUUCAAAUUCUUAAAGAUUAUGUUUUACUAAAAAUUAAUCAUUUGAAAAAAAAAAUUGUAAUCAUUUUAAAGUUAUAAAACAAUCGAGGGUACUUCUUAAAUAAAGACUUGAUAAAUACUUUUAAAAGACAUUAUAAAAAACUCGUGAAAAAUAUUUGAAUUUCAAAUAAAUGUUCUUGUUAAAAUAAAAAAAAAGAAUACAUUUUUCAAGCAUUUUUAUUAAAAAGACUUUCAAAUAUAUUUUUACUUGAUAUCCUUGAAUUGUUAAUACGAUUGUGAACUCCAUUUAAUUUUUUUUCUUUAAAAAGUUGGGCAAAUCAUAAAAAAUGGUAGGUCAUGUGUGAUAAUUCUUUUCAAGGAUCACCAUGUUUACAAGUUCAUGUUAGUCCUCAAGUAAUGAUUUAAAAGUUGACAAUUUCAUAAUUCUAAUUAUACCCUCUUUUAUAUUUUCCUCUUAUUCCCAUUCAACUUUACUUUCCUUUUUUUUUUUCUUUUAUAAUUUUUUUACUUAUUUUUGUUAUGAGGUAUUAAUAUUAUUGUUUAGAUAUUAGUAGAAUUAUUCAUGUUAUUAUUAAUAUCAUUCUUAUUAAUAUUAUUUAUUAUUUUUAUAAUUAUUAUGGACUUUAUUAUUCAUAUUUUUAAUAUUAUAGUAAAAAUAAUAUUAUUAUAUUUUUAUCAUUAGUACUACAAAGAAACCUGGAAGAUAAUUUAUAUUUUUUUUAAUUCUUAAGGCUUGUAAGCUUUAUUAAAAAAUUAUUUAUUUAUUUAUUUAUUUAUUUUGCCUUUUAUGCUUUAUAUGCUACAUUAAGACUAAUUAAAUUAUUAUUGCCACCCCAUUAAUAUUAUUAUUUAUGAUAUUAGUUUUAUAUAAUUAAUAAAACUAAUAUUAUAUCAAAGUUAUAGAUAUGACAAAAAUGCAUUGAUCUUACAACAUUAAUACUUUAAAUAUAUAAUAUAUUACGACAUAACCUAAUUUUAUUUUAAUUCUUUUUUUAAACAAACACCUGUGAAUACUUGCUCUAUACUCCUUAAAAUUUUCUAAAUGGCUUCAAAAUGUAAGCACAACAUUUAUAUAUUGUACUUAAAACAUAAAUACGCUAAAAUAUGAUGCAUUAUGACAAGCCUUAAGUUUACUUUUUAACAAUUAUAAAAACAAAUAUUUUUAUUGUAAUAUUUUCUUAAUAGUUCUAUUACAAAAUUAAACAUUUUUAAAUUGAUGAAAUCUAUAUAAUAAAAAUUAUAAUAGCUUUAUAUUUUUAAUUAUCAAAAUGAAACAAUAAUUUGUAAAUUUAAUAUAUUAUGAUUAUUAUUAUUAUUAUUAUUAUGGAUAAGUUAUUGAUAAUAUUUUUAAAAUUGUAAUUAAUAAAAUUGUAAUUUAUAAUUAAUGUUUAUAUUAUUUAUAUGGAUUGAUAUUAAUAAUAUUAUUACUUGAUAGCUUAAUAAUAAUAAUAAUAAUAAUAAUUAGAAAAGAAAAAGAGAAAAUAGAGAAAAGAGGGAUAUGCUUGGUUUUAAAGUGGAAAGAGUCAGAGUAUACUUAACUUUUUGUAUUUUGAGGCAUAUGGAAGACUUAUCAAAGUUGAUGACCUUUUUGGGACAUUAUCACCUAUAACUCAUCCUAUAUGGAAAUUUUCCCUAAAAUGUUUUACUAAUGGGUUUAAAAUCCCUCCUUAAAGCACAUGAGGAUAUUUAUGAACUAUUUGAAUGGAAAUUGGAGUUAAACUCAACCAUGAGAGUGACUUAGUUUAGUGGAAUAUAUAGUUAGAAGAUAAAUCUAACCCAACUCUCUCUUUACCUAUAAGACAAAACUCAUUUCUUUGUAUACUGAGAUGCAAAAAUUGCAUAUAAAUAGGCUCUUUUUAGUUAAAAUUGUGUUCCAUGAUCAUAUCACAGAUUAAGUUAAAUAAGAAGUAAAAAUUUCUAAAUUAAUUUUUUUAUUAAAAUGAUUUCUUAACUGUGAAGUAAAUUAAUCUUACAUAUGUAUGUAAAAAAAAAUUUACUUUUAUUCUUAUUAAAAUAGGUGGAGGUGUUUAAUAAUUCUCCUUAUCAAAUCCUAGUCCUAACCCUAAUUCUAAUCAUAAUUAUUUCUCAUUUCUUUUUUUUCCUUUUCUUCCAUUCUAUUAUAUUUAAAUACUUAAAUUAAAUCAUUAACUCAAUUUAUCAUAUUCAUCUUAACGUGAAAAACUUUUAAACCACUUAGUGAAUCCCCUCUGUUCAUUAUUCAUGAUUGAUUGAUUAAUGUAAAGAUAACAAUACUGUUUAUAUGUAAUUUAGAGACUCUCACCCUAGACUUAUACAUAUCAAUUGCUAUUAGAAAAAAAUAAAUAAAUAAGCACAAAAACAAAUUAAUUUUAAAACUAAAAAAUAUUUAUUUGUACUUUUAUUACUAUUAAAACAUAUUUCUUACUUGUCAAUUAAAAUUACAUAUUUACUUAAAGUUCCCUUUCCAAUUGCAUGUUUUUAGUAAAGACUUUUGUUGUCUUUGAUAGGGUGGAAAAGUCAUUGCAUUCCUAAUUUUUUUUAUCAACAAUUGUGUGGAAAAGUUGUUGCAUUCCUAAUUUUUGUCAACAAUUGUGUGCAAAAAGUCAUUGCAUUCUUAAUUCUUUUGCACAAUUGUUUUCAAAGAAUCUAUAUCUAAUAUUUACAUUAUCAAUGGUAUAUGUCAAUGAUCCUAAUUUAUGUGAGUGAUAUAUGUCAACUUCAUUUAUUAAAGCUUAGUACAAAAAUAAAAAGUAGCAAUUGAAUAAAUUGUAUCAAGGCUUUAGGAAGGACAUUAUUAAAGUUGGAAAUCUAAAUCAAUUAAAAAGAUUUCUUACUUGUCAAUUUAAAUUACAUAUUUAGAUAUGAAUAUAAACUUUUCUUUCCAAUUACAUGUUUUUAGUCAAGACUUUUUUCCGUCUUUAAUAAGGUGGAAAAGUUGUUGCAUUCCUAAUUCAUAUCAACAGUUGUGUGGAAAAGUAGUUGCUUUCCUAAUUUUUGUCAACAAUUGUAUGGAAAAGUCAUUGUAAUUGAAUACAUUGUAUCAAGGCUUGAGGAACAACAUUAUUAAUGCUAGGAAUCUAAAUCAAUUAAAAAGAUUUCUUAUUUUUUUAAUUACAAUUACAUAUUUAGAUAUGAAUAUAAAAUUUCCUUUCCAACUGCAUGUUUUUAGUCAAGACCUUUUUUGUCUUUGAUAGGGUGGAAAAGUCAUUGCAUUUCUAAUUUUAUCAAUAUGUAAUUGCGUGGAGAAGUUGUUGCAUUCCUAAUUCUUGUCAACAAUUGAAUGCAAAAGUCAUUGCAUUCUUAAUUCAUAUCAACAAUUGUGUGGGAACGUGGUUGCAUUCCCAAUUCUUGUCAACAAUUGUGUGGAAAAGUCAUUGCAUUCCUAAUUCUUAUCAACAAUUGUUCUCAAGGAAUCUAUAGCUAAUAUUCACAUUAUCAAUGGUAGACGUCAAUUGCAAACAAUUUCUUUUGUUUCUUGAUUUGCAAGACUCAAGAACUUGUAGAUUUUUACUUCAUAAUGUUGAACAAAGAUGCAUCUAUUUAAGAGCGGUUUGUGCUUUUUAUAAUAGGUAUUAUGAAAAAGGACAUGUUCAAAAUGUAAAUUUUGUUAAUUUUUUCAAAUAAUAUUGCAUUAUUUUAAUUCAAAUAAAGAAAAAAUGGUUUAAAAUACUCAAAAAUAUGUUUUACUAAAAAUUAAUCAUUUGAAAAAAAAAUUAUUGCUAAAAAAAAAAACACUACUUGGAGUGCUUCUUAUUGGAUAAACACUUGACGAUUAUUUCUUUUAAAAGAUAAAAAAAGUAUGAAAAAUACUAAUAUGUUAUAUAAAUAUUCAUUUUACAAAAAUACACUGUUCUAGUAUUUUUAUUAAAAACAAAGUAAAGAGGACAAUAUCUUCUAUAUGUAAUUUAAAUACUCUCAUCUAGACUUAGCUAUUAUAAAAAACAAAAACUUAAUGCACAAAAAUUGGAAUGAGGAAGUAAAAAUAAUGAUGAAAAUAUUAGUUUUGAUAGAUAUACUAGUAACUCGAUUUUACAGAUAUAUCAAGAUAUAUCGGAAAAUAUCGGUGUAACAAAAAUUGAUCAAAACUCAUUAAAAUGUUAAGAAAAAAUUAUAAAAAAAAAUGAUAUAAGAAGUAAUAAUUAAUAUUUUAAAGUUGUUUUGUUAAAGAAAUUAUUAUAUAUAUGAUAUAUUUUUUUUGUAUUUGAUAAUAAUGUUGUGUGCACCAAUAAAAAAUAUAAAUUUUAUAAAUAUACAUUCAUUACUGAGUUACAUUAAAUAUUAUUAGACAAUAAUAUUGUGACAUUUUAUUAUAGUAUAUCUAACUUCAAAAUAUAAUUAAUAUUAAAAUUAUGAUCCAUUUAAUUCAAUUAUAUUCAAUGAUAUAAAAUAAAUGAUAAUAUAUGAAUAAAUUUUUUAAUAUUUAUGUUUUUUUAUAUUUAAUUAAUAUAUAAAUGAGAUAUCUUAAGAAAAUUAUCACAAUAGUUUUUAUAUUUUUAGUGAUUAAUUAAAUGAAAUUUUAAAAUAAGAUGAUUAAAAUUAAUUUAUUUAUUAAAAUAUUCUUUGAAUGUUUUGCUUUUAUGAUGCAUUUUAGGUUUUUUUUUUUUUUUUUUUGGGUGCACUAAGUAUAAUAAAAGGGCAGGUUUGCCCAGUGGUGAAGCAAGGUUACUUUUGGACAUUUUGUCUUGACCAGUCUCAACACCUACCACAAGCCAACUUUAGGAUCAUAAAUAAUAGAUGAAAAAUAAUUAUUACAGUAAUAAUGAGGUUGUCAUUUUAUUUAAUUAAUCAACUAUUCUAGUUGUGGAAUGUACUAUGCAUAGGUUCCAUGAAUUAAAUUAUUGUAUAAAAUGUCUCAUAAGAAAAAUGCCGCUUGGCUUACUAUUUAUAAAUUUUUUUUAAUUAAUUAAAUUGUAUAAAUAAUUAUGAGUCCAAUAGGAUAUAUUUUUUUAUUUUAUAUUUAAAAAAAAAACAUUAACUUCUAUAUAAAAUAUAAAAAGUCUUAUGGUCUUAUAUGAAAAAUGCAGUGAUUUAUUUAAAUUGAUUAAAAAAUUGAGAGAUUAAAAAAAUUUUAUUACCUCAAAUUUUAAUAUAUAUUUUUAGAAAAAUAGAAACAUAAGGUAAAUUCAUACUUUUUAUAUAAAAUUUUUUAUUUUUUAUAUAAAAGUUUUUAUUUUCAAAAACAAAAAAAGAAAAAGAAAAUAUAUCUAAAUGAAGUUUAAAUACUUAAAUUAAAUAUAAUAAAUAAUGACAUUUUACUUAAACCAAUAAUUAAAAGUGAUAAUAAAAAACUUAUAAAUAAAAAAUUAUACUUAAUAAAGAGAUUUAAGAGUAAUUAAUUCCAAAGAAAUUUGAAACAAAGACCAAGUCAUGUCAUUCGUGGGGAUCCGACACAUGUUUAGUGUAUGGCUCAAGUUUGUCCAAGUGCUGUCAAAUAAUAAAUAUAUUAUCAACUUAACAAUCGAAAUAAUUGCUUGGGCUUUACCCAUUCAAAAGUCUUUGCCCAGCAUCAAGUCUAAGUUUGUCCACGUACUCUCAAACAAGAAAUUUAUUGUCGACUCAACAACUCUCUGAUUACAAAAAACAAUGGAAAUAAUUUGUCCUUGCUUGGCCCAUUUUUAAAGUCUUUGGCCAGCGUCAAGUCAACUCGAAAAGAGUGUAAUCAUGUUCCUAUAUUUGCUUCUCAAAAAUACGAAGGAAAAAAAAAAUUACAAUGAAAUAAUUUUCCCAUAUUUUAUUAUACUAUAAAAAAAUAUAUGAUAAUUAUAUUUUUAUCUUAUUCAAUAAUAAUAUUAUAUAUAUAUCAUUAAAAAAAUAUAAAUUUUAUAAAUAUACAUUAAUUAUUAAAUUAAAUUAAAUAUUAUUAGACAAUAAUAUGUUUAACUUUAAAAUAUAAUUAAUAUUAAAAUUACGAUUCAUUUAAUUCAAUUAUAUUUAAUGAUAUAAAAUAAAUAAAAAUAUAUGUAUACAUUUUAUUUUAAUAUUUAUGUUUUUUAUAUUUAAUUAAUAUAUAAAUGAUAUAAAAAAAUUUCUUAAAAAAAUUAUCACGGUAGUUUUAAAAAAAUCUCUUAAAAAAUCAGUUUAAGAAAACAAAGACAAACAAUUGAAAAUAAUUAAAAUAUGUUACAUAAAAUAUCAUCUUUAGUGUUUUUUUUAAGAAUAAAAAACUAUAUAUAUAUAUAUAUAUAUAUAUAUGUGAUACUAUAUUUUAAGAGAAUAUCUUUUGGUUAUUUUUAGUUAUUUUCACUUGUUUUUUGAAAUAUAUUUUAAAAAAUAAUUAUAUAAAUAUGGGGAAUUAUUAAAAAUAAAACAUUAUAGAUAAAAAUUUAUUUUAAAACUAUAUUAAAAAAUAUAGAAAAUAUGUUAAAAACGUUUCAUAUUUUCAAACCAGCUUUGUUCUAUAAAACAUUAAAGAAUAAUUUUCUAAAAAUUGUUUUUCAAAAUUAUUUUUAAAAAAAAAUACUUUCCAAACAAAACCUUAACAAUUCUCUUUAUCAAAUUCUAAUUCCAACUCUAAUCCUAAUCAUAAUUAUUUUCCUUGUCUUUCCUUUCCUUUUUUUUCCUUCCCUUCUAUUCCCUAAUUAUAUAUAAGUAUUUAAAUUAAGACAUUAAAUCAGUUUAUCAUAAGCAUCAUGUCAAUGACUUUUAAACCACUUGGUGGAUCCACUCAUCCAUCAUUCAUGAUGGAUUAAUCCACGGAAAGAUAACAACAUCUUCCUAGACUUGUACAUGUGGAUAGCUAUUAGAAAAAAAAAAACAAAAUUUAAUGCACAAAAAUUGGGAUGAAGAAAUAAAAGAAACUCAUCAAUGGUUACAACUGGUACGUGAAUGAAUAGAUGGAAGAGAACACAACAACCAAUCAUAAAUAAGAGAUGAAAAACAAUUAUUAUAGCAAUAAUGAAGCUGUCCUUUUGUUUAAUUAAUCAACUGUUCAAACUGGGGAUGUACCAUAAAUGGGACCAUGAAUUAAAUUAUUGUAUAAAAUGUCUCAUAAGAAAAAUGUUGCUUCACUUACUUUCAAUACAUUUUUUUAAUUAAUUAAGUUUUAUAAAUAAUUAAGAGUCCAUUAGGAUGGAUUUUUUAUUUUCUAUUUUAAAAAAUAAAAAAUAAGGAUAAAUUCCAUAUAAAAUAUAAAAAGUUUUAUAAUCUUAUAUAAAAAAAAUGCAAUGGUUUUUUUUAAAAUUGAUUAAAAUUUUGAGAUAUUAAAAAACAUUAUCGCCUCAAAUUUUGAAAUUUAUUUAAAAAAUUUAGAAACAUAAACUAAGUCUAUAUUUUUUAUAUAAGAGUUUCUAUUUUUUAUAUAAAAAUUUUUAUUUUUAAAAAUAAAAAACUAAAAAUAUCUAUAUAAAUAAAGUGUUAAUACUUAAAUAAAAUUGAUCAAAUAAUAACAUUUUACUUAAACCAAUACUUAAAAGUGACAAUAAAAAACUCAUAAAUAAAAAAAGAAUACUUAGUAAAAGAUUUAAGACUAAUUAAUUUUUUUAAAAAAAAUUGAAACAAAGACCAAGUCAUAUCAUUCAUUGAGAUCCGACAUAGUUUGUCUAAGUAUUGUCAAAUAAUAAAUUUAUUAUUUGACUAAGUACAAUAAAUUUAUUAUCAACUCAACAACUCGUACCAAAACAAUUGAAAUAAUUGUCCAUGUCGGACCCAUUUUAAAGUCCUUUCCUAAGGUCCAAAUUUGUCUACAUACUGCCAAAUGAUAAAUUUAUUAUUAACUCAAUAACUCUCUGAGUACAAAAACAAUCAAAAUAGUUGUCCGAACUAUUUUAAAGUCUUUGCCCAACAUCAAAUCAACUCGAAAAAUGUGUAAUAAUGUUCCUAUAUUUGCUUCUAAAAAAUUGUCAAGGAAAGAAAAAAAAUAUUGCAAUCAAAUAAUUUUCUCAUGUUUUAUUAUACCACUAAAAAUAAUUUAUCAACACUCAAGUGAACUUAGUGGUGCACCCAACUUUUUUUCUUUGUUUAAAAAAAAAAGAAGAAAUUUUUAGGAUAUGAAUGAAAAAUAUAAAAUAAGGUUAAAGUUUUGAUAGGAUGAGAGGCAGUCAGAGGUUGCCGAACAAAGUAUUUUUGUCAUUUCAUAUCUAAUAUUUAUGUGAAAAAAAAAAAAAUUAGGGUAGGAAGAUUUAGGUCCAAUUUUGAUAAUUGUUUUUUAUAAUAGUUUCUUAAAAUUAUUUUAUGAUGUUUAAUAGAAUACUUGUAUGAUUAUGAAUGCAAAAUGUUUUAACAUAUUUUCUAUAUUUUAAAAAUAAAUUUUGUAUGUACUAUUUUAGUUUUAAUUAUUUUUUAUAUUUAUAUAAUUAUUUUUUAAGACAACUCAAGAAAAUAAGGGAAAAUAAUUGAAAGUAAAUAAAUAAUGUUAUCUGAAAAAUAUCAUAUUUUAUGUUUUUAAGAACAAAAAAUUAUUUUCUAUUCUUAAAAAUAGAAAAGAAAUAGAAAGUAUAAUACCAUAUUUUUAGAGAACAUCUUCUAGUUAUUUUUUGUUGUUUUUACUUGUAUUUUGAAGGUUAUUUUAAAAAAUAAUUAUAUAAAUAUGUAAAAUGAUUACAAAUAAAGCAUUAUAAAUAAAAAGAAAAUUAUUUUAAAAACAUAUUGAAAAAUAUAAAAAUAGGUUAAAAAAAUUUCAUGUUCUCAAAUAUACUUUGUUUUAUAAAACAUUAAAGAGAUAUUUUAAAAAAACACUUUCCAAAUAAAACCUUAAUAAACCUCUUUAUCAAAUCCUAAUCCUAACUCCAAUUCUAAUCAUAGUUAUUUUCCUUCUCUUUCAUUUCCUUUCCUUUUCUUUACUUCUAUUAUCUUCUUAUACAUAAAUAUUUAAACUAAGAUAUUACAUCAAUUUAUCAAACCCAUCUUAAGGAUCGUGUCAACAACUUUGGAUCCACUCAUCCAUCAUUGAUGAUGGAUUGAUCCAAGGAAAAAUAACAAUAUCUUCUCUACGUAAUUUAAGUCAUCGCCCCUUAGACUUGUACAAGUGAAUAACUUUUAGGAAAAAAAGAAAAAAAAAUUUAAUGCACAAAAAAUGGGAUGACGGGGGAAAGGAAACUCAUGCAUGUUCAUAGCUGUUACAUGAAUAGAUUGAAGAGCACACAAAAACAAUUAUUACAACAAUAAUGGAGUUGUCCUUUUGUUUAAUUAAUCAAGUAUUCAAGUUGGGGAAUGUACUAUACAUGGGACCAUAAAUUCAUUUAUUGUACAAAAUGUCUCAGAAUAAAAAUGUUACUUGGCUUACUGUUUUUACAUUCUUUUUUAAUUAAUUAAGUUGUAUAAAUAAUUAUGUGUCCAUUUGGAUAGAUUUUUUAUUUUCUAUUUUUAAAAAUAAAAAAUAACAAUAACUUCUAUAUCAAAUAUAAGAAGUCUUAGAAUCUUUUGUAAAAAAUGCAGUGAUUUUUUUUUAAAAAAAAUUGAGAUGUUAAAAAGUUUUAUCACCUCAAAUUUAAUUUAAAAAAAAAAACAAAUAGGAGCAUUAGACAAGUCUAAACUUUUUAUAUAAAAAAAAUCUAUUUUUUUUAUAUAGAAAUUGCUAUUUUAAAAAACAUAAAACAAAAAAUAUAUUUAAAUGAAACAUAAAUACUUCAAUAAAAUUUAUCAAAUAAUGACAUUUUACAUAAACCAAUAAUUAAAAUGAUAAUAAAAAAACUUGUAACAAAAAAUUAGACAUAGUAACGAGAUUUAAGACUAAUUAAUUUCAAAGAAAUUGGAAACAAAUGAUCAAGUCAUGUCAUUCGUGGGGAGAUCUGACACAUGUUUAGUGUAUGGGGGUGGAGUUAGAAAUAGGAUUCAAGGGGGCAAUACGAGAUAUAUUAGUUUUUCGAGGUUAAAUGUGAGCCAAAAAGUAACAUUUAACUUGCUGGUUGGUUUGAUCCUCUUUAAAAUUGAGGUUUUGGGAUCAAAAUCUCAUUGAAUGGUAGUUCUUUUAUUUUUUAGAGAGGGGGCAUCUACUCUGCUUGAGCCCUUUAGACCCAUUUUAAAGUCUUUGCCCAACAUGAAGUCAACUUUAUAUUUGUUUUGAAAAAAUAUUAUAUUCAGAUUACUUCAAGAAAGCUCAAGAGACCUAAUUAUUUAUUAUGAACUAAAGCGAUGAUGGUGUAUAUUGAGACAAAAUAAAAACUAAAACAUAUCAUAGAAUAUCCUUCUCCAUAGAAAGUUUUGAUGAGUAGCAACAAGAUGAUCAUGAUAGUAACAUGGUUGUGGAACAAUAUGAAAUCUUAUGUUAGUGUUAAUUUCAUGUUCUUAGAAACUGUAAAGCAAAUAUGAGGAGUAGUGAAAGAGACAUACUUUCAAGAAUUUAUUAAUUGUAUGAAGAUAUUUUUGGGACAGAGCAUAAUGAGAAAUCUAUGAGUAAGCACUAUGCAUCCCUUAAAGGGAUGUGGGACUAGACAGGGAAUCUACCAUACAUGGACCCAUAAAUUAAAUUAUUGUACAAAAUGUCUCAUAAGGAAAAUGUUACUUGCCUUAGUAUUUAUACAUUUGUUUUUAAUCAAUUAAGUUGAACAAAUUAUUAAGAGUCCAUUAGGAUUAUUUUUUUUAUUAACUUCCAUAUAAAAUAUAAGAAGUCUUAGAAUCUUAUGGUUUUUUUAAAAUUGAUUAAAAAAAUUUAUCACCUCAAAUUUCAAUUUUUUUUUUUAAAAUAGAAAUAUAAUGAAAGCCUAUAUUUUUUUAUAUAAGAAUUUCUAUUUUUUAUAUAAAAGUUUCUAUUUUUAAAAACAAAAAAAGAACAAAAAAUAUAUUUAGAUGAAGUGUAAAUACUUAAAUAAAAUUUAUCAAAUAAUGAUAUUUUACUUAAAUCAAUAAUUAAAAGCGAUAAUAAAAAACCUCAUAAAUAAAAAAGUAUAUUUAAUAAAGAGAUUUAAAACUAAUUAAUUUCAAAGAAAUUUGAAGCAAAGGACCAAGUCAUGUCAUUCACGGGGAUCCAACACAUGUUUAGUGCAUGCCCAAGUUUGUCCAAGUACUAUCAAAUAAUAAAUUUAUUAUCAACUUAACAACUCUUUAUUAAAGUCUUUGUCCAACAUGAAGACUAAGUUUGUCAAAGUACUGUCAAAUAUUAAAUUUAUUCUCAACUCAACAACUCCCAAAGUAAACAUUCGAAAUAAUUGCCCCUGCUGAAAAAUAUGUAAUCUUAUUCCUAUAAUUGCUCCAUAAAUUAUUAAGGAAAUAAAAAAAAUUUGCUAUAAAAUAAAUUUCUCAUAUUUUAUUAUACUAUUAAAAUUAAUUGGUCAGCACUUAGCAGUUAAUCUAAUCGUGCACCCCAAAUUUUUUUCUAUGUUCCAAAAAAAAGAAAAAAAAAAAAAAAACAAGAAGAAGAAGAAGAAGAAAUUUUUAGGAGAAUAGAAGGAAAUGAAUGAGAAAAAAAAGAAGGUAAAAUAAGAUCACGGUUUAGUCGGGAUGAGAGUUGAGAGGCUGAAGAACAAAGUAUUUUUUUCAUUUCAUAUCUAAGAAUUGUAUGAAAAAUAAAAUAAAAUAAAAUAAAGCUGAGGGUGAGAAGAUUUAGGUCUCGUUGAUAAUUGUUUUUUAAAAUAGUUUUUUAGAAUAGAUCUUUAAAACUGUUUUAUGAUAUUUUGUAGAACACAUAUAUGUUUGGGAAUGUCAAAUUUUUUAAACAUGCUUUUUAUGUUUUAAAUAUAAUUUAAAAAUAAAUUUUGUAUGUAACAUUUUAGUUUUAAUUAUUUUUCAUGUUUGUGUAAUUAUUUUUUAAAACAACUUAAGGAAAGAAGGGAAAACAAUUGAAAAUAACUAAAAAAAUGUUAUUCAAAACAUCAUAUUUUCAGUGUUUUUUUUUAAGAACCAAAAACUAUUUUCUAUUUUUAAAAACAUAAAAGAAGCAAAAAAAAUAUAUGACACUAUAUUUUAAGAGAACAUCUUUUGAUUAUUUUUAGUCGUUUUUAUUUGUUUUUUGAAAUCUAUUUUAAAAAAUAAUUAUAUAAAUAUAGAGAAUGAUUAAAAAUAAACAUUAUAGAUAAAAAAAUAUUUUAAAACUAUAUUUAAAAAUAUAAAAAAUAAAUUAAAAACAUUUCAGAUUUUCAAACAAAUUUUGUUCUAUAAAACAUUAAAGAAUACUUUUCUAAAAACUAUUUUUCAGAAUUAUUUUUAAAGAACAAUUUCCAAACAAAACCUUAACAAUUAUCUAUAUCAAAUUCUAAUCCCAACUCUAAUCCUAAUCUUAAUUAUUUUCCUUGUCUUUCCUUCCCUUCUUUUUCCUUCCCUUCUAUUCCCUUAUUAUAUAUAAGUAUUUAAAUUAAGACAUUAAAUCAGUUUAUCAAACCCAUCUUAAUCAAUCAGUUUAUCAUAAGCAACAUGUCAAAGACUUUUAAACCACUUGGUGGAUCCACUCAUCCAUCAUUCACGAUGGAUUAAUCCAUGGAAAGAUAACAACAUCUUCUUAGACUUGUACAUGUGGAUAACUAUUAGAAAAAAAAAAUUUAAUGCACAAAAAUUGGGAUGAAGAAAUAAAAUAAACUCAUCAAUGGUUACAGCUGGUACAUGAAUGAAUAGAUGGAAGAGAACACAACAUCCAAUCACAAAUAAUAGAUGGAAAACAAUUAUUAUUGUCCUUUUGUUUAAUUAAUCAACUAUUCAAGUUGGGGGAUGUACCAUACAUGGGACCAUGAAUUAAAUUAUUGUACAAAAUGUCUCAUAAGAAAAAUGGUGCUUCCCUUACUUUCUAUACAUUUGUUUUUAAUUAAUUAAGUUACAUAAAUAAUUAAGAGUCCAUUAGGAUGGAUUUUUUGUUUUCUAUUUUAGAAAAUAAAAAAUAAGGAUAACUUCUAUAUAAAAUAUAAAAAGUCUUAUAAUCUUAUAUAAAAAAAAUGCAAUGGUUUUUUGAAGUAAGUUUCUCAAUUCUUCAACCAAUUGCAAAACCGAAAUAUCUCUAGCAUUUUUCAACACAGCAUUAAGGCUUUCAACGAUCCCUAUCGUCAUGAUAUUAUAUCUUUUUCCGAUAGAAUAUGAAUGUGCCCAUCGAUCACCUCCUAUAUCCAUCAAAUAUCUUGCUGCUCUUGGGUCAAUCAUCUCUAGUUGUCCAAAUAUAAAAUUAAACUCUGAAACACGAUAAGCAUGGGCAGCAUCAUGAAAUAAUUUAUGAAUUACAAGAUUCUUGAACUUUGUCUUCAAAUUUUGUCCAACAUGAUAAAUGUAGACACCAUGCCUCGCAUGGGGAAAUACUUUAUGUACCGCUUUCUCAAUGCUACCAUGUCGAUCUGAUAUCACAAACAAAUCAUCAAUGUGUCCAAGUGCAUCAUGCAGUUUUUGUAAACACCACUCCCAUGAGGCAUCAUUUUAUGAAUCACCACUCCCAUGAUGGAUUGAUCCAAGGAAAAAUAACAAUAUCUUCUAUAUGUAAUUUAAGUCAUCGCCCCCUAGACUUGUACAAGUGAAUAACUAUUAGGAAAAAAAGAAAAAAAAAAAUUAAUGCACAAAAAAUGGGAUGACGGGGUAAAGGAAACUCAAGCAUGUUCAUAGCUGUUACAUGAAUAGAUUGAAGAGCACACAAAAACAAUUAUUACAACAAUAAUGGAGUUGUCCUUUUGUUUAAUUAAUCAAGUAUUCAAGUUGGGGAAUGUACUAUACAUGGGACCAUAAAUUCAUUUAUUGUACAAAAUGUUUCAGAAUAAAAAUGUUACUUGGCUUACUAUUUUUACAUUCUUUUUUAAUUAAUUAAGUUGUAUAAAUAAUUAAGUGUCCAUAUGGAUGGAUUUUUUAUUUUCUAUUUUUAAAAAUAAAAAAUAACAAUAGCUUCUAUAUAAAAUAUAAGAAGUCUUAUAAUCUUUUGUAAAAAAUGCAGUGAUUUUUUUUUAAAAAAAAAAUUGAGAUGUUAAAAAGUUUUAUCACCUCAAAUUUAAUUUAAAAAAAACAAAUAGGAGCAUUAGACAAGUCUAAACUUUUUAUAUAAAAAAAAUCUAUUUUUUUUAUAUAGAAAUUGCUAUUUUAAAAAACAUAAAACUAAAAAUAUAUUUAAAUGAAACAUAAAUACUUCAAUAAAAUUUAUCAAAUAAUGACAUUUUACAUAAACCAAUAAUUAAAAUGAUAAUAAAAAAACUUGUAACAAAAAAUUAGACAUAGUAACGAGAUUUAAGACUAAUUAAUUUCAAAGAAAUUGGAAACAAAUGAUCAAGUCAUGUCAUUCGUGGGGAGAUCUGACACAUGUUUAGUGUAUGGGGGUGGAGUUAGAAAUAGGAUUCAAGGGGGCAAUACGAGAUAUAUUAGUUUUUCGAGGUUAAAUGUGAGCCAAAAAGUAACAUUUAAUUUGCUGGUUGGUUUGAUCCUCUUUAAAAUUAAGGUCUUGGGAUCAAAAUCUCAUUGAAUGGUAGUUCUUUUAUUUUUUUAGAGAGGGGGGACAUCUGCUCUGUCUGAGCCCUUCAGACCCAUUUUAAAGUCUUUGGUCAUGAAGUCUAUAUUUGUUUUGAAAAAAAAUAUUAUAUUCAGAUUACUUCAAGAAAGCUCAAGAGACCUAAUUAUUUAUUAUGAAUUAAAGCAAUGAUGUUGUAUAUCGAGACAAAGGAAAAACUAAAACAUCUCAUAGAAUAUCCUUCUCCCUAGAAAGUUUUGAUGAGUAGCAAUCAUGAUUCACAAUAGAUUAAUCCAUGGAAAGAUAACAACAUCUUCUUAGACUUGUACAUGUGGAUAGCUAUUAGAAAAAAAAAAAAAAAAUUAAUGCACAAAAAUUGGGAUGAAGAAAUAAAAUAAACUCAUCAAUGGUUACAGCUGGUACAUGAAUGAAUAGAUGGAAGAGAACACAACAUCCAAUCACAAAUAAUAGAUGUAAAACAAUUAUUAUUGUCCUUUUGUUUAAUUAAUCAACUAUUCAAGUUGGGGGAUGUGCCACACAUGGGACCAUGAAUUAAAUUAUUGUACAAAAUGUCUCAUAAGAAAAAUGUUGUUUCCCUUACUUUCUAUACAUUUUUUUUAACUAAUUAAGUUAUAUAAAUAAUUAAGAGUCAUUAGGAUGGAUUUUUUAUUUUCUAUUUUAAAAAAUAAAAAAUAAGGAUAACUUCUACAUAAAAUAUAAAAACUUAUAAUCUUAUAUAAAAAAAUGCAAUAGUUUUUUAAAAUUGAUUAAAAAAUUGAGAUACUAAAAAAAAUUAUCACCUCAAAUUUUGAAAUUUAUUUAAAAAAUUUAGAAACAUAAUCUAAAUUUAUAUUUUUUUUAUAUAAGAGUUUCUAUUUUUUAUAUAAAAAUUUCAUUUUUAAAAAAUAAAAAACUGAAAAAUAUAUAUAAGUAAAGUGUAAAUACUUAAAUAAAAUUUAUCAAAUAAUGACAUUUUACUUAAACCUAUACUUAAAAGUGACAAUAAAAAAACUCAUAAAUAAAAAAAGUAUACUUAGUAAAAGAUUUAAGAUUGAUUAAUUUAAAAAAAAAAAAUUGAAACAAAGACCAAGUCAUGUCAUUCAUUGAGAUCCGACAUAGUUUGUCCAAGUUCUGUCAAAUAAUAAAAUUAUUAUCAACUCAACAACUCGUACGAAAACAAUUGAAAUAAUUGUCCAUGUUGGACUCAUUUUAAAGUCUUUGCCUAGCAUGAGGUCCAAAUUUGUCUAUGGAUCAACUCAAUAACUCUCUGAGUACAAAAACAAUCAAAAUAAUUGCCCGACCCAUUUUAAAGUCUUUGCCCAACAUCAAAUCAACUCGAAAAAUGUGUAAUCAUGUUCCUAUAUUUGCUUCCAAAAAAUGUCAAGGAAAGAAAAAAAAAAUUGCUAUCAAAUAAUUUUCUCAUAUUUUAUUAUACAACUAAAAAUAAUUUAUCAACACUCAACAGUGAACUUAGUCGUGCACCCAACUUUUUUUCUUUGUUUUUUUUAAAAAAAGAAGAAAGUUUUAGGAGAAUAGAAGGAAAUGAAUGAAAAAUAUAAAAUAAGGUUAAGGUUUUCAUAGGAUGAGAGGCACUCAAAGGUUGACGAACAAAGUAUUUUUGUCAUUUCAUAUCUAAGAUUUAUGUGAAAAAAAGAAAGAAGAUGAGGGUAGGAAGAUUUAGGUCCAAUUUUGAUGCUUGUUUUUUAAAAUAGUUUUGAAAAACGGUUUUUGAUAAUAGUUUUUUAAAAUUGUUUUAUAAUGUUUUAUAGAACACUUAUUUGGGAAUGUAAAAUGUUUGAACAUAUUUUCUACAUUUUAAAAAUAAAUUUUGUAUGUACUAUUUUAGUUUUAAUUAUUUUUCAUAUUUAUAUAAUUAUUUUUUAAGACAACUCAAGAAAAUAAGGGAAAACAAUUGAAAGUAAAUAAAUAAUGUUAUCUAAAAAACAUCAUAUUUUUUGUUUUUAAGAAUAAAAUAUUGUUUUCCAUUCUUAAAAAUAGAAAAGAAGUAGAAAAUAUAAUACUAUAUUUUUAGAGAACAUCUUGUAAUUAUUUUUACUUUUUUUUUUAAGUUUAUUUUAAAAGAUAAUUAUAUAAAUAUGUAAAAUGAUUAUCUUUAUCAAAUUUUUUAGAAUUAUUUUUAAAAAACACUUUCCAAAUAAAACCUUAAUAAAUCUCUUUAUCAAAUCCUAAUCCUAACUUCAAUUCUAGUCAUAAUUAUUUUCCUUCUCUUUCCUUUCCUUUCCUUUCCUUUCCUUUCCUUCUCUUCUUAUACAUAAAUAUUUAAACUAAGACAUUACAUCAAUUUAUCAAAUCCAUCUUAAGGAUCAUGUCAACAACUUUUAAACCACUUGGUGGAUCCACUCAUCCAUCAUUGAUGAUGGAUUGAUCCAAGGAAAAAUAACAAUAUCUUCUAUAUGUAACUUAAGUCAUCUCACCAUAGCUAUCAAAGAAAAAAAAAAACAAAAAACAAAAUUUAAUGCACAAAAAUGGGAUGAGGGCGUAUAAGAAACUAAUGAAUGGUUAUACAUGAAUAGAUUGAAGAUAACACAACUACCAUCACAAAUGAUAGAUGAAAAACAAGCAUUACAACAAUAAUGAGCUUGUCCUUUUGCAACUAUUCUUGUUGGGAAAUAUACCACACAUGGGGCCAUGAAUUAAAUUAUUGUACAAAAUGUCUCAUAAUAAAAAUGUUACUUGCCUUACUAUUUAUAUAUUUUUUAAUUAAUUAAGUUGUAUAAAUAUUAAGUGUCUAUUUGGAUAGAUUUUUUAUUUUCUAUUUUUAAAAAUAAAAAAUAACAAUAACUUCAAUAUAAAAUAUAAGAAGUCUUAAGAGUUUUAUAUAAAAAAAAUGAAAUGUUUUUUUUUUUUUAAAAAAAAUGGAUCAAAUAUUUGAGAUAUUAAAAAAGUUUUAUCACCUCAAAUUUAAUUUUUUAUUUUUUAUUUUUAAAAAAUGGGAGCAUAAGACAAGUCUAAACCUUUUUGUAUAAAAAUUUCUAUUUUUAUAUAAAAGUUUCUAAUUUUAAAAAGGGAAAAUAAAAAAUAUAUCUAAAUGAAGCAUAAAUGCUUAAAUAAAAUUUAUUAAAUAAUAACAUUUUACUUAAACAAGUAGCAUUUGUAUGUAGCCUACUGUUGUAGUUGACCUAAUCAUGCACCCGAAAUUUUUUCCUUUUCUUCUUUGUUUUCAAAAGAAGGAUUUGGUAGGAUGAGAUCUGGGAGGUUGAAGAACAAAAUAUUUUUGUCAUUUCAUACUUAAGAUUUAUAUGGGAAAAAGAAAGAAAUUAUGUUUUGUUUAACACAUUUUAGGUUCCCAAACAGUUUUUAACUUAUUUUCUAUAUUUUUAAAAAAAAUUAUAUGUGCUAUUUUUGUUUUAAUCAUUUUUCAUAUUUAUAUACUUAUUUUUUAAAACAACUCAAGAAGUAAAAACAACUGAAAACAACUAAAAUAUUUUUUAAAAAACAUCAUAUUUUCAAUUUUUAAAAAUAAAAAAAUUGUUUUCUAUUCUUAAAAACAUAAAACAAUUUAAAAAAAGAAAAUAUAGUAUUUUCAAAUAAUACAUUUUAGUUAUUUUAAUUUGUUUUCACUUUUUGUAUGGAUAAAAUGUUAUUUUAAAGUCAUAUUUAAAAAUAUAAAAAAUAAGUUAAAAACAUUUCAAGUUAUCAAAUAGACUUUGUUUUAUAAAACAGAUAAAUUAGUUUUCAAAAAUUGUUUUUCAGAAAUGUUUUUAAAAACACUUAUCAAACAAAACCUUAACAAUUUUCUUUAUCAAAUCUUAGUCCUCACUCUAAUCCUAAUCAUAAGAAUUUCCCAUCUCUUUCGUCUCCUUCCCUUCUAUUCUCUUAUUACAUAUAAGUAUCUAAAUUAAGACAUUAAAUCAAUUUAUCAAACCCAUCUUAAGGAUUGUGUCAAAACUUUUAUAUCACUUGAUGGAUCCGCUCAUCCAUCAUUCAUUAUCGAUUAAUCAACAUAAAGAUAACAAUAUCUUAUAUAUAUGUAAUUUAAAUCAUCUCACCCUAGAUUUGUAGAUGUGAAAUAGAUAUUAGAAAAAAACAAAAUUUAAUGCACAAAAAUUGGGAUGAGGGGGUAAAAGAAACUCAACAAUGUUUACUAUUGGUGCAUGAAUAGAUUGCAGAGGACACAAUUAUCAUUGUUUAAUUAACAACUAUUCUAAUUGGAGAAUGUACCAUACAUGGGUCCAUGAAUAUACAUUUAAAUGGACUCAUUAUGGACAGAAUGAGACCAACGAAUACACAUUCAAAUGGACUGAGACCAACAAGGAAAAUUAUCACCAUUCAAAUGGAUAGUGAUGAUCCAGACAGAAUGCAAAUCAGAUUUGGAGGCUUAGAUUUCAGUGUUUUUCGACGAGUUGGUUCACAAUGCAUAUCAUGUUCUUUAACCUGUAUGUGGAGAGAUACAUAGGCCUAUAGGUAAACAACCACAAAGAGCCCUUUUGGACUUACACAAUAAAUUAAAGAAACAAAUAUGCAAAUUAAGGAAACAAACAUGCGGUAAGGAUACCAUAAAAAUAAGAGAAAUAUUUGAAGGAAUAAUUUAUGUUUUGACUUUCUAUUAAAAUGAUUUAUAGAAGUCUUUGUUAAAGAAAAUACAAGACAUGAUAAUAGGAACUAAAUAACUACUCCAACUAACCUACAACCAAGCUUUCUUGAUUUACAAGAGUUGAUUUUAUAUUUGCAGAUAAAACUGCUAACAAAUCUCUAAGAAUUCAACAAUAUCUCCUGUAAAUCUUCUAUUUGAAUCCCUAGAUAGGACUGAGCAACAAGCAACAUGGUUGUUGUCCAUGGGUGGUCAAAUUUAUCAGUAACCCAAGACUUCCAUGCUCUCAAAAGCUCCAUUUUAAUCAAAGGUUGCUGAGAAAAUUACUAACAGGCUAGCAGAAGACCACUUAUCACCAGAUCUAGAAUUAGCAUCAAACAAUAACACAACCCAGGAAAACAAAAACAUUAUUUACAUGCUUCACUAAUGAUAUGCAUUGAUAACCAUAACUUCUGGGGAUAUGAUGCUGCUCAACAAGACAAUGCAUUUGUGAAGCUCAGACGAAUCGCAAAAAUCAUAGAGGAAAAUCUCUUGAGCAUUACCACAUAUAAGGUACAAGAAAGAAAAAGUCGAUGUAUGUGAUCUAUAGCUUGGGACUGAGAUGGAUCAGUGUUGAAUAUUUUCCUAAAAUAAGCAGACUAAUUACAUUAAGAAAUAUUGAUUGAUAUAGAACUUUAACCUCAACAUUCAGAAUUAAUUAGGAAGAAGUUGAAAAUACAGAAAACCUGAGGGAAGGAGCUAAGACACGGAUGGAGGGAUUGGCUUCACAGCAUUUUGGAUCCGCUGGAAUGCCACUCUCACUCUUUCCUUGAGGCCUUCAUUUUCGCUCUCAACAUUCCCACUCUGUUUAUCAAGAUGCACCACAUUUCCAUCAACGCUUAUCACCAGGUUCCCAUUCCCUUCCAACUUCACAUCUCCAAACAGAGAAACAAGAAGUGCGUGGAUAACCUUUUCUGCUUUCUUCCCAUUUUCUUCUUCAGUUUUUAUGGCCUCUGAUUCAACUAUUACCUUGGGGAUCUCAAGACUGAUAUUUAAAACUAGAGCCACAAUGGAGUCAGAGACCAUGUCACUAAUAGGAUCUGAUGUCCAAUGCAGUGAAAUAUGCUUCUCUGAGUCAUGCUUCACUGUCACCCGUUCAUGGACUCGAAAAGCUGGAACCUCAGAUUCUUCAUCUGGCAAUGACUCAACACUCUCAUAUAUCUGCUUCAGCCUGUGCUUUAUUACACCAAAGGCACCAGUGUAAGGAAUAGUAAUCCUCUGGGUGACAUUUGCCGUGGAUAGCUGCCAGAAGACAUGGAGAUCGUCAGGUGCCAUUAUCUGAUAAGUGAACCCUUUCUUUACCAGUAAACCACUGACAGUUUCACCAACUUCUGGGGUCUUUUCAGCCAGCCUCCCAAUGGUUUUUGCCAUUUUUUCAGAGUUGAAAUACAUUUCAACUGACUGACAGUUCUUUGGGGAAAUAAUUUUGGUGUUGCAGUCAGCAAACUGGGUGAUAAGCUUCUGUUUGAGCCUCCCCAUCUCAUUAGCUUCUCCAUGAACAAGAAUGAUGUUAGGUGGCAUGAGCUCCUUCAAGAAUGUACUUGUCUGUGCAAAAUCUGCAUGGGCAGAGAAAGAAAUGUAAUGGACCUGCAUGUUGAGGGGAGCAGUAAGACCAUUCAUUAAAGUAACUUCCUUGGGUUCAUUAAUGAUGGUUUUUGCCAAUGUCCCUCCCACGACAUACCCAGGUAUAACACAUGCAUUUUUCUUAUCAGAGCACCACAUAUCAAACAGUUGUCUUGACAACCCACUCUGAAGCCCACCCGGGCUCGCCAUCACCACUGAUGGACCUACAUCAUUAAAAUUCUCAAUGCUCUUUAAGGGUGAUAUGUGCUUGAAGUCAAAGGGAUUCGAAUUUGCAAAUUGGUUGCGGAUCCUCUCAUUCAUGGAAUUGAUAUAUGUCUGGUAAACAGCCAUGCACCUUUUUGCAAGGGGGGAAGCAUAAUAUAUGGGGACGUUAUGGAGCUCAGGAUGGUUAGACCAAUACUCAUCAAGGAUAAGAAGGAGUUCUUGGGCACGACCUAGAGCAUAUGCAGGGAUUAGAACACGGCCCCCUUGAGAAAUGGUUGAGUGGAUGACAUCUGUGAAGCGCUUUUCUCGCACAUGCCGAGGCUGAUGGAGUUGGACACCAUAAGUGGAUUCAAUUAUACAAAUAUCAGGGCAGAACUGUGGGAUCUCAGCAGCACGGAGAUGACGAUCUUCUUCGCGAGAAUAGUCUCCAGUGUAAAGUACUCGGACACCAGCAAUAUCAACCAUAAACAUGGCAGCACCAAGGACGUGGCCAGCUGUGUAACACCAAAAUCGUAUACCAUUUACUUCUAAAGUCUGAUGGAAAUCAAUAACCUGCAGAAGGGAGAUUUAAUUACAGUUACAGGAAGAUUAAAUGAGAUAAUAAAAUUAAGCUACAUAUCUAAAGUCAAUUGUUGUAAAUGGCCCAACAUUCUGCAAUUGAUCAGGAUUAUAUGCAACCAAUAUUUUGGCAUAUGAGAUACACACACACACACCAUAUUGCUUUUUUUAGUGAACAAGUUUUAUAUUUUAUUAGAUUAGUUAUGUAACAAUUUUGAAACUAAAUUCAGAACAAUAGAAAAAUUGUUGUUGUGGAACACAAAACAUGAAUUAAUAUUAGAAGUAUAGCCAUUUAAAUCUUAAUAGACUAAUUCCUACUAUGUUAGUUUUAUUUGUCCAGAACUGAAGACAAAACCCAUCUGUUCUCAUGGAAGGUGAAGUACAGAAAGCCCACAUAUGUUAUAGAGAUCUAAAACAGUAGUACUUACACUCAGGUAGAAUCUAUUUUUCAGGUAUGAAUGUCUAUGGUAGAAAGAUUAAGGCUUUAGGACAAGGUAGUAGACAUUUGUGACACUAUUAAUUUCAAAUAAGAGUCCCAAGAUAGAACAUUAGAGCUAAUUGCAAAUUUAAAUAACCAGAUUUAAGCUAAUCUGUGAUACAUGGACCAUUGUGACCAUAACUUUUGUGUUUUUUUUUUUUUGAUAGUUAUUGUAACCAUAACCUUUUUUUUUCCUGAUAGACAUUGUGACCAUAACUUUUCAGGCCUUUGAAAAAGGAAGUGCAAGAGAAGGAUUUCUCAUCCUUCCCUACUUUACAAAACCUGAUUUAAAAAUGGAAGUGCAACUGUGCAAGGGAAGGAUGAGAAAUCCUUCCUUACUUUACAAAACCUGAUCAAAACAGAGGAAAAGAAAUACUCUCCAAUAAACAUCAAAACAACUCGACAUUGCAAUUUUAACACUUCGGAUCUACAAGUUGACAUCCAAUCAAGUUGAGUUAUGUUGAGAAAUUCAUGCCUUAAAACAGAUAGUUACAUUAAAGGCACAACCAUAAUCUUACAUUACAUGCAUCCAAUUAUCAUAAAUUCACAACAUAAAAAAAAAAAAAAAAAAUACGUUUUGAAAAAUAGAAUCAAAGGCUUCAUUUUUUAUUUUUUAUUUUUUGAUAGGUAAAUUUUGUUCCCAUUGGGACUUGAACUUGGAACCUCCCGCAAACCCUCCCCAUCCCUUUACCACCUGACCCAGGCCUGAAGGGCACCAAAGGCUUAGGCUUCAUUCAACAUGACAUAUAAUAAUACCUAACAAACCUUCUCAGUCAGGGUAUUAGACAACUGAUUAGGAACUAUAGAAUCAUCAUGCUCUUUUUAACUAAGAACACUUUCCAGGUAAGAUAUUAUACGAGUUCUAAGAAAGCAACAAGUUCACAAAAAAUUAUAAAUAAAAACAAUACUAACAUUGUCAAGGCAUAAAAUAGAGCAACAAACAGCAUUAGGAUAGUUGAUGAAAGACAAAAAUAAUCCACAUAAAAGAGUAAAACAAGUAGCAUUGGAUUUCUUUCAUUUUAUUUUUUAUUUUAUAUAUUUUUGGUUUGGGGGCGGGGGUGGGGGGGGGGAGGGGGGGUGGGGGGGGGGGGGGAAGGGAAUGGCCAAAAAGCCAAAAAAAAAAAAUAUUUUUUUUAAAAAAAUAUUUUAAAAAAAAAAAACCCCCCAAAAAUUACAUUUGGGGCAUUUUUGGGGGGAAAAAUGAAAAAAANNNNNNNNNNNNNNNNNNNNNNNNNNNNNNNNNNNNNNNNNNNNNNNNNNNNNNNNNNNNNNNNNNNNNNNNNNNNNNNNNNNNNNNNNNNNNNNNNNNNGGGGAUGGCGAGAUAGGCAAAUAAGAAUAUAUAUGUAUAUAAUAAAUAUAUGUAAGAAAAGAAAAGCCCCGUAUAAGUAGCAUUGGAGCAUUUGAUGGUGAGAAAUAUGAAAAGAUUUCCAUGACUAGGAGUAAUUUCUAGUCGAUACUUGUUGUUUAGCUCAGUGCCUUUGGUGGAAGAAAACACAUAGGAUCUUUGAGGGUAAAGAGGUUUUUGAAGUUGAGGAAAAAGAAGAAGAAAAAUAGAAAGUUCUGGUCAUUGUUCCAAAUCCAAGUUUCCAUGGAAUACAGUAGAUGGAAGAACAUUAUUAUAUUCCUCUGGAUGAUAAGAAAUAUUAAAUACAAUAAAACUUAAAAGAUAACAUUUACAAAAAUUUUCAAAACAAAAAAUAAAAAGAUGAAAAAAGCCAAAUCAAAGUCACUCACCACCAACCAGGGAAAGGGAUGCAUUUAGAUUAGCUUCAAAACCAGUUUGGACGUGAGGAGAAAUAUUACAAGCCUUAAAAAAAUGGAGAUUGAAACAUACAUCUAUAAACAAAAAUAAACGCACCUCAAUUUUAUCCAUGGAGCGAAGAAUGUCUUGUUCAUCAUACAACAUAUCUUCAACUGAAACUUUGCUCACUUUUACAUAAUCAGACAAAAGCAACUUGUAGAUAGCCUUCGUUGCAUGAGUCAUAAAAACUCGCCCUUUGAAUGUGGUCUAAUGAACAAAUUCAAAUAUUUUAGCUUAUUUAAAAACAUAUGCAAAGUAAUUGCAUAAAAUUUGACUAAGAAAAUUGCCAACCUUCUCCAGGAAAUAUGGAAGGGAUGCAGCAUGAUCCAAGUGAAAGCUGCACAGGAAAUGCAACACAUUACAAUGCAAGAAAGUGGAAAGCACAUCUAAAAGAACAGGGGAAGUUUCAGAUGAGAAAGUAGAGUAGAUAGACAAAAAGAAAAACUAAAGAUGAAAGUUCCACCAAAAAGUUUCAAGAUCUACAAAAGUUCAUUGACAAGACAGACGUGCAAGAUAUCAAAUGAAAUGAUUGUUAAGAAAAUAUGCUGGUACAUGACACAACUAAGAGCACUGCUCAGAGAUAAGUAUGUGAUUACCAUAAAUCCAUUUACUGGGAAGAAACAAUGCUGAGAAAAGCAAUGGGAACUUCAACAUAAUCAAAGAAGGUGAAUGAUUGGGGUUUUUCUGAAGGAAUUUUAGCUGAUAGAUUCAAUUAUUUGUAACCUCACGCGCUCUUACAUAUGAAAGUACAUGUUCAAGUUUGUGUAUGGACACUUUAUGCAGAGAUGCAAAUGGGUAGGUCCAUUAACCCUUUCAUCCCUCCAGAACCCCAGAAAAGGAACCUGUAAGGCCAUUGUAUAGAGUGAUCCCUCUAAUACAGCUACAGAGAAUACUCUCAAAACCAUGCUUAUAGUAGUAGAUCACUAACUAUUGAUGUGCUUUCAACCAUUUCAAGAGCGUUCAUCAGCCAUGCAGUCAGAAUUUCAACUGGAGUAAAGUUGGGCUCAAGAAAGUCUACUCAAAGCCGAAAAAAUCUCAAGGCCAGACAAGAGCCCAGGGAUUUCAAUUUUAGGAAGCUAUUUCAUACGAGGAAAGGAAUCUCCAAGAGUUUAUUCCUUGAGAAAAAAGAAAUAUUAGCGAAUGGAAUGAAGAAGCCAUUGAGAAGCAGGAGAUAUUCAGAUAAUGGCUUAAAGUUUGGGUGGUAGAUGUAGUCUCAUUACUUUAAAGAUAUAUCUGCAGUGCUCCUAAUAGCACCAGAUAUUGAUAAGAGAAGGUACGGAUGGAGUACUUGCAGCUGGUCCUAGUCAAAUCUUUAUAUGCUUUAACAAUAGUUGUUUGGUCACUUUUUCUAAGUAAGGCCAUUCAGGACAGAAUUCAUUAAAUGAUUUUUUUUUUUUUUUUUUGGCAGAAAUAUGACCAUACCCAGGUAUAUAGUCCAAUAUAAAAGAACAAUCAUGAUAUUCUCUAAAUUUCAUUUCUCAAUUCAGCAGAUCACUAAGUUAUAAAAACAAAUAACAUUACAAUAUUCAACAAGGAAAAAGAAUAUACUGUGUCACCAAAAGGACAUCAAUGGUUGAAGGAUCAAUCUCAUCAAAGUAUGGCAAAGCAGCCAUGCCUGAGUAUGCGGGAUGAAUUCCACAGUCAAACUAUCAUCACAGAACAGGAACAAAAUAGAAACAAACAAAUUAUAAAAAAUAUCGAAAACAAAGUAUAAAAACUAGCAACCAAAAUAAACGAAUAAUGCAUUAUGGUAUACCAAUAUGGUUUUCCCUUUAUAGGACAUGUAGACACAGGAACGGCCCACUUCAUUUCCAGCACCUAGAGGGGUAAUAAUCAGCUGGUCUCCUCUUGUUAAUGAGGAAUCUGGUCUCUUCAAAGACUGUGAUGGCCCUGUAGAUGCCAUUCUUCAACUGAACAAUGCUCAGACCCCUUCAAUUAACACCACUCUAUAUUCAUGCAAAAUGCUCUGCAACUGAUUAAAAAAUACAAAAAAAAAAAAGAUUCAAAAAAAAAAAAAAAAAAAAACGCUUCAUCAUAAAUAAAAUGAUACCCAAAAAUAAAUACAAUUCCAGCAAAAGACAUUUUUUCUCUUGGCAACUCCAGUUAUUUUGGUGAAUAUAUUUCUGUUAAGCUUGGGAAAAAUAAAUUUUGACUUUCAGUAAAAUAACUCUGUACAGUUGAAAUUUAUAUUUCCCUGAGAACAUCUUCACUAGAAAUAACCUAUCUCCCCAAUUGAAGCUCAAAAUUUAAAAUCCAGUACGAGAAAGCACUGUUUGUUUGCUGAGAAAUUGCAGAACCAAAAAUUUAAAUCUUACAGCUCUCAGCGCUCAUCCCCCUAGAAAGCAACAUAAAAGCGCAAGAUUCAAUUGCUUCAUUUCCCUCUCUCUCCUCACUUUUCUCAGCAACCAAACACAACAACCUUAUAUAAAUAAGGAGAGAGAGUGAAGUAGAAGAAAGAAGAAACUCAAAACUUAUAAAAAAAAAAGCAUAGUAUGAAGGCAAUUAUAAGAGAUUCAAAAUUUUCAACUCACUUGGUUGCAUUUCCCACGAGUUUCUCGGGAACCAAACAGAGGGGAGGAAGAAAAAACAUAAACUUCAGAACAAAGAAAGAAGAAAUGCAUAGAAAAUAGCAGAGGGAGAAAGUUUCGAGAGAGUUAGAGAGGUUACAGUUAUGAAAUGAUUUCAGACCAUGCAAAGGAAGAGAGUGAACUAAAACCCCAAUUUUGAGAAGAUGCUUCCCUCUUUGCCUCACCCUCUGAAAGAUUGAUAAAUACCGGGCUGGAAUGGUCGGUCCGGAUGUGAGCCGGGUUUGAUCUGAUGUGUGCCUCCGGUUUAAGCCAUUUCGUUAUUCUUUUACUUUAUUUUUUUCCACAAAAUUUUAAUUUCAAAGCCAAUAUUAACAUUUUAAUAAAAUAUAGCCUUAAAAAAUAUGAGAAUUAUUUAUUAGAUAUCUUUCAAGAAAAAAAGAAUUGAAGGCCUCAUAGCAAAUAUUUUACUAAAAAAAUUUUUGAAAAAGAAAAAUAAUUAUCUAACCUUAAUAUCUUAAAAGAUAAAGAGACUUCAAGUAUAUGAUAAUUUCGAGACGUGAGUCAAUAAAAAUAGAAAUUAUAAAAAGUGAAUUGAUAAAAAUAGAAAUUAUAUUAUGAAUAAUUUUUGUUUGGUAUAUAUACAUAUAAUGUAUAUGUUCGUGGGUUGUUAAGGAUUUUUAAAAAUAUUAUUAUUUUAUGUAUUUAUUGAAGUUAUUAAUUUAGUAUAUUGGUCCAAGUUGAGACCAGAAUAUUUUAUUAUUCAAGCAAUUUAUAAACAUUCAUUUAUCAAUGUUUUGUUUUAACUUAAUGUAACAUCAAAAUUUUUAGGUUAUGUUUGGUUUUCGGAAAAUAGUUUUUUCAUAUUUAGUUUUACUAUAAAAACUAGUGAAAAAAAAUAAAAUAUAAUUAAAAUUAAUUAGAAUAUUGUACAUUUUAAAAUUAUUUAAUUUUUAUAUAAUGGAAGAAAAUAAAUUAAAUGAGUUUAGAGAAGCAUAUAAAAUAAUUUAUUAACUUGGACUCUAUUUUUUUAUUUUCCUUUACUUUUUCCUUCUUCUCACUUUUUCAUUUUAUUUUAUUUUCAUCACAUUUUCCCUCAAAUUUUUUGAGAACCAAACAUAACUUUAAACUUUUGCAUCAAAUUGACAACUUAUCAAAUUCGCACUAUCCUUUCUCAAACAUGAAAGAGAAUGACAGUGAAAAGUUUCUAAAACUUCCAUUGCCCAAAUAGGUCUUUGUCAUACAUCACUCGAACCCAACACAAUAUUCAGAGCUCCCAAGAAGAGAACAAGUCUCCCUACCAAGUGAUGUUACUAGUUCCAGUACUUGCGCUGUUUGGAUGUCUUGUCCAGCCUUAGAAUCAAUGCCAUUACCCAACAAGAAGAAAACUUAGUUUUCAGCAUGCUUGAAGAAAAUUUAUUCAGCAACUAUAACUUAUCCUCUAGCUUCAGCUUCUUCUAGCUCACCGAGCUUUCAGGUAAGAGAGUAUUUUGUGUAGCAAUCAAAACAGCCCCAGCAUCUUUAUUCUCAGAUUUUCCACCAGUUUGAUCUGAAGCUUAAUCCCAGAUUGGAAGGUAGAGCUUUUCUCUUCUUUCUGCAAUUGAAGGUGCAGAUUCUGCAAGUUCUGGGGAAACAUCUCAGCUUGAGCGAAUUGUAGACGUUCAUUCUGUGCAUGGAUUUGGAGUUGCUCCAAUUCUUCCUACUUCUUGGCAAGCUUGACAGUCUUCAAGGAGUUCUUGAAAAAGAAUCUGAAGUACAUCUAUGAACAAUCACAUAUGCAUUUGGGCAAUCUAUAGGUUCUCCAUCUGCUCUCAUCGCUGAACUACCACAUUCCUUCAGAUAAAUGGACCUGCCACCUCUGGUUUAUUAAAGACUAAAACAAUUUCCGUUGAACAGGUCUUUGCAUAAACCUUCUUUGGGGCAGGAGACUGAUGUGGAGUAUACUUAAGUCGUUUUCAGAUUAGUAUUUGAAUUGACCUUCUGAGGGGUGCCAAGUGCAAUUCACCAAAAUCCCAAACUGGAAUUAGUCCAUCUCCCAUUUCCUUUGAAAUACUCAACAAUUUAGUUUCUUUUUCUAUCAAGUUUGCCUUCAACUUUUCAAUAUCAGCCUACAUUUUCUCUAGUUUCGUCUGUGGUUCAGCUUGUAUUGGACUGGGUCUAGAUUUUGCGUGUUCUACAUGCUCAUAAGUGCUUCCAAACUACACCAUGUCCUGAACAUAUUCUUUCUGAUACCUGACCUUGGCAUCAAGAGCAGAUUUUAAAUGUCUCAUCUUUAAGACCAGAUUACUACUUAUGAAGUNNNNNNNNNNNNNNNNNNNNNNNNNNNNNNNNNNNNNNNNNNNNNNNNNNNNNNNNNNNNNNNNNAAGAUAGACUGGCUCUCUACAUCAGCUCACAUUGAUUUGUUUGGAGUUGCCCAAUUUCUUUGGCAAAUCUUCAUUUUCGUGUCUCGAAUUGUGGUUCAGUUUCCUUACUUCUUCUACCGCUGGACAUUCCAAAACAAAACUUGCAAAAGCUUGAAUGGCUUCUAAACUUUCUGCCAAUUCAGAAUUUUCCAACUGCAGGUUCACAUUAGAGUUCUUUUAACUCCUCUGCUUCAGCAGCCUCAAAGCAUUCCUUUUUAGCAGCUUCACGCUCUUCUGUUGCAAAUCCUCUUUGAUCACUCUCAAUAAUUACCAAUAAUUUUUGCUUGGGUUGAAGAACAAACCUUCUUGGUGUAUACCUUAAAGGAAUCGCAGUUUCAUUAAAUGUUUCACCCAGUCAUUCAAUAGUGAAGACCCUCAGCGCAUCCCCAGCAGCAGCAACCACACCUUCAGCACACUGAUCAGAUGAAAAUGAUGCAGCAAAUUCAAGUGUCUCAUAAGAAAGCGGUGUCAACAGAAAAUGCCCUCAGUGAAUAUAGCCAAGCCGAGGGUGGCUUGACAAGCAUAGCAUUGCACGUUGGCCUCUCACAAUGACAGAGAAUAUCUUUGGGGCUCUUAGUCCUAAGGAUCGGGAAUGAGCAUCAGAGAGCUGACCUGUCGCCAUAUCUACCACCAGUCUGAACAAAACUCCAUUCUGCGAACCAACAUUAAGAAAAAGACUAGCAGGGCGAUCAGCACCAACCUUAUCACCUACUGAUGCCUGAACUUCGAGAGAGAGAUUCUGGAGGAAAAGAAACACUUUGCAUACUCAAAAUCUGCAUACAGUCAUCAGGAUCCAAAGACGAGAUACGAAUAGUGUUGUCACAUUAUCCGACUGCGAGAAAAUGAGAUCUGUCUUCCUUCAGGAACCGGGGCAAUGUUAGAACAAGCCACAUCCCCAGACAUUUCAUGCUUCUCAACCUCCAUCAACUGACCAGUCAUAUCCACCUCGAAAUAUAUAAGCUCUCCUUCACUCAGUGCAAUAACCACUUGAAGCCUAUUGGGACCAACUUUGAUGGUUGUCCUCUUUCCAGGAGUUCUCCACUCGUUAAUGCGCCUGCCUUCUCUUACAUAACGGAAACCACUAGGGUGAACUCGCGGCAAGGAAUCAUCAUCACCUAUCGAAGAAACAGCAAGGGAUGCUGUAGCAUCAAGAAAACCACUAUCGCUUCUUCAACCGUGUCACCAAUUGAAAGCACAAGAGUAGCAUUUGCAAUUGAAACAACACUAUAUGCAUCAGACUCAUCAUCGACAUUCUUGCUAUCGCUUCUAAAUUUAGGAUCCGGAGGAAAGGAGCCCGAAUCAAUGCUAAAUUCAGUCAAAGCUUUCUUCUAGCAAUCUCUAAAAGAGGAGCAGAAGGCGUGCACCAGUAGAACAAAGUAAAUGCUGAGUAAAGCCCCUUGAAGGCCAUGGUACUGUGUAAAUCAAUAGGCAUUCCAAGGCAAAAUUAGGCCAUGGCAGUAGCUUGAGUACAGUUUUAGUCUCUGAUUUCUCCACAGAUGAUCAGCAAGUUUCGGAAUUUUUAAUAUUCUCUAAGCCAGAACAGAUACAUAAAAGAUGAAGGUUGGACGAACUACUCAUUACUGAUAUCAACUGCACCUGAAUUUAUUGAUGGCCAUCAUUUUUUUGUCUUCAGAAUCCAUUUUCAUUGCAGCAGUCCCAUUAAAUUUUUCUGAUGACUCCCACAUUGUCAUCCCCUAUUGAAGCAAUUCUAUCAACAAUUUCAGUAAUUAUGUCAACACCAGUAUUCCUUAAUGAAAAUACAACAAAAACUUUUCCACAACAUUGGCCAAGGGAGCAAAAGUCUCAUUCAUUAUUCAUAAGGAAUGUCAUGCUGAAGCUUCUUCCACUUCCUUAAGCUUUUGAAGCAAAUGGCACUGAGACCAUUGGGAACAUAUGCGAGGGCCUUUGAAGAAGGAAGUAUUCCAGCCACUACUGAAGAUAGAAGGCAUCAGGAAGGCCCCAAUUCAUGCAAAGCAGAAAAACAAGAAAGGCCAUUAAGGCCAAUUUUGGUCAUGACAAUCAUAGCAUGAGAGUUUUAGGAUCCCGUAGAGUCUGCAGAAAUGUAAGUAGUAGACCCAAGCGCCUUUAACAAAACCCACAAUCCUGUACUCUUCUGUAUGCAGUCUCUUUGCCAAAAGCUCUGCACCUCCCAGAUUCUUUAAACAGGAAAACUGCUGCACUGCUGUUGUCCAUGAGCUGCUCAUCAUGGGCACCAUUAGAUUGAACAAUGAAUGCGAAAGCAAGAAGGCGAAUCUUGUUGCACAAUCUGUAAGUUCUGAGAGGAAGGCACGAGCAUAUCUGAUUCUGGUCAGGCGCAAGUUUGUGCUCUUCGCAGUCCUCUUGGGCAUUAAACCAUGUCUUGACCACUGCCUAGCAUGUAGGUUCCCAGUUUACUGUUGCCUUUAGGGAUCACAAGGUCCAUAUUUAUCUCAAGUCUUGGCAAAUCAGUUCUCUUUCUCGUCAACCUACUGGAAUAUCUCAGAGCCAAUCAUCCAGUAACCGAGCUUUAGCCCAUUAACACUCAACCUUACAAAACUAGACAAGCUGCGAUGGGAUUCAUGGAGAUAAGGAAAUAGAACCGCCGGAAGUACACUGAACAUGCUGCGGCUUGCUGCAACGUUACCCCUCAUAUCAAACACCUCUGUCAUCCCCUCAAAACGUGCCCAAAUAUACUAAGACUCGAACAUCGUACAAGAAAGGAAACAUGGAACAUAGGCAGAAAAUAUCAAUCAACAUAGACAGCCCCGUUUUACGUGUCAAUAAUCUAGGGCUGGACAGGGGGACAAUACAGAAUAGGAUUUAAACAUAAACAGAGUAUGAUCAAAUUCAAGUAUGGGGUCACAUAUUUUAGAAGACACCAACGACAUAUAAAAGAAUCAGAAUAAAAAAAGGGCAAACAAGAACACAGAGAGUAACAAGAAGCAUACCUGGACAGUCUUGACUGCAAUCACUCCUUCCCCGCUAUCGUCCACCUCCAAAAUCCGUGAAAACCUUUGUUCCUCUUUCUUCAUUCGAAAACAAUCCCCUUAAAAAAAAAUCCCCUCUGCUCUCCUCUGUUGUUGCUUUAAAAGCCUCUCAUCUUGAAUCUGAAAUUCCCCCCCGGUAGCAAGACAAAAUCUCAACUCUUUCCUUUUUCCAUUGCCUUUGUUCAGAUCUUCCUUUUCAAAACAUGGACUGAAUCUUCAGUUUUUCCAAAACCCACCAAAAUAAUAAUAAUAAUAAUAAAAAACUAGAAAAAAAAAUAUAAAGUAUUAAGUCAAAAUCAAAAUAAAGAUAAAUAAAUAAAUUAAAAAAAAUCAGGAAUCAUAUAAGAAAAGGAAAAGAGAAGAUCAAUCACAUGUAAGUCAUAUAAGUCAUGCAUGCUAUGCAAUAAGGUUAUCUAGGCAAACUAUGCAACCAUGAAGGAAAGUGAGUCAAUGCAUGAACUAAUGGGUCGGGCCUUGUGGUGCCUAAAGUGGGCCUAGGUGGGCCAAAGUAAACCUGAGUGAGCUUAGAAAAGUGCUAUAGUGACCUAGGGUGAACUAAGUGAAAUCUAACUUAAAGUGCACCCAAAGUAAAGUCUAACCUAAACUCGAAGGGUGACUAAGGUCACAAUGAGGAGCCAGAUAAACCCUCAACCAAAGUCUCCAAAGUGGCUUAGAGAAGACAAAUUGCAUAGUAGUAAUUAGUUACAAAUGAACCAUUGUAAAAUACUAAAUGAGCCCUCAAUAGAACAUGUGCUAAGGGGACAAAAUGAAGGAUCUAUACUAAUAGAACAAAAAUUCUAAAAUCUUCAAAUCUCAACUUUUAAACCAACAUAUCAACCAUAGUAUUUUUGUCCAAGCAAUUUCAAACUAAAACAAUAGCUAACAAUAAUUAAAUUCUAAUGUUUAACAAAGUCCCCAAAAAAGAGUUUAAACAAAUAUCCUAAUAAAGCCAAAAUUUUCAUUCUAACCAUCACUUCUCACCCGAACUUAGGGUACCUGAAAAAUUAAUGAGCUCAAAACUCAAUAAGAAACAUUAAUAUAGUUUCAUGGAUCAAAUAUUUUCAUUCAUGCUUCCAAAUAGGAGAUAUAGGGUAUAAUCAUUUUCAUAAAACGUUUGAGUUCAAACAUGCUAAUACAUUUUAAACAGUUCAACCAAACAUUUUCAUAUAUAUCAAAACCAUUUCAUAUCAAAUCCAAAUCAAAUACAUUUCAAUUAUUUUUAUUUUGGUUACCAAAUAAUAAAUGACGCUUAGUUAAGUGAAACUUUACAAAUGGGUGGUUAGCUUCAAAUUUGUUCCUUUUAAGGUGGACAUAAUCAAAAGUAACCUCUAAUCAAAGCCCUCAAGGCUGGGGUUUAAAUCAAUUACAUUUUUUAUCAGGAAAAUGUAAAGGUCAAUUAUUAUAUCCUGUUGACAAGGGCCGAAAAGUCAACUAUUAUACCCCAUUGAUAAGGACCAAACAAAUUAAAGUCAAAUUCUUUGUUUUAUUUAUUCAAACUUACGGAAAACAUAAUACCUCCAUAUAUUCUAUUAUAAACAAAAGAAAUGUUAUAAUAUAUUUUUUAUGCAAAAAUAUAUUUGAUCCAUACAUAAAAGCAAAAAUAACACACACACACACACACACACACACACACACACACACACACACAUAUAUAUAUAUAAUUAUCUCUUCAAAUUGAUAAAUGGUAGUUUUUUUAUUCAUACUUUCAUUCGUUCAUGUACAGAGUAUAUAUAGAGGGUAAUCACCAUUCUAAGAAUGGGAAAGAAUGAUACAAGGAAAUAAUGAUAUAAGGAAAUAACAACUAAUAUCCUAAUAUCUCAACUUUCCUAAUAUCUCAAUAUUCCUAAUAUCUCAACACUAAAUGAUAUAAGGAAAGAAUGAUAUAAGGAAAGCAUUCCUAAUAUCUCAACACUCCCCCUCAAGUUGGUGCAUAGAUGUCACACAUGCCCAACUUGUCUAAAAAUUUUGAGAACACUUGACUUGAGACAACUUUGGUAAGGAUAUCGGCCAAUUGAUCUUCUGAUCGAAUCUUAGGCAAUUCCACAAUCUUAUCAUCCAAAUUUUCCUUAAUGAAAAAUCUAUCCACCUCGACAUGCUUUGUACGAUCAUGUUGUACUGGAUUAUGAGCAAUGUCACAUGCGGCUUUAUUGUCACAAAACAAUUGGAUUGGUUGCCUAGAUAGGUAACCUAAAUCCUGUAAGAGAAGUCUUAACCAUAAUGCCUCACAAAGUUCUAGAGCCAUACCUCUAAAUUUCGCUUCUACACUUGAACGAGCAACGACAUUCUGCUUCUUACUUUUCCAUGUCACAAGAUUACCACCUACAAAGGUAAAGUAACCAGAUGUAGAUCGCCUAUCAUCCACUGCACCGACCCAAUCAGCAUCAGUAUAUACUUCUAUACUCUGAUGAUUAACAUUUUUAGUGAACAAAAUUCCCUUCCCAGGAGCAUUCUUCAAAUACCUCAAAAUACGCAUGACUGCAUUCAUAUGUUGCUCUCCAAGAUUAUGCAUGUAUUGACUCACUACACUCAAUGCAUAAGCAAGAUCUGGUCUUGUAUGAGCUAAGUACAUUAAUCUCCCCACAAGUCUCUUGUAUCUUCCCUUAUCGGUUGAUACUUGAUUAGACUCAACACACAAUUUCAGACCUUCUUCUAUUGGUGUAUUAACAGGUUGACAUCCCGACAUUCCAGUCUCCUGUAAAAGAUCUAAGGCAUACUUUCUUUGAGAUAGAAAAAUUCUUUCACUUGAUCGAGAAACUUUAAUCCCAAGAAAGUAUUUCAGAGGACCUAGAUCUUUCAUUUCGAAUUCUCUAGAUAGAUAAUUUUGUAGAGCUUUUCUUUCUUCAGGAUCAUUUCCUGUAACUACCAUGUCAUCCACAUAUACGAUGAGUGUCGUAAUCUUACCAUGUUGCUUUUUCAGGAACAAAGUGUGAUCUGAAUUACUUUGACGAUAGCCAAAAGCUCUCAUUGACUUUGUGAACCUUCCAAACCAUGCUCUCGGGGAUUGCUUCAACCCAUACAAUGACUUUUUCAAUUUGCACACCUUCUGACAUUGCUUUUCUGGCAUCAUGCAUCCUGGUGGAAGAUCCAUGUAUACUUCUUCAGAUAACUCGUCAUGCAGAAAGACAUUUUUCACAUCGAAUUGUUGUAAUGACCAAUCUAGGUUUGCAGCUAAAGACAGUAAUACUCGAACUGUGUUGAUCUUAGCUACGGUGCAAAUGUCUCUGUGUAGUCAAUUCCAUAAGUUUGAGUGUACCCUUUUGCUACCAGUCUUGCUUUAAAUCGUUCAAUACUACCAUCUGCCUUGUACUUCACAGUAUAGAUCCAACGACACCCAACUGGCUUCUUUCCUGGUGGACAUUCUACGAGUUCCCAUGUUUCAUUCUUCUCCAAUGAUUUCAUCUCUUCAUUCAUGGUUGCUUUCCACCUUGGAUCAACUAAGGCUUCCUGCACACUGUUAGGAAUAACUGCAGUAGAUCAUUGAUUUACAAAUGACUUAUUUGAUUUAAACAAACGAUGGUUAGACACAUAGUUGCUCAUGGGAUAUUUGACUUUGGUAGACAAUUCAGGUUCAUAUGUGGGUUUAGGAAUACCUCUAUUAUGACGAUGUGGUAACCGUUUCAUGAAUGGAUCAGGUUCCAAAUUAAGAACACCCUCAACAGACGACGAUUGGUUUGGUAUUUCAAUGAAGACAUCUUCGGACCCAAAUUGUUGACCACUCAUAUCCAACUCACCCGCUUCCUGAUUCACUAGUUCAAAUUGUCCAGAUUCAUCUUCCUCAGAGAUAUGAUAAUCAUAAUCGAGAGUCUGAAUUUCCUUAUGGUACUCCUCCUGAAGUUCAGACUCAGAUGAAAAAUACAUCGAAUCUUCAUGAAACACCACAUCCAUUGUAAUAUACAUUUGUCAAGUUGGAGGAUGGUAACAUUGAUAUCCAUUUUUGUGCAAUGCAUAUCCAACAAACACACAUUGCAAUGCAUGAGAAGUUAACUUGGUGCGUUGGUGCUUGUGUAGAUGCACAAAUGCCACGCAACCAAAAACACGAGGAGGUAGAUUUGGGACGAUUGGGGCAACUACGGCAUUAGUAAGAGCUUGGAGAGGUGUUUGAAAGUUAAUUGAGCUAGAAGGUACCCGAUUGAUCAAGUAUGCGGCAGAUGUGAUUGCUUCUUCCCAAUAAGAUAUCGGUGUUUUUGCUGCUAUCAAGGAAGCACGAACAACCUCUAACAAGUGCCGAUUUUUUCGUUCAACGACUCCAUUUUGCUGGGGUGUAUUGGAACAAGUAAUCUGAUGAAUGAUGCCAUGUCCUUCCAAAUACUUUUGAAGAUCAGAACUUUGAUAUUCUCCACCAUUAUCACUAUGCAGAACUCGAACCUUUGCAUUGUACUGAGUUUCAAUCAUUUUAUGAAAUUUUUGAAACAACAAGUUCACUUCAUCUUUGGUCUUCAUCAAGCAUAACCAUGUCAUUCUGGUACAAGCAUCAAUAAAAGUAACAAACCAACGUGAGCCACUCAAAGUUGGGACUUUGGAUGGGCCCCAAACAUCAGAAUGUAUAACCAUAAAAGGAAACGAACUUUUAUUCAAAAUUAAUGGAAACGAAGCACGAUGGCUUUUAGCCAAUUCACAAAUAUCACAACGGAAACCAGAAAUAUCACUCUUUGCAAACAAACUAGGAAACCAUUUUUUUAAAUAACCAAAGGAAGCAUAUCCCAGACGUCGAUGCCACAACCAAAUUUCAUACUUUUUCUUCUCCCCCUCAGAUCCAUCUGCCAUCAAGACUUGUUGCAACUUAUUUGAAUCCUUUGACUGCAAGUCCAAGUAAUAGAGUUUUCCCCGCUUAAUACCACAACCAAUCGUUUGUCUUGUUUGGAUGUCUUUAAUCACACAAAAUUCAGGCAAAAAAAUGACAAUACAUGAUAAGGUUGCAGUGAUUUGAGAAACUGACAAAAGAUUGUAAUCUAAAGAUGGAACAACUAAAAUAGAAUCCAAAUUCAAAGUACCAGUAAGAGUUAAGGAUCCUUCCCCAAUGACUGGGGUUGUGUUACUAUUGGCUGUGGAAACAAUUUUUUGUGAGGAAGGUCUAAGGGGUGAAACCUGUCUAGAAUCAAAAGUCAUAUGAUCUGUAGCACCAGAAUCAAUUAUCCAUGCACUAUUAAUAACAGGUGUAAAAGUAUUUAAAAACUUACCACCAUGAUCAAUAGCGACUACCAAUGCAGAGGCUUUCUCAGUAACAUUAGCCUCUGUUUUUAUUUCGGCAACAGUUGCAGUCGAAGUUUUCUUGGAAUCCUUUUUCCGUUGAUCACAAUUAUUAUCAUUAAUAACAAAGUGUUGAUAGCCUAAACAUGAUCUAAAUGUCCAUGGUUCAAACCCUCGGUUCCUCAUUGUUUUCCUGGUCAUACCAAGAGUCGUUACUUUGAAAUUGUGGGAUAUCCAGACUGGUGGGACCAGUCUUAUUGCAGUGAGUGCAUUUGAAGGUUGACUUAUCAAUAUUAGGGCUUGUCUUAGGAUGGUUGAUCGCUGUCGGACUACCAUGGUGACAAAAUAUCCAGGAUUUCAGUUCAAUGGCUCUGAUACCAUCUUCAAAUUGAUAAAUGAUAGUUUUUUCAUUCAUACUUUCAUUCGUUCAUGUACAGAGUAUAUAUAGAGGGUAAUCACCAUUCUAAGAAUGAGAAAUAAUGAUACAAGGAAAUAACAACUAAUAUCCUAAUAUCUCAACUUUCCUAAUAUCUCAAUAUUCCUAAUAUCUCAACACUAAAUGAUAUAAGGAAAUAAUAAUAUAAGGAAAGCAUUCCUAAUAUCUCAACAUUAUCUUCUUUUGCAAAGUUUGUGUUAAUUUCUCUUAGCUCAAAAGAGUCCUCAAAAACCUUGGAGAGAAAUAAUUGUGGAAAAUCUAUUCUUCACUUAACAUAACAUAAUAGAAAUAAAUAUUAUUAUUUAUGUACAAUUUAAUUAAUCUAUUCCGUAUUUAAAUAAAAUUAAUAAAUUCCUAAUUUGAUUCUAAUAACACAUUACUAAUUUAAUUAAAUUGCAAUUUUAUUUCAUUAUAAUUUUUUUUUUACUAAAUCUCUUAUUCUAUUUAUUACUUUAAACCAUUAUUACUAUUAUCUUAUUUAUUAACCUAGACCUAAAUAUUAUUAUUUUAUUAAUUAUCAAAUUCAAUAGCCACCCAAACCAUUACCCACUUGUCUCUGGCACACACAAAACAAAUAAAACAAGGCAAGUUCUUCCGAUUGUCAUCAUCAUCACUAUGAUGAUUCAUUAUUUAUUUAUUUAUUCUUGGUUUUCCAAGGUCAUCCUUCCAUCAAAUGCACACGCCUCUUUUUUAUUCUUUCUUUCUUUCUUAACCCUAACAUGUCUUUUUUUUUUUUUUUACUUCUAGCAAUGUGCACACAAAUACAAUGCCUCAAAACCAUAAAUACAAGUAUCUAUAUAUGACCCCUCCAAAAUCCAGAAAUCAUGUAAUUCUUCUUAUUAUUUAUUUAUUUAUUUUAUUUUCAAUCUAAAGCCUCCACUAAUGACUUAUUUAUUUAUUAUCUAAAUCUAAAAUUUCUUUUCUUCCUCUGGUUUUUUUUUUUCAUUUUAAAUUUAUUUAUUUAUUUUUCUAUUCCAUUGAAAAUUUUGAAAUUUUCCUAUCUUCAUCGAUAAAUCAACCUAUAUUUGAAAAUUUUCAAACAUUUUGAUCUAAAAGUUUAAUAAACAAACCCUAAUUUUGAUUUAGAUUUAAAAAAAAAAUAUCUAAUAUGUUCGAAACUAACUAAUGAAUCUAAAAUAUUAAUCUAGGGGUUAGAAUUUUAUCGGAAAAGUAUGGACUUCAAACCCUAAACCUUCAAACCUUUACCCCUAUGUGCUCCAAUUCUCUGAUUUUGGUUAAUAAGGUUUUUUGAAUAGAGAAGACAAUAACAAAAAUAAAAAAAUCUAAUUCAUACCUAGGACUAUUAAUGGAAAAAAUGACAUUUUUCCCCUAAUGAAUUUAAUUAAUGUUUAAUUUACUAUUUUACCCCUAAAAUUAAUUUGGGGUGUUAUAGUAUCAAUGGAUGAAAAAAAAAAAUCAAAAGGCGUAGGUCAUAAAUUUUAUUUCAAAAUCAUUUAAGAAUUAAUUAAUUAAAACUCAAAUUUUAAGUUUUUUAAUUUUAAAUUCCUCCCUUAUUCAUUAUUGGAUUAAAUUCUUUUAACUAUUUUUCCCUCUUUUAACUUUAUUAUUUUUUUCAUAAUUUUUAUCAUUAGAACAUAAGCUUUCUUGUUUCUCUUAAGAUUUUGUAAAUCAUUUAUGUGAAAUUUUAAAACCAAAUUAGCUAUCAAUAUUUCUUCUACCUUUUUCUCAAUCAAAUGCAUGAUUUAUUGUUGAUACUUAUCUUGGUUCAUCUAUAAGUGAGACCAUAACAAAAUAGACAUGCUUUUUUUUUCCAUUUGGAAGUCCUAAGGAAUCGACAUGUAGCCCAUAACAAGGACUAUCAAAUUAAUCAUUUAUAGUUUACAAUAAAAUAGAAUGCAUAUUAAAGGGGCUCUAGACUCGCAACUGUGAAUAUAUUGUUUGUUCUAGGUCCAACAGGUCCUCAAAAUUUCAAAAUAUGUUUACAAGGUUAAGAGGAGUCCAUACACAUAUAAUAUAUAUGUAAAAUUGCAAGGUUAAACGUUUUUAAAGAAACACUUCAAUUAAAAGCAUUUCCUAUAAAAACACUUUCAAUCGGACAUUAAUUAUCUUUAGUUAAUUAUCAUCAAUUCCUAAAUAUAAAUUUAUUCUCCUUAUCGGGAAUUUAACUAAAAUGCUUUUUUUUAUUAUCAAAUUAAACUAUGCAAGUGUAGGAAGUAGUUUUGUUCAAUAUGCUCAUAUGCUCUUUAGAUCAUGUUCUCCUUGAGUUGCUUGUUUUUUCUUAACAAAAAAAAUACAGUUUGUCACCCAUUUUGAAGGGAGAUAAUAACGAAAAACUCAUAGUUAAAAAAAAAAAAAUGUGAUUUCAACAGUUUUGGGAAUUAUCACUCUCAACAAUCUAUUAAAAAAUUGUAAAGAUUACAUGUUGGAUCUCCCCAGCCCCAAGGACACUUACUGUCACAAGAAUAAAGGUCACAAGAAACCCAUAUCCUAUCUUCCACCCCAAGCCUGCUUCUGCCAGUCAAAGUCCAAUCACAAUAUUCAGAGCUCCCAAGAUGAGAGCAAGUCUCCCUACCAAGUGAUGUUACUAGUUCCAGUACUUGCGCUGUUUGGAUGUCUUGUCCGGCCUUAGAAUCAAUGCCAUUACCUGAGAAGAAGAAAACUUAGUUUCCAGCAUGCUUGAAGAAAUAUAUUUUGUUACUGUCGAGUGAAGGCCCAGGCAGAGUGAAAACAAACCUGAAGAAUGCCAAGGAAAAACACCAAGGAUCCGAGGGGUCUGUGAAUCUUGAAUUUGGGAAUGCGAUAAAACUCCAGUCCAUUGUAGAGUGUCCUUCCUGCGACGACAGUAGCAAGACCCGGAAGAAAACCCACAAUCUGGAUCGAGAUAUGAAGAUAAAACCAUUGAGGAUCAUGAUGCUUGAAGUAUCUAGGGAUGAUUGCCCCAGAUGGAAGGAGCACGUCCCAUGCAAUUAGGCCCAUGUCUCCAUGACGCGUCUCCAAAUCUCCAGAGUUAUUGACACCAGAGUUAUAUCCUGUGAGACACACAACAGAAAUUUUCCAUAUCAGACUUCAAAGAGUUUUAUCUGAAGCUCCCACUUUAUUUCCUAGAUAUAAGCCCCUCGUCUAGAAUGUAAAAUCCUCUGUUCUCUGUUCAAAUUUCAGCUUUGCAAUUGGAGUCAAUACAUCUCGUAUUCAAUUCAAUCCUCAUCUUUUUAUGGCCUCCUAAAUUCUAAGACCUGUCUGGGUUGUCCAGUUUUGUGAAAAAUUACAUCAUGGGAUUUGAUUCAAUGUUAGGUACAAAAUUUUGGAAAAAUCUGCAAAACCCUCAACAGUUGUGACCACAGCUCAAGACCAAGGUGGGAAUUUACAAUCUAAUAAUGCUGAUGAAUGCUUCAUAGACUGCUCUACGAAACUAGCGUUUGUCAGAAUGCCUGUCCUUUGUUGAAAGACAUGAAGAUCCUCACAUUCUCGAGCAGGAAGAACCUUGGCCGAAAGUAGUUGAUUACUACUCAAAAAGUGCUAUUUGAUAGCCUAUAAUUAAUCAUUUUAAACACUUUUGAGUAGUAGUUUAGGCCUUUUAACUCAAUUGGCAUGUUAAGGAUCCUUUAAAGCAAUUUUAAUCACUUUGUGCAAGUUUUGGUGUUUUUGUUAGUAUUUUGAUCACCAAAGCAAGUCAAGACUGAGGAGAGCUAUGAGGAAUCUUGGGCAAAGCUUAGAAGUCAUUUGCCAAGAGUGAAUCCGGAUUGCAAGGAGUAAAAGCAAAGAGAAUCUGCCAUAAAACAUAUUCUUGAUGACAGUCGUAGCAGCCACUUUUGGAGCACUUUAUUAAGUCCAAAUUAUGCAUGCUAUAUACCAUUUCAAAGCUCAGGAAGUCAACAAUCCAAUGCUUUAAACGGUGUGCAAUUCGGAGUUGAAACGAAGAAGUUGCAGCCAUUGCAAGCCAAUCACUCCGAGCUGAAGGAAGCAUUUUGCAAAGUGUUGCGAAAUCACCCUUUUGUUGCGAAGUGAUUUCGCAGCAUUUUUGUACAGUAAGGUGUAUCUCCUUCUGACGAUGCACGAUUUAUGCCGCGAGAAGGAAGCUAGGAACCUCAAGGUGGAAGCCAACUUUGCAGCCUGGUGAAGAUAGCUUGGUGUUGCGAAAUUAUUUCGCAGUCCUCUUGAGUGUCUGCGAAAUCUCGCAGACACCAUUUUACUCCUGCGAAAUGGUUCCUGAAGCCUCCCGAUAUUUGCUACCGACAUUGGGAGAUAUUUUCCAUUAGAUUUUUGUUGUCUAAAUCCCAAAAUACUCCUUGUAAACCACCAAUUACAAGAUUCCUUAGCUUUUAAGUUAGUAAAAAGACUAAAUAUUUUUGUAACAAUUAGUUUUAUAUUAUGUUGAUAUAUAUACCUCUCGGGAGCCUGUUCUCGGGGAGGAGAUUCUUCUGUAAAAGUUUGGGUAAGCAAGUAAAGUCUAUUUUCUUUCUACUGCCUUACCUUCUCACUUUGUAUUUUCAUUUUAUUUCUAAGUUAUGAAUUCUCUGAGGAGUUUUCCCCAGAGAAUGAGUAACUAAACCUCUAAUUCCUUGGAGCUAAGGUUGCCGGGGAAGGUUCCAAGUGCAAGAAUGCAAAGCUUUGUGGUUUUAGAUUUUAAUGAAGAGGAAGUGAAAUCCUUUAGUGAUUUCUAUGUUUUUAGUUAACUUAAAACACCUUAGAGUCACCUGGGCCAACACUUGGUAAGGCAAGUGAUUUCCAACUAUGGAAAUGCACUAGUUUACCUCUUGCAAGCCUCUGGGAGGUGACUUCAAGGUAGGAUUUUCUGGAAUUACCAACACUUGGUAAGCUUUUGGACUCCUAGGAGACAUCCAUUAGUUAUCUCUUGCGAGUUUGUGAAGGGAAGUCCAAGGUUAAAGAUCAUCUUGAAUGGUAAGUGCUCGUGAGAGGCAUGAACCAUUGCAAGUUGCAUCAGUGAGAGAAUUAAAGUGAAAUCUAAUUGAAGGAAUCUCUGUACAACACCGGUUAGAGAAUUGACUAUAUGUUGAAUCUCUAACGCGAGGAAAUGAACCAUCUGACCAGGGCCGUGUCUUUUGCAUGAGGAACCACCCCAGUGAACCUAAAUCUCCAAGGAAUGCUUUUCUUCCUAAAUUAUUCCAAACUUCUGUUAUGUUAGUUAGUUUAAGUCUAAACCUUUACCAAUCAAAGUUUGUGUUUUACUUCUUAAGCUAACCGUGAAAUGAAACAAGACCAAUUCACUUGGAAUUGGUAUCAUUGAUUGCUUGUUAAUUAUUCCCAGUGAACGAUCCUAGAGCCACUAUACUAUAGUAGCUUUUUAUUUGCUACCCUAGUGUAUGGUGUUAUAGGUAUAAAUUUUGUUGAUCACUCCCUCAUCCAAGGAGCACCAGCUGGACAUGGAUCAGCUGAGACACCAAUUGGGCAUAAAUCAGUAGUCGGCAAAGGAUAAGAAGGCUGGGAUCAUUUCACACUGAACUUUACUCCAGCUACUUUGGUUAACCGGAUUCAUCCCAGAGAAACCCUGUGAAGAUCGCAGCCUUGUUUGAGCUCUUUGAAUAGAGUGAAAUAACAGAGCAGAAGCUGAUCAAACCUGGCAUGGAGGGCCCCCCAUUAAUAAAAUCAACUUCUCCAACCAUCCGGUGAUGCAGAUUGUUUGGCAGCCUCAGAAGCUGAGACACGGUCAUCGGCAUUCCCACACUACUCCACGACAGCCCUGCAUCACAACCAAUUUACGGGUCUAUUACAAAUGAGAGGGAGAAAAAGAGAUUUUCAUGUUAAUGAAAUCAUUCACCUUAGGAUCGAACUGAAACGAUAAACAUCAAUGAUUCCGGAUGAUUGAAUUUGAGUGCAUCCCCAGCAGGCUCUUCAUAUUCAGUAGCCUACUUGGUUACUGAUACACCUGCAAAGUUGAAAGCAACAGGAGGUAAAAUCAUCACAUUCUUUAAUAAAAAUGUCAUCACAUACGACUCUUUAGCUGAUAUAGAUACAAAUGAACUACCUGAUUGAGGGGCCCUUCAAAGGAAAAUAUGUUCCAAAGGUUGCAAGGACAUCACAUGGUGGCAGAUCAUGCUUCUGAAUAACCUGCACAUUCCACCCUUCAAAUAUAUUAGAAAAAUAAUAUAAUUGUAGUUUUAUAUUAUAAUAGAAGUUCAAAAAAAAAAAGAGAAAUUAUGCACGAUUGCUUGCACCCACCUCAUGGAUGUCAUAACAGUAUGCCUUCUUGCUUUUACAUUUUACAGUAAUAAUAGAUCGAUAACAAAUUUACAUGGAGAAGUGAGAACCCUCAGCUAGUUUCAUCCCCAUGACCAUGAUCCAGCAGCUCACCCAACGUAAUCACAGAAAACGGUUUUGACAAUAGUGGCCACUGUUUUGAGAGUGCUCGAGCAACUUGUUGCAUAGUUGGCCGAGAUUGGGGAUUAACACACAAACAUGCAAAUGCCAACUUCACUGCAACCACUACUUCCUCUGCCACUUGAUUCACAGGAGGUGAGGGGCGCUGGUCUAUCACAUCAUUCAGCAGGAAAUGGCCGACCGUUGAUGGUGAUGCAGAUGAGGAGGACGCUGAUGAUAACAGGGAUGAGAUAAGCUCUCCGGGAUGCCUUCCCAUAAUUACUUCUAAUGUCACAACACCGAAGCUAUAAACAUCGGUUUUAUUAUCCACCUUCAUUGUGUAAGCAAGUUCUGCAAAAGAAGAUUAGAUCAUGCUCUGCUCUGCUAAGCAAUUAGAAACGUUACAUAUGACGUAUAGAGGCCAUUUAGAGAUAAGCAAGGCACUAAGAAAAAUGUACCUGGAGCUGUAUAACCAAAAGUUCCUGCAAAUGAAGUCCAAUUAGAUGAGUCUGACUUUAAAAGCCUAGCCGUGCCGAAGUCAGAUACAUGAGCUUCAUAUUCUGAAUCUAACAAAACAUUGUUGCUCGAUAUGUCUUGAUGAAUUACAGGAGGUGAGCAAUCAUGGUGCAUAUAAGAUAAAGCUUUAGCCACGCCUUUAAUAACGUUUAGCCUCACAGUCCAAUCUAAUCUUUCUGCUUCUUCGUCGUUGCAUAGAAUGUUUUGCAAACUCCCCUUUUCCAUAAACUCAUAAACCAAAAAUGAGUUCUUUGCAAAUGAACUGAAGCCAUAAAGCUUGACGAUGUUGUGGUGCCUUAUCUGUGUUAAAGCAUAAAUCUCGCUUUUGAAAGCUUUCAAAUCAGCCAUAUCUCCAUCUUCUGAUGAGUGAAGCUUUUUCACAGCAACAACCCGACCUGUUGGCAACUCAGCCUUGUAAACAGUACCAUAUCCUCCAGUGCCAAUACACUGUUUCGAACUGAAAUUGUCGGUCCCCUGUAUGAUGUGCUCAUACAACAAUUCCCCAUCAUGGCCCCAUAUUGCAAAUAGAUCUUCAACAUCUGCUUCAGGAGACUUGGUUUUUCUCUUCCUCAAUUUUUGGAAAAGAAAAUAAAUGCCAGUAAUAAAAGCAAAUAAGAACAAUAGACUGCUCACAAUAAGGAGUAUUAUGAUCAAAAUAGAAAACUUGCUGGCCUUCUUUUGACUAGCACCGCAUGGCUUGAGAUGAGUGACAUUAUUACCACACAGACCUUUAUUAUUUUUGAAUGCCUCAAAUUGAGCAAAUGCUUUGAUGUUGGGGAGAGGACCUUCCAACUGAUUGUAGGAUAUAUCAGCAACUGUCAGGCUUAUCAAAUCAUAAAACGUGUGUGGGAUGGUGCCAGAGAGAUCGUUAUGGGAGAGAUUCAACGUUUCUAGGUUCUGUAAUUCUCCAAGGUGCGGUGGAACCUCUCCUGUCAACAUAUUUUGACUAAGAUCGAGACUUUCAAGAUGAUGCAUCUUUCCAAUUUCGUCAGGAAUGCUAUCCACAAAUCUAUUCUCGCUCAAGUUCAAGGACCAUAAUUUCCAGAAGUUUCCCAGUUGCUUGGGAACUGGACCGCUUAAGUUGUUUGAUGCCAAGUCAAGGAUUUCAAGAUUGGAUAAGUUUCCUAAUUCCAGAGGAAUACUUCCUGAAAGUUUGUUGUUGCCUAGCAACAAUUUGAACAAUAAGGGAAACAUACCCAAUUCUUUUGGGAUCUUCCCAAUUAGAUGAUUUGAGGAGAGAUCAAGUUGUUGCAGUUGAAUUGCUUUCCCAAGUUGAGGUGGUAUAGCACCAGAAAUUUUAUUGUUGGAGAUGUUCAGGUUUGUGAGCAUGUGGCACUCCCCCCAUUUCUCAGAAAGCUCACCAUAAAAAUUGUUAUUGCUCAGAUCAAUAUAAUUUAGAUU